AAAAAAAAAAAAUGUUUCCACUAGUAAAAUUAAUAAUGUAUGUAUAAAAAUUUGUUCAGGUCAAAUCUAGUAUAGCUUGAAUGUUUUCUUGUACAGAUAAAUAUUUGUUAACGAGAACGCCUUCGUUAGGUUGAUGCGUUCAUGGAAAAGCAGCAACCACAGGUAUAUAUCGAUUAUAUAAAAAACUUGUGCGUGAAUGUACGUUGAAAGAUGGUACAGAUAAUCGGUACCUUCAUUAUAAAAGCUAUUAACAAAAAUAUUUGAAUUAAUCUAAAGUAUAGAAAGGAACUCGAUACUGCUAUAUUUCUUUGUGGUCUUACCUAUAGUUUUUAUUAUUAAUAUAUUUUAUUGUUUGGGUGCGGAAUGUGGUUGCCUCUAAACGAACUUUUGGAAGUGGAAUCUCUCAAUGAAUUUUUAUACUAUAUAAAAUCUGAUUGGCGCAUCUACCAAUUAUAAAAUGAUACAUGAUUAAGAUAAAACUGCAAAGAAGAUAACGAAAUUGCAUUGGACCAAACAAAUUUUUUUGAAGAUGGGGAGCCAAUUUUAUUCAUCCUAUCCAGAAUAAUUCGAUGUCUAUUUAGACAGUCAAUUUCAUGCUCCUCAGAAAAAUAAGUGUGAAAUUUAUGCGAGAAUCGCCGUUAUAAUUAUACUAUUAAGCAAAGAUGCCUAUGUAAAAAAUAUUCUCCCAUAUCUUGGGUAGAACAAAAUAAAAUUUAGAGUAAUUAUUAAUUUAUAUAUAUUCAGUGGUCCUAAGUGUAUUCCAAACCCAAUCAACCUUUAAUUUUGACAAACGCAGAUUUAUUCUGAUCCGGCUUUGAGUUAUUAAUAAUUUAAUAUAUAGUAUUAUAUACUAAUUUUAUAUCAAUAUUUAUACAAUUAUACCUAUCAAUGUGGGUGUGUUUAAAUACAAAUUUUAAGUUUCAAACCAAGACAUCUCUCCAAAGAUUUGUUAAUCAUGGUAUAUAGGCAAAUUAUUUCCAUUCAACUAAAAUAUUUAAUUAUAUAUAUAUAUAUUAAACUUUUAUUAAUUGAUAAUCCAAAAUAACAUUUAAAAAAUUCUUCAAAAAAUAACACUUUAAUUGUGGUUUUGAAGGUGCAUGUAGUUUUGCACACACACCAACUACACAAACGAUGAAAGGUGUAUUGGCCAACAUCAAAUCUCUUCUUCUUCUUUUUUUUUUUUUGAAUCAAAUAUCUUCUUUAUGUUAUCUUUAUUUUUUUGUCAUCAAUUAUGUUAUCUUUAUUUAGCUGAACUUGUUUUAAAUGAGACAUGAAUGUUUGAAUCGCUCUAAAUCAGAUACAUGUUUAUGAAUCGUACGUCUUUCCGUUAUUUUCUUUCUUUAUCAUCAAUGUUGUUUUACUCUGAUCUCUCAAUAAGGUAUGAGCUUUUGUAAUAGUACAAAAUAAUCAUCGUUAAAGAGAGUGUGUCGAUGUAAGAUAUAUAGCCCAUAUGUAUCUAAAUAUCUUCUGAAUUAAUAAAAAUAUUCACAUAUGAUACAAUCAUCUAGUACAAAUUAAAUCCGUACGUGGAACAUUUACUGUUCUAUAAGUGAUCCAAGUCUGAAGCACAGAAAAUGGCUUGCAUAUAAUAAUGUGUAGAUGUAUGUAUGGUUUAACAGAGUAAGUUGGGGUUCGAAAGUGAAUUAAUAAUAUAACUGAUUUCCGUGUGAUCUUAAUACUUUUGUGCGCAAAAUCUUUUCUAAUAUUUCUUUUUUUUUUGUUUGAAAAAUCUUUUCUAAUAUUUCUUCAAAAAUAAAUAUAUAUAGACAUGAAUAAACUGUCGAAGAUUUUAUAUAUUUAUGUAUAUAUAUACGCAUGGCGUAACAGGAUCCAUUAGGGUUCUAUAAUGAACUAGUGCUACUAAUUAAAAUCGAUUUCCUUGCGAUCUUACUAUAUUUGUGAAUAAUCUUUUUAAAUGUUUCCACAACUGCAGAAGAAUAAAGACAAGGUCUACGCAAGUGGGAAUUAAUUAAUCUUAAUUCUUAUAAUAUUGUUAUUGAAAUAAGAAUUUUAAUUUGGACUUUUGCAACUUUACAAUUAUGGCCAUUGGAUAAUUAAAAAAUGCGCACUCCUAUCCAUUUUGAGAAUAAUCAAAAGAAAAGGCAUUGUCUAUAUCAAUACUCAUCCCUCUUUGCACCUGAAGACUUUGGAUGAAAACCAAAAAGUAAAACACUUUGGAUUUCAUUUCGAUCGUUUACUCUUCCGAUUUUUUGUUUAACAAAAUCUUUUUUUUUCAGCUACCAACUAUUUUCUCCCUAUCGUUCAAUAUUUCAUUGAACGUGCAACAAGAUCAUAGGUUUCUGAUACAAAAGUGGCUAUCCAGGUCUCUCUUGCUUGGUCUUUGAUGGAUAACAUCAAUUUUGAAACCUCAAACGCUUCACAAGGAAGCCGGCUACACUUGCACUCGCAAUCACAACCGCCCCAGCUGUUUAAUUUACAAGACGUGAAUAUGAACCAUUACAAUCAAUCAUCUCCAUGGACCAGCGAGACGUUCUCGGGUUAUACUCCAUACGAUAGCACAGUCAAUCAAUCUCUCUCCGUGCAAUGUUCGUCUUCAAAACCCUGUCAUGCCUUGUUUCAUCCUUACCAUCAUCAAUCUUCGGAUCAUCCAUCAGUAGACCAAUCCCAAUCGAUGGUUCCUAUGCAACUUCUUCAGGAUCAAUAUUUAAAGCCAUUAUAUCAAAAAUCAUGUGCUAAUGAUUUCGCCGCAACAAAUGCUUCAUCAUCCUCAUACUCUCUUUCUUUUGAUGCAAGUCAAGAUCCACAAGUAUUCCACAAACUCCAACUUUUUUUUUCUUUUUUUUUGGCCACAUGUCCAUAAGCUUAAUCAAGUUUUGGUCGGGAAAAAUGUAUUUCGAAAACCUUUUCUCUUAUAAUCUUUUUUAUAACAAUGAUGUUUCUACUUGAUGGUUUUCAGGAACUAUGCAGGAGGACCUACAGUACUUCUAAUGUAACACAACUUGAUUUCUCAUCAUCACAUCACCAAGCUAAGCAAACACAUCCAAGAUUUUCUUCUCAUUCCUUCUCAGCCCAUGGAGGCUCCAUGGCUCCUAAUUGUGGGACGGUUGGGAACAAGACAAGGAUAAGGUGGACCCAAGAUCUUCAUGAGAAGUUCGUGGAAUGCGUUAACCGCCUUGGUGGUGCUGAUAGUAAGUUAACGAGACUUCGACUUUAGAAUUAGAGGAAUUAAACAAUUAGUUAUCAAUCAGUUGAUCUAGUCACUUUGCUUAAGCAUGCAUAAAGUUAUGAUUAGAUAGCAUUUAGAUGUAACAAUGAUGAUUUCAUGAGAUCAAAUGAAUCUUAUGCGCUAUCAUAUAACACCAUAUGUGUGGGUUGAAAACUUUAUUUUGAAGCAAAUAUGCGCAUUAUAUGGAAAAAUGAAUUGAUAUAUGCUUUAAAGAUAAAAGUGCCCUUGUUUCUUUGGUGGUACGCUAAAAAGUGUAAUAACUGGUGGGAAACUAUGCAGAGGCAACACCCAAAGCGAUACUGAAGCUGAUGGAUUCUGAAGGACUCACAAUAUUUCAUGUUAAAAGCCAUCUACAGGUUAACUUUACUUCUUCUCUCUUUACUUUAAAAAAAAAGAAGUUUUAAUUCAAUAGUUCUUGGUUAAAAUUUCAGAAGUAUAGGAUUGCGAAAUACAUCCCUGACUAUCAAGAAGGUACUAUAAAUAAAUACUAUCACUAUACAUUCGAAUGUGAUAAAAUACAUUGAUAAUUUGGGAAUAAUGUAAAUGAGAAUUUUGUUGGUGCAGGCAAGUUUGAGAAGGGAUCUUGUUCAAAAGAGCUGUCUCAGCUUGACACAAAAACGUAUGUUUUUUUCCCUUUUUUAUAUGGGUACCAAAAAUAAUAUUUUCUUUAUUACAAAAUAUGUAGCCCUCUUAUUUUCCUCCAUAUAAGUCCAAAGUUAAUGACACAAUGGCUUACCGUAGCAAUGACAACAACAUACGAUUAACAUUAUUCAAAAAUAAUAAAAUAAUGAGUUGUUAAUGAUUAAAUUAAUAUUUUGUUUUGUUUUAUAUCGUGGAUGCAGUGGAGUGCAAAUUAAAGAGGCACUCCAGCUUCAGCUAGACGUUCAGAGGCAUCUUCAUGAACAACUAGAGGUGAGUUACAAAAUGUAAAUAUAUAACUUUAGUUUAUUAUAUUUUUACCAAGUAAAUGCAUUCCGAUGUUACAGUUUAAGUAGUAGUGUGUGGCAUCGAGUGCUUAUUCCAGUUUCCCACUUUAGAAUUAAUAUCUGCUUCAUUAUAUUUUGAUUUAAAAAUUAAUAUUUUUCUACAAAAUAUCUUUUUGUUUGACAAAUUUUUUUUCUAUAACAUAUCUUUUGAAACAAAUGAAGGCCAGCUUUCUAGUUUUGAGAUUGUAUGUUUGAACAUUUUGUUGCUCUCCCCAUUUUUUAUUUCAUAUAUUUAUUAUCAUCAUUCACCAAUGAAGUAUUUCUCAUACUAAUCUAUACACUUUUUAACCACUCAUAUAUUGAUUCACGUGUUUUUUUCCAUUAGAUUCAAAGAAACCUGCAACUAAGAAUCGAAGAACAAGGGAAGCAAUUGAAAAUAAUGAUAGAGCAACAACAAAAGACAAAAGAGUGUCUUCUUCUCAAGUCACCAAACGCUGAAGCAUCGUUGUCUCACUCUGCUUCUGAUCACUCUCCUCCACCUUACUCAAUUCAAGAUGCAGAAGCCCUGUUGCUAACAACUUAUGGAGACACUCAAUUCCAAUCAAAGAUAAGCUGAACAAUGAGAGAUUGGCUAAAUAGAAAAGGCCUAAUUAAAGCAUGUUUUUUUUACUCUUACUCUAUUCAAAGUACUGGUGUAAAGUUAUAAGAGUCGCGACAAGAGAAUGUCCAAAGUGCUAUACACACACUAACACUUGGAAACAGAAUCAGGUACUUACAUGUGUGCAAGUGGUGUGUGAUGGAGUCUUAGUCAUAUAUAGACUAAUAUAUAGAUGUGUGUGAUUAUUCUUAAUUAACUAUGUGCUUUUAAAAAUUCACACGAAGAGAUAGCUUCUUAAAUUAGUAACGCUACUUUUAACAUUGUGCAUGAGGAACCCCACGUUUUAUCCUUUUCCCUUUCUUAUAUAUUCUACUUUGAAUAUUCAAUUUCUUUUCAUCUUUCUUUUUUCUUCUUCUCAUUGUUCUCAAACUAAAUUUGAUUGCUCUAGUAUUAGUAUACACACUGCAUAUUAUGCUGAGAAAAAAAAACUGGAGAUCGUGAGCUCAUAAUAGUAGAUUGUCUUGAUAAGCUCGUUCUUAAAAUCUUGCUGCAUAAAAAUCUUUGCAUUUCUUUGCAAAGAAAAAGGCUCAGAUUGAAACGUUGUUAUGAAAAUGCCGUAAAUUUAAAUGAAUGUGUAUGCUAUCUUGUGAUUGAAAACUUCUUUUUUGUCUAAAGGCCUUGAAAUAUUUUGGUCAGCCCCUAAACCGACUGAUGAUCCCUUCACUAUCACUCUGAGACCGUCAGGGAAGAGAGCCCAUCAGAAUAAAGAAGCAUUGUGGAUAAAUUGACAAACAAAAAGAACUUUAUAUUGGAAACUUUUAUUUUAAAUUUUGGAAAUACUCCAAAAUUCGUUAAAAUACAAUGAGAACUCAAGCCAAUGAUAAAAAUCAAACAAAAAUUGAAUUAACUGUUAUCUCAAAAUUGUAGUUAUAAUAUAAUUACUUUUGAUGACAAAAACUUAAAAAUGACUAUUUGGAAAAAAAUUGCUCAAUUGACAAACCAAAAAAUAACUUUAUAUUGGAGAUCUUUAUUUAAAUCUUGAAAAUACUCCUAAAUUUGUUAAAAUAUAAUGAGAGAACUCAAGUCAGUGAUAAAAAUCAAAUAUUGAAUUUGAUUUAAUAUCAUCUCAAAAUGAAUUUUUAGAAUAUGUUCAAUUUGCUAAACAUAAACAAAAAUUAUAGAUUCCUUAAAAUAUGACGCAAUAAUAUCGUCACACAUACUCUCUCUGUCUGUGUUCAUACUUCAUCCAUUGAGACAAGAGAUGAAGAAGAAGAAGACACAGAGGUAAGUAAACACAAUGUCUCUAAUCCGAAACCCUAGAUCACCCACCUCUCUUCUCAACUGGGUCUCCCACAAAGUCUCCACCUUUAAAAAACCCCAACCUCCCAUAAACCCUAGAAGAUCUCUCUCCUCCACCACCACCUCGAAACUCCCCAGAAACGAGAUUCGCAGACUAACCCAACUCGCCAUGUUCGACUACUUCUACAACAACAGAGGCCUCCAGUUCCUAAUCGCCGAGAGCAUGAGCAAAAACGCUCCUUUAUUCAACGACACCCUCCUCAACAAGCUGCACAACGAUUCUGCUUCUUGUGGUGAUGACGUCAUCAGAUCCAUCACUAAGUUCCUUCUUUACCACCCUGUGAACGAGUUCGAGCCUUUCUUCGAGAGCUUAGGUUUAAAACCCUCUGAGUUUAGCCCUCUCGUGCCUUGUGAUAAGAUGUUUUUGAACGAAGAUGUGUUCUUGUUGGAGAACUAUCAUGUCUUUUGGAACUAUGGGAUUGGUCGGGAGAAGAUGGGGAAGAUCUUUAAGGAAGCUAGGGAGGUGUUUGGUUACGAGAGUGGUGUCUUAGCUUCAAAGAUUGAAUCUUUAGAGCGUUUGGGGUUUGGGAAGGUGUUUGUCUCCAAGCUCAUCGUUUGUACCCCGAGGGUGCUGACUGGUGAGACGAUAUUAGAAAUGGUCAGCGUUGUAGACACUGUUGGUUCGGAUUGGGUGUUGGAGAAUUUAUCAGAGGGAGGCUCUUAUGACUGGAGAUGCAUCCAUAGGUGUUUAGCCUUUCUUAGAGAGUUAUGUGGAGGAGACGAGAGUGAGGUACUAGAGUUAAUCAAGAACCGGCCGGGGUUGGUUCUGGAGGAGUCUGGAGAGUGGACAAUGAUCUUAGCUGGGUUUCAGACAAAGCUAGGUUGUUCCAGAAGUGAGUUGGUUAUGAGACUCCCUCCCCAGAGUAGUCAGGAGGUAGGGAAGUGUGUUUCGAAUCUACGGCAUUGCUUUUUGUUCCUGAGAGGUAUCAAGAUGGAGGCUUAUGAGAUAGGCAAGGUGUUUCGUAACCACUCUCACUGGCUUGGAGAGUCUCGUUUGAAGCACACUAGUACCUUUCUUAAUAAUCUGAAAGGCGGGAAGAAGCGGCUUUGUCAGGUGAUUCAGGAGAAUCCGGAGGAGAUGAAGAAAUGGACUAUGGGGUUGAGAGUAACUCCUUUGCCUGGUACUAGUGUGGUGGACGUAGUCGGCUCCAAAGCGAUGAAGACUCAGUUUUUGUUGGAGCUCGGAUACGAGGAGAAGGAGAUGGAGAGAGCGCUCAGGUGUUUUCGAGGGAGAGGGUCUGAGCUCAGAGAGAGGUUUGAGUUUCUUAAGAGUUUGGGGUUGAGUGAAGGGGAGGCUAAGGAGAUGGUGAAGGCGUCUCCUGAUGUGCUGACACAGGCGAGCAAUGUGUUGGAAGCAAAGGUUGAUUACCUUGUGAAUGAGUUGGGGUACCCGCUCUCGACUCUUGUGGCUUUUCCUUCGUGUCUUAAGUACACGCUUGAAAGGAUGAAGGUAAGGUUUGCAAUGUAUAAUUGGUUGCAAGAGAGAGGGAAGGCGGAUGCGAAGCUGGCGAUAAGUACUAUACUUGUGUACUCUGAUAAGUCGUUUGUGACGAGGUUUGUGAACCGUCACCCUGAUGGUGCUAAGUAUUUUGAGGAGUUGAAGAGAACUGCUUCUUUGUGAGUAUAUAGAAGAAGAAAGUUUAUCAAGAUGUGGUUUCUUACAUUUGAUGAAUGACAAUUUUGUGGACCAGUAACUUCAAAAUCUCUCUGUAAUGAUUUGCUAUGUAAUGUUUCCACAAGCUCAAUAGCAAUUUUGGAUCAAAUUAAAAUUGUUACUAUAAUUAGCCAAGGGUUCCACAUGAGCUUGUUCUCAGGGUUUAGCAUCAAGGUCCAAGGAAAAUCCAAAAGAAUUCAAACUAAAAAAUAUAAGAGAAUAUUCACACUAAUUUGUAAACUAAAAAAAUAUAAGAGAGUAUUCAAACUAAAUUGCAAACUAAAAAAUGUAAGAGAAUAUUCAAACUAAUUUGCAAACUAAAAAAAUAUAAAAGAAUAUUCUUUUUUUUUUUAUUGUGAAACAGAGAAUAUUCAAACGAAUUUACAAACAAAAUAUUCUUGGUACAUUUUCAAAAUGUGUUUGAUCGAUUGGCUAGCAACGCUUGAGAGGCGCCCCACAUAGACAGAGGUUGUUGGAGAACUCAUAGACCCCGAAGUUCUGUAUCAGACCUCCCUGUGGUAUGGACCCACAUAGACGGUUGAAACUUAUGUUAAAUUGGUUAAGUUGGAGCUUGGUCAGCUCCAAAGGAAGCCCUCCGAAAACUCUGUUAUGGCUAAGGUCCAAUGACACCAAGCUCUUGGCCAGUUUGACCUUUGAGAGAUCAAAGUGGAAGUUGUUCCGAGACAAGUCUAACCUUACGGUUGUUUUGUUAUGUCCAAAGAACAUUGAAGCAUCUCCACUGAAGUUGUUUCCUGACAAACUCACGGUGUUGAAGUUGGUUUUGGAUAAUGACUUUGGUAUUUCUCCUGCAUUACAAAUUACAAUUUUUUUUUUGAACUGAGGCUUUCUAUUAAAAUGCAUGAAAAGCAAACAAAUACAGGCUUUUAAACCUUAGUGUUUUUCUAGUGAAAUCCAAACACAUAAUUAGAGCCCAAUAAUAGACAAAAGGAAAGCCCAAGUAGAGGAAUAUGUUGUGACGCAUGCAGUUGAGCGCCCCUGCUUCCGACGAUCGGAGAUAACGGAAAUUGGUAAUAAGAAAGGAUAUAGAUGGAUGAGUAAUGAUCAGAUCGCGAUACUACAGCCAGAGUUGGAGCAUCGCUGAAGAGGAGGAGGGAUUGGUGUCCCUAAAGCUGGAACAUCGAUUGCGCACAAUUAGAUCGAGUGAGCCGAGAAGUGAUUGCGAUGAUCGGAAGCAACCUCGGUGGAGACGCGCAUUUCUUUCAGACCAGAGGAGAUAGAUGGCGCACUGCCAGGCUAGGAGGAUGAGCUUCUUGUGAUUUUUUGGUAGAGUUAAGCCAUUCAUAAAGGGAAGAAGAGAAGCCCAGUCACGUGGGGGAGUAAUUAGACAUCUCGUCGCAGUCUGAGACCAGACUUCCCAGCUGUAACUACAUUGAAAAAGAAGGUGGUCCCUUGAUUCUGGUGCAGUGUUACAAAGUAAGCAGUUUGCGUCGACGUUGAGGCCCCAAUUGAUGAGCCUAUCUCUUGUCGGACAACGGUUCAAAGUGAAAAGCCAAGCCAAGAAGUUGUGUUUAGGAAUACCGCCUUUGCUCCAAAUAGUUCUAUACCAAUUUACCUGAGGGCCGUGGCGUUUGAGAAGAUCAUAGACAGCUCCUGUUCUGUACUUUCCCCAGUGGUUCCCAUCAACUAUCCAUUCAUAAAUGUCUUCUUCUUCUUCAGUGAGCACAAGUGUUGAAAGGUAAGCCUGAGCCAAUACUUGAUUUUCAGUUCGAGGAGAUUGCACUAGCCAGUUGCCGUUUGAGUUGAUGUUGCUUAGUGUUGCUGUUGCAGGGACUCCCAUUCUUCUAGAGAUGGUGGGAGUCAAGAAGUCCUCAAGGCGACCAAACGGAGACCAGUUGUCUAUCCAGAAGCGAGUUGAAGCACCGUUUCCCACCUUCAUUUUAAUCCAUGGGUACACUAUUUCUCUGAGACGCAGCAGUUUGUUUGCAAUCCAGGAAUGUCGUUGGUUUACCUUGCUAGUCCAGAAGUUCCCAAGCGAUCCAUUCAGCACCUCUUCCUUGUACCAAGCCACCCACAAGGAACCCGAGUUACAGAAAAGGAUCCAAAUAAGCUUGAUGAUGGUAGCCUUAUUCCAAACAGCUAAGUCCCUGCAAUUUAGGCCCCCUUCUGCUUUUGAAAGUGUGAUAGUGUCCCAUGAAACCCGGGCAGAGUGAUGGCCUUCAGUAGUACCUUUCCAAAGAUAAGCUCCACAGAUUGAAUUUAUUUUUUUGAUGCAGGCUUUAGGAAUGACAAACGUAGCACACCAGAAGUUGGUUAUACCAGCAAUCACCGUAUUAACAAGUAGUAAUCUUCCAGCAAAGGAGAGGGACUGCGCACUCCAGGUACUGACCUUAGCUUUUACUUGAUGAAGUAGGGGCUCACAGUUUAGGAGAGAGAGCUUUUUAGAGCAUAAGGGAACCCCUAGAUAACGGAUAGGCAGUGAACCAUGUGUAAGUCCCGUGGAAGUACUGAUAGCGUCCACCUCAUUAGCUGGAACACCUGAACUAUAGAAAGCCGUUUUCUGAAUGCUAACCGCCAGACCAGAAAGAGACUUAAAAUGUUCUAGAAUUUCCAGUACCCCAUUCACUGAAGCCAGAGUACCGUCAGUGAAGAUAAGUAGGUCGUCCGCAAAGCAUAGGUGGGUCAAUUUUGUAGAGGCACACUUAGGAUGAUAGUUAAAUUUUCCUUCCAAUGCCCCUUUGUUUAGUAGAGUUGAGAGGCAGUUCAUAGCUAUUACAAAGAGGUAGGGACUGAGAGGAUCCCCUUGACGGAGACCUCUCUUACCUUUGAAAUAGCCAUGAACUCGUCCAUUAUAACCCACCGUAAAUGAAGUAGUAGUGAUGCACGCUUCUAUCCAUCUUACAUAGUCAUUAGGAACUCCAAUGCUUCUGAGACAGUUAAGAACAAAAUUCCAGCUGAUGGUAUCAAAUGCCUUAGCAAUGUCGACUUUUAUAACAAUCUUUUUUGGACCAUACUGCUUGUGAUAACCGUUAACUAGUUCUGUUGCCAGGAUAGUGUUCUCCACCAAGAGUCUCCCUUGGACAAAAGCUGUUUGGUUCGGGAGGAUGAGAUCAGGGAGAAUGGGCUUAAGUUUGGACACCAGAAUCUUCGAGAUAGCUUUGUAGAUGGUAGAGCAACAUGAGAUGGGACGGUAAUCAGAAACAGACGUUGCACCCGGGUGUUUUGGGACCAGGGACAGGAUGGUGGAGUUGACAGCCGAAGGGAGGAAACCAGUAAUGAAGAAUCGCUGAAUAGAUUGAGUAACUUCUUCACCCACAAUUCCCCAAGCCGAUUUGAAGAAACCAGACGUCAGGCCAUCGGGUCCCGGAGAUUUGUUGGGGUUGAGCUUUAGGAUCGUUCGAGAGAUAGAAGAGGCAUCAGGAAUGGCAGAGAUACGUUGGACAGAGUCUGGAGAGCAGCGGUAAGCAAUAAGAGUUUGGAACCAGAGUAGAGGAGCAACAGCGAAGGGAAGAAUAUCUGGUGCCAAAAUAUUUUUGAAGUGGGAGAUAGCAAGAGCCGCCAUUUCUUCUGGAUCUGUAAUCAAGUCGCCAGAGUGGUUGAGGAAAGAUCUGAUUGAGUUGAUCGCUGCCCGCACCACAGCAACCCUAUGAAAGUAGGUGGUAUUGAGAUCUCCUUCCUUAAGCCAGUUAAUGCGCGACUUCUGCUUAAAGUAUGCCUCCUCGAUUCCCCUCAAGAACAUCCAUUUCUCAUGAAGAACCUGCUCCUCCAGAAAUAGUUCUGCUGAAGGUUGUUGCAAAGCCCUAACCUGCACAUCUUUAAGCAAAGUGUUAGCUGAUAAAACUCUCUCUUGAAUCUUUGAAAAAUUCUCAUUAUUUAAUUUCUGAAGUACACUCUUUAUUGUUUUCAGUUUCCAGCUUAGUUCCGCGAGAGUUGUUGAAAAGUUUCCGGCAAGAAUCCAGGCGUCACCCACAGUGGAUAGGAAAAGAGGAUGUUUGGUGAGGUAGUUGAAGAAUUUGAAUGGUUUUGAGCCGGCUAUAGGAAGAGGGGUUUCAAGGUUUAGGAGACAAGGGGAGUGGUCUGAGAAUUCAGGGGCUAGGUAAAUGGCAGAACUGUUUGGUAGGGAGGAGAUCCAAUGGUGGUUAACAAGGGCUCGAUCAAGUUUCUUUGCAAUAGGUGAAGCUGGCCGCUUGUUUGACCAAGUAUUGAAAACACCAUGGUAUCGCAAAUCAAAGAGAUCAAGGUGAAGAAUAGUGUCUCGGAAUUUGAUCAUGUCGGAAGAAAUGGCUUGGACAGUGGGCGAAGAAUGCUCAGAAGGAGUGGUGAUCUGAUUAAAAUCACCAGCCACCAACCACGGUUCCAAAUGAAGAGAGAAGAGUUGUUGAAUGCCUAUGAGUUCAGCCCACAGAUCAUCUCUCUCAGCUGCUAAGUUUGAGGCGUAGAUAGAUGUGACAAUCAUAGGCCUGGCAUUUGGAAUGGUGACUUCAGUAGUAAGAGACUGACGAGAUUGAUGGAGGACCUUUACGGUAACAGGGGACCUCCAUAUGAACACAAUCCUCCCAUCCGGAUCAGAUUGGUGAUUAGAAACAAAAUUCCAACGAGGGCAGACCUUAGACAAGAUAGUAGAGGUCAUAGGCUCCUUUAUGUGAGACUCCAAGAUAGCACCAAAAUAAGGCUUGUUAUAUAUAAGCCAUUGAGCAAAAGGUUUAUGUUUAUCCGGUUCGUUUAGUCCACGAACAUUCCAAAAAAAGGAUUUUGUACACAUAAUUAAAGGGUUGGGGGGGAAGAACCACCAGAAGGUGACUCCUCAGGGGCAGUGGAUGUUGAAAGGGAAAGUAACGGGUUAAGUUUAGAAGGGCCAGGAGGUUUUUUAGUGGGGAAGAGGAGAGGGGGGCGAGAGGGGCAACAAUAUUGAGGUGGGAGAGUGAUGGAUGGGGCGUUAAAAGCGAGAGCUUGCUGAGUAGUUAUAUAAGAGCCAAAAGUAGGAGCAUAGGUAGCAGGGAGGCCAAAAAUAUAGGAUCCUUUAGGAGGGGAGGUGGAGAAGGUAAUGGAUUGGGGAUCAAGAGGGGAGGGAGGGGAGGGGGGAGAGGAAGAGGAGGAGAGAACCUUGGAAGGUGGGGAGGAUGAGGCAAUGGGGGAGGAAGGGGUAUCAAUAGACAUAUUUUGAGGUUCAUCAUGGUCAGGAGGGUCAGGGAUUGAAGGAGUGUUUGAGUUAGAAAGGGAGGGGAGGUCUAAGUCGGGAGGGUUAAGGGUAGACGUAGCAGGAACGAUAGUAUCUGGGGUAUCGGAGAUUUCCUCGUCAUGAUCAGGAGGAUCAGGAAUUGUCUCAACAAUCGGAGGAUCAGGAACAACAACCUGCGAUGUUUGACCGGAGCUAUGAGCUAAUGGUGGUUCAGUCGGAAGUACUUUUGGAGAGUAGAUACAAUCCUUUUGUAUAUGACCAAUACGCCCACAUUGAUCACAAGACGGAGGGAUCCAAGGGUACUCUAUAUCAAUUGGAAUGAUGUCACCAUUUUGACGGAUCAAUUCACCCGAAGUUGGCAGUGGUUUAGUAAGAUCUGCCUCAACCUUUACAUGAGCGAUAUUGAGAUCAGUAAGAUUUUUGGUGUAAUCAUUCGUUUCUAUUGGCUCUCCAACCAAACCAGCAGCAAGGCUAAGUCCUUCUUUAGUACGGAGAUCAAACGGAACACCAGAGAGAUGAGCCCAUAGUGGGAUGGAUUCAAUCUCAGGAAUCUCGCAAGUUACUGAAGAGCUCCAUUGAGAGACAUGAAACAUGGAGGUACCCACAUACCAUAGCCUUUUCUCCAGAGCCUUAGUUCGGAUGAACUCAUUAGGAAUACGAACCAAAAAGGAUCGUUUCUGAGGUUGAAGAUGGAUCUCUAACUUACCUCCUUUUCCCCACAUAAAAUUUAGAACACUUUGAAUUGGUCCAUAGUCUGGCAUUUUACCAAGGAAAGUGCCAACAAGAUACUCCUUAUGAAGCUCUGCACCUCUCUGAAACACAGCAUCAGGGACAGAGACUCUAGGUUUGCCUUCAGGCGAAGUGGAAGUAGGAGCAAGUCUUUUAAGUGAGCGAUCAAUUGAGACCUUAGCUUUCUGAGCCCAAGAAGGAGGAGGGGCUCUAGGAGGAUAGGUUUUAGGUAGGGGAGGGUUAGUUUUGUUUGGUGGUAGAGGAGGUUGAGAAGUUGAAGGAACAGUGGCAGGUUGGGGUAAGAGAGGAGCGGAGUUGGUGAUGGGAUUGUGGGGUGGAGAAGAGGCUAGAUUAGUACGCAGCGGAAAUGAGGAUUUUGGUUCAAUAGUUGAGAAAAUUCUAGGGUUCACUGUUUGGGGAAUAGUACUUUUCACAGAUCCAAAAACAAAAGAGACUGGAUCUAAGGUAGUUGCUUGGAAAUCGGAAGUAAUAGAAGGAUUCUGAACAGGAAUAGUAUUAUUAACUGAUUCCUGGGCUAUAGUUGAGACAGAUUUCAUCUUCUUUGCAGAAGCAGUUAGGGGAGUAAUGGCGGAAGGGGAAGAAGGAAGGGGGGGAAAGUCGAUAAGAGGGGCAUGGUCGGGAGGGUCAGGGGGGUCAGGAGGGAGGUGAGCUGGGGAUUCACCGGGGUUCUUGCCGGAAGCACAACGCGUCUCAGGGAACCAGCAGUUCGCUUCAGACGUCAUCGUUCUACAAAUUACAAUUAAAUCAACAUAAUCAAUUGAUUAUAUUAGUUCAACAUAAUCAAUUAAUGUUAUCAUUCCUUAUUACUAAUGUUCUAUAAAUCGGUUUAAACGGUUCUAAAAUGAUUGUUUUUUAAAUCGGUCUAGGUGGCAUGCAAUAUACAAACAUCCAGUUAGACAUUAAUCCUAUAUAAAACAUCUAAUUACUGCCUAUUGAUUUCUUAAACAUUUGAUUAUUAUAUAUCUAGGCUAAGGAAAAAAUCUUAGGCAAUAACUUGAGUGACAAAUUUUACCUGAGAGGUGAUUAUUACCUAAGUAGAGUUUUGGGAUCUUUCCAGCAAAGGAACCGAAAGAUUCCGGUAUAGAACCGGUUAACUUGUUAUGACUGAGCUGUAUGGUCUCAAGUCUAUGCAUCUGAGAAAUCGAACCAGGUAUUGAACCGUUGAACCGGUUAAAGGAGAGGUCCAAGAAAGUAACGUUCUGAAGCUGGCUGAUGUAAUCAGGGACUGGACCAGAGAGUUCGGUUAUCCUAAACCGAAGGUAGACUAGAUUCUUGAGCUUGGUGAUAGAGCGUGGAAUGGUGCCUCUGAGUCGAGAGAGACUGCUCAAGUCUAGGAUAACGAGGUCAGUAAGGUCUCCUAUCUCCUCAGCUAUCUGACCAACGACGUCUCCUGCAGAUAUAGUGAGGCCGGUGAUGCGGCGGUGAGUGCACACAACGCCGGUCCAGUUGGUGCAGCAGUCGGUUUUGGGGUCCCAAGAGUUGAGGAUUUGAGGGUUGUUUAAGGACUUCUUGAUCUUGAGGAGAGUAGUUUUGUCAUUUGAGUUACAACUUCUAGAACAUGGGAAGAACAUGAAGAAGAAAAAGAGAGCGGGGUUAAGAAGCUUCAUUCUCAUUGGCUCUUAACUUGCCUGUGAAGUUUCUCUUAUUUUUGAAUCAUUUAUGUUCUAAACGAGUUGAUAGUCAAAGAGUGGAUGAUCCAUACAAAAUGGUCCACUUUGACCAUUCACAUGCUUUGUAUGUUACAACUAAUUUUAAAAAGUGCUGUCAAAAUGUUCUUAGUUUACAUUUGACAUUGAUCUGCUGAUAAAUACCCUCAUAUAAUAAUAUAUCAAGUUUAGCAAUAAAUCAAAUUUUGUUAAAAAAAUAUCACACAAAGAGUUUUCGCAAAAUAGCAUUCACUAAAGGAAAUAGUAAUUAGAGAUUAGUAUUUAAAGGGUGAAAUUAGGAUCAGAGUUUAGGAUGUAGAGGAAUUUAUUUGGGACAUUUUCUCUUUGAAUGCUUUGUGACAAUUUUUUUUAAAAAUGCUAUUUAUGAGAUUUGCCAUAAUUUAUUCUUGAAAUGGGUAAAAGUUUUAUAUACAAGUAGCUUGACGUUUCUUGCUGCUCUUAGUUCCCUUAUUAAACCAUUACCUAGAAGUUGACCUUUGGUUCAAGUGAGAACAAUGACUUUAUACCCUCCCUAGCAACAGGAACACACACCAAAGGUGUGGCUCUAGGCAGAGAUGAUCCACUCCCUUCACUCAUCUCCACACGUCCCUUCACUUUCAACUCAAAGCACUGAAUCACCGCAGCUAAAACCAAUGGAACAAAUCUAAACACCAUCUUCUCUCCAGGACAACUUCUUCUACCAGCUCCAAAAGACACCAUCUUCUCACUCAUUACCUUCCAUUCACUUCCUUCAAACCUCUCAGGUUUAAACUCCAAUGGAUCUUCCCAUUGAUUUGGAUCUCUUCCUAUAGCCCAAACGUUAACUAUCACUCUUGUUUUUGCUGGGAUUCUGUAUCCAGCCACUGCACAUUCUUCAUUUGAUUCUCUAACGAAUAUUGGUCCUCCAGGAUGUAACCUCAAUGUCUCCUUCACAACUGCUUGGAUGUAACUGAGAUUGCAAAGAUCAGAUUCUUGUACUAGUCUCUUGUCUCCCACCACUUGUUCUAUCUCUUGUUGGGCUUUCUUCAUGAUCUCUGGAUUGUUUAUUAGCUCUGAUAAAGCCCAUUCUACUGUGAUGGCAGAUGUAUCUGUUCCACCUCCAUAAAUGUUCUGCACAACAAUAAAAUUACAAAGAUGUAACAUGAAUGUUAUGUGUUGACCAACUAAGAGUUGGCCUAGUGGCUAAAAUUCUUAGAUUAUCAAGUAGAUAUCUAAGGGGUCAUGGUUUCAAUUCCCGUUGGGAGGGUCUGCUCUCCUAAGAGAGUUAAUAUAAAAUGGUUUGGGCCUCGUCCUAGAGGAUGUACCUGGCUUUCGGGUCUAAAACCUCUAGACAUUAAAAAAAAAGAAAAAAAAAAGAAUGUUGUAUGUUUGACUUAAUAAGACAUGUUACCAUGAUGAAGCCCUUAAUGUUUUCUCUCGUCAGUUUUAUCUCUGAGUUUUUGUCUUCAUAUAUGUCAAGCAAGAUGUCUAGCAUGCUCCUUACACCUCCUGCAUCCUUGUGAUUCCUAGACUCAUGCUCUUUCAUUAUCCUCUCUAUGAUCACAUCAUAUCUUUCUCUAGCGUUCUUAAGCCUCUUCUUGAUUCCUUGCAAGUCAAGUCUCCUCAAGAACCAAAACGUUUCAGAAACAUUGAAGAAACCUGCUAGCUCAUUCAACUCAACCACCAUUUUGAUAACUUCCUCUCUUCUCCCACUAUCCGAUCUCCUUUCUCUGAACAUCAUUCUCGUUAUGAUGCUGCUUGUCAACUCCUUAAGCUGUUCACCGAGAUCAACACUCUCUUCUAUUUCUGCUUUCUUCAUAACACGCACCAAAAGCUUCCUCAACUCCUCGGUUCUUACAUUGGCAAAUCUAUCUAUUGCUCUGCUGCUGAAUAGCUCCAUCAUACAAAUCCUCUUCAUGAACUUCCAGUGAAGCCCAUAAGGCGCUGAGAAGAAAUCAGCUGAGCCAUAAGUAAGGUAGUCAACAUUUUGCAUUGUUGGACGGUUCAAGAAGUUGAGCUCAUUGGAUUUGAGAAUUUCAUUUGCCAUCUCGGUUGAUGAGACAAUGACAUUAGGGAUGGAGCCAAUGAAGAGAUACAUCAAGGGUCCGUAGUGGGUUGAGAGCUUGUGAAGUGCUUGGUGAGCUAUGGGACCAAGAAGGUGAAUGUGACCGAUGAUUGGUAAAGCUGUUGGACUUGGUGGAAGAGAUAGUUUAUUGCGGAAUCUAUAGGUGUUUAUGGAUUGGAUCAAGAGUAUGAUUCCAAGGCAUAGAAGGAUUGUUACAAUGAAGUAUUGUGUAUCCAUCAUUCUAGUUUGUGUAAGUGUAUGAGAAUGGUAUUGAGAUGGUUUUAUAGGAUAUGUGCAAAGUCAUGACUCAUUAAGGUAUCCAAUGUUAAAGCCAACCUUAAGAUUCUUUAUAUCCUCUUUUGUCUUUGUUGUGUAUUUGUCUCUUUUGUGAGGGUAUAAUCUUUGUUUUUAUUCUGUUUUCAUGUACUAUUGGAUUAUGUACAAAAUUUGUUUUUUAAAGAAUUUACUUGAUGGUAGUUAAACUUUCAUUAUCUGUUGAUAAAAUAAAAAUGUUUCUACUUUAAUUUCAUUGACUAUUGAUUGUAGUUAGAUUAAAAUAAAAAUGUUUUCAUUUUCUAUUAAUUAUAGUUGGGUUAGUAUCUUAGAUAAGUAAUUACUUAUUGCAAAAGUUAAACUCAUGGAAAGUAGGUACGGAUUUCAUAAGCUUCACUUAUGAAAACAGAGAACAACUAGUCCAUGUAGAAAAAGAGCAUGAGAAUAACAUGUAGAUGACAUGUAUAAUAUAUAAAUGUUUGAAAACUAUAUGCAGUGACUUACAUUUAUUUGUUUGAACUGUUGGCUAGUUGUUUUCUCUCUUAUUUUGACUCUUUUUUUCCUGUUUCUGUCUCUUAUGUGAAGGUAUAAUCUCUGUUUUGAUUCUGUUUUCAUGGUUAUUUAUGUUCUGUUGGUUAUAAACAACUUUAAAGUGUAAGUUGCUUGCUGUCCCUGUUAAAACAACUUCUUUUGGGGUUUUCUACAAUAAGUCAUCGACAAUGGAGUACAAUAUGGAGUACUAUCUGUUGACGAACCAGAAGAAACCUAUGAUUCCAAGGGAUAGAAGGAUGGUUGCACCGAAGUAUUGUGUAUCUAUCAUUCUCGUUUGCGUAUGUGUACGAGAAAGAGACUAAGAUGGUUUUAAAGGAGAUGCAGCAAAGUCAUGACUCAUUAUGGUAUCAAAUGUUAAACCUAACCUUAAGAUUCUUUCUUUUCUCUUUUGUCUUUGUUCUGUUGAUUUGUCUUUUCUGUGAGGGAAUAAUCUUUGUUCUUAUUCUGUUUUCAUCUUUAUUUUAUGUACUAAUGGAUUAUCAACAAAUUGUUUUUGUAAGAAUUUACUUGAUGAUUGUUAAGCUUUCAUUAUCUUUUGACAAAAUAAAAAAAUUUCUACUUUCAUUGGCUACUGAUUUUAGUUAGAUGAAAAUAAAAAUGUGUUAAAAUACUGACUGCAAUAGUUAGAAUUCAUGGAAGUAGGCAAUUAUAUGUAAUAAGUAGAAACAGAGCAUGAGAAUAACAUGUACCUGACAUGUAAUAGAUAGAUGUUUUCGAAACUAUAUGCAGUAACUUAUGUUUGGUUUUGGAUUGUUAGCUACUUUUUUUUUUCACUGUUGUUCUGUUUCUCUCUUAUGUGAGGUUAUAGUCUCUGAUUUUUAUGAUGUUUCCCUGAUUAUUUAUGCCAUCUUGGCUAUAAACAAAUUAAAAAUAUAAGAAUGUGUACUACCGUUGUUAAGCUUUCAUUAUCUGCUGACAAUAAAAAUAGUUCCUUGUCCCAUACUAUGGUGAUUUUCAGCUGUACUUAGAUUGGUCAUUAACGUGUCUACUUAAGUGUAAAAGUUACAGUCAUGAAAAAGUAGCAGAGAAGAAUAUUUAGUUACAAGACGUGUUGAUUUUACAAGAUCGGAACAGUUCUUUUCAUUAAAAGUCUGGAGCUUGUAAGAAAAACAGAGCACAAAACAGAGGAAUAUAUGUUUCUGAAUUAUUAAGAAUGUUUCUUUUCAGAAACUUACUGAGUUCCUUAUCCAAAUGGAUCAAAAUAUAAUUUAGGAGAACACAUAAGUGAACUUCCUCCAGCUGUCCCUGAAGCCGAAAAGCCCGUUGGUAACUUAAUCUUGAACUUUUCCUCAUCUCCCUUCACAGUCCAAUCAAAACACUGAACUAAUGAUCCUACCGUGAGACUCAGCACCAAAGACGCAUGAGAAGCUCCCAAACACGCUCUCCUUCCACUUCCAAACGCAAGAUAGUUCACAUCCUGACCUUUUAACUCCAACAUAUACUGCUGGUAAUAAUAACCCAUCUUUCUCUCUGUGUUUUCUUCCGCCACAAGAAACCUCUCUGGCACAAACUUGUCUGGAUCUUUGUACGUCCUCGGAUCACGCAUUAUCCCGUAAGCAUUUAUGAAGAUCUUUGUCCCGGAUUUUACUUCGUACCCGUUGAUCUUCAUGUCUCUGUUGCAUUCUCUGCGUAGUAACGGUCCCACUGGAUGAAGUCUUAGUGUCUCCUUGAUAGCUGCUUGCAAGUAAGGAAGCUUCUGCAAAUCUGAUUCUUUGAUUAACCGAUGAGUGUUUCCUAAAAUGGAUUUGAUCUCUUCUCUGAUCUUUGUGAAGAUGUCUUGAUGGUUGAUCAGCUCGGUCAUUGUCCAUUGUAAUGCUGCAGAAGUCGUGUCUAGGCUUGCCAUGAACAACUCCUGUAAUGAAGUACAAAUAAAGUUGCUAGUUCUAAGGAUUAGCUGGAUAAAAUUUGGAUGAGAAGAUCUUACAAAUGAAGAAUAUUAAUUAUAUUUAGUUUUGUAAUAACCAAAUAUCCUAACAAUACUGUUUAUAAACCGAAUAUGAAACCCAAAUUAUCCGAGUGUCUUUUUGUGCUAAAUAUUUUAAAUUAUUUGAAUUACCUGAUAUUUUAUCCGGAAAACCCCAAAUUGCCCCAUAUUUUUUUUUUCCAAAACAAAUCCUAAUAAGUCAUAAAAUUUACUUGUGUUAACCAAAAUUAUCCGAAAAACUAAAACCGAUCCGGAAAUUGAACCCAAAAUUUCUCGGAUAUUAUUUUGUUCCCAACUUUAUUAUCCGAACCGAUCAAAAACCAAAAUAACAGAACCGAAAUCGAACCAAAUUAUAUAAAUAACCUAACAGAUUCUAAAUCUCUAGGACCAAAAAAAACAAAAAACGAACUGAAAACCAAAAUGUCCAGUGCUAGUGUUUAGAUUAGCUGAUGGGAAACUCUUACAAGGAUGAAGAAUUUGAUCUGAUUCAGAGUCAGUUUGAGUUCAGCUUUAGGGUCGUUAUACGUGUCCAACAAGAUGUCGACUAUAUCUUUAUCUUUCUCUCCAUCAUCACCGCUCUUACCGUCCUCAUACUCCUUCAGUAUCUUCUCAACCAACUCAUCGUACCGCCAAAUAGAGGAUCUAAGCUUCUCACCAUUACCAAACACAUCUAGAUCACGCAACGGUCCAAACAGCUCCAUGAGCCCUAACCUUGUGGCGCAAGCCAUUAUAUCACUCACAAUCUUCCUUAUCUCUAUAGGAAGAUUCGAGUUCUGGCGGCAACGUUUCCCCAUAACCAUCUUCGACAGUAUCUUCGUGGUCAAAGCAGUGAACUCCAAACCGAGAUCACACGCCUCUCCGUUCCUCGACUUCUCAACGAGCGAACUAAGCAAAGCUAACGUCUCCUCCUCUCUUAUACCAACGAAACGAUCGAGCUGAUGGCCCGCGAAUAGCUUAGUCAUGCAAAGCUUUUUCAUGAACCUCCAGUAAGGUCCGUACGGCGCGUUGAAGAACUCUGCUCCUUUGUAGACGUUGAAAUGCCUCGGACCGAACACGAACUUGGAAGCGAAGUCAGGGUCGUGAGUCUUGAGUAUUUGUUUAGCUGUGUCGGAGUCUGAGACGACGAGGACUUGUAGUGAUCCUAUGCGUAUGUUCAUGAGAGGACCGUAGGUUUGGGAUAAGGCUUGUAGAGAUCGUGGGAGGCUUGAACGGAGGAGAUGCAUGUGGCCGAGAAUGGGAAGGGCUCUUGGUCCUGGGGGAGUACCACGGCGUGUGGAGGAAGUGAGGAGUCUUUGAAGAAGGAAGAUUGUAAUGAAUGUGAAGAAGACGUAAGAACAUGUUGUGUAAUUAAUAUCCAUAUUGUUUGUAACCAUUUAUGUUUGUAUGAUCUUGAUAAAACAUGAUGUUAUAUAAAAAUGAAACUUGUCUUGUUGCUAUGAAGGAUCUAAGAGUACAAAGAUUCUUGUAUGAUGAUGACACUGACUCAACAUUUUAAACUGUAAAAUUAAUUUUUAAAACCUUCCACAUGGUGCAGAGUGUCUCCUUCUUUUUCGAGUUUGAAACCUUCUGGUUCAGCCAGUGUUAUUCACUACGCUGACUUUACCUACUUUACUUUUGUACGAACCUGAGAACACAAGCCAGCUUUUAACUAUUUUUCUUUUAUAAAUAAGCAUCACUUUUAUUACAGAGAACUUUUUAGUCCUUUUUGAACAGACUUUAGAUCGAACAGACACACUCAGAUGGCUAUUGGAUUCGUCUGAUCGGCUGAUCUGAAUGGUUACGGAGGAAAGCAAUGACGUAACAAUCUAGUACACUUGGAAUUAAAAUACUAAAAAGUAAAAUAAAUAAAUGGUGGUUCAAUUUUGCAAUUAUAAGAGAAUAGGGGUUCUAUGGUAAAACAGAAAAACAUAAGGGGUUUAGUUUGAAAUGUUCCAUUAAAUCAUCUCCGAGAGAGGUUCUGUCUUAUUUCUAGACAGAACGACGUCGUGUUCGGAGAUUGAAAUUUCAGAUCGUCUCUCUUCUCUCUCUCUCUCUGCUUCUUGUUUUCAAGGUGUGGCCUUUCUUCCGCAAAGCAACUUUCUUUCUAGGGUUUUCUUUGUUGUUUUUGUUUGGCUUCACAGUCGUUUUCAAGCUAUUCUCAAACUUUGUGUGUUUGACUUAGAAGUUGACUUGAAGAACCUUAUAAAGAGUUUCUGCUUCUGCUUCUGAUAUUUGGAUUUGACGUUUAUUCUAAUUCAGAAUUAGAUGAGAUGUUUAGGUGGUAAAUUGAAUUCAUAGCUGAGCUUCACUUCACUGGUGCUAGGUUUUUUAGAAUCGUUGGUUUUUGGUACUUUUACUUUGAUGUGAAUACUGAGUAGAGACUGACUUGUUUUUUUUUUCUUUAAUUGGAGAUGCAAACGAAAAAAAAAAAAUCAGCUACAGAAGCUACUUCACUGUCUUUAAAAAAAGUGAAAUUGAGCUGGUUCAAUGUGUAAGCUGAAUGAUGAUGCUAAGUGGUUUGGAUCUUUAUUUAAAUGUGACUGAAUUUUUUUCUAUUGAUAAAUUAAUUGAAGGAUGUAACGUAUUUAUUGGUUCCACUUUCUUGCUGCUACUCAAUGAUUUGGCUUUGAACAUGUGAAAUUAGAUACUCUUAUUUGCACUCUGAGAUUGUAAUGUUUCUCUAUAACUCUUUAUUUUUGGUUUCUGAUUUAGCGCUUACUUUGACAGGCUUUACUCCAUCUUAUGUAAUUCUAUGUGCACGAGGAAAACUCUAGAGGGUACCAGUAUUUAGUAGUAACAGAGACUUGUAUGAAAAGAAUAGAAUGGGAGAUACAAGUCCAAGAACAUCAGGCUCAACAGAUGGAGACAUGGAUCAAAACAACCUAAUGGUUAAGCUUGUAUUAUUUGCUUCUUUAUCGCUUCAUUAAAUGACCAUCGUUUCUAAAUGAGACAGUGUUUUCUGCAGUACGAUGGUGGGCAUGUGGGUGAAUCUAGCGACCGUUCAAAGGAAAAAAUGGAUCAAAAGGUAAUACAUACAUAUUGUCUUUCUAGUUGAGCCUUUUCAGUUAUGUUUUUUUAUUCUUGUUAAUUUGUAAUUCAACAGACGGUUCGUAGGCUCGCUCAAAACCGUGAGGCUGCAAGGAAAAGCAGAUUGAGGAAGAAAGUAUGCUUAAUACUUUGUUUUCAAACUUUUUUUUUUUAUGUUUUCUACAAACUUUGAGAUGUUAAUUGGGUACUGCACUUUCAGGCAUAUGUUCAGCAGCUAGAGAACAGCCGUUUGAAGCUAACACAGCUUGAACAGGAGCUGCAAAGAGCAAGGCAACAAGGUGUCUUUAUCUCAAGCUCGGGAGACCAAGCCCAUUCUACUACUGGAAAUGGUGAGUUGGUCUGAAUCUCUCUAUCAGAGAGUUAUAUUUUGGUGCAAUCUUUCUAUUGAUUUGAUUAGUUAUACUUCGUCGAUUUUAGAUUUGUGUAUACAGAUUAAUAAUUUUGUAUAUUUUCUAAACAAAAACAUCAUUAUUACCUAUUAUAUCUAACCAUAUUUUAACCAAUAAAAAAAAUACUCUGGAGAAUAAAUUUAGUUCUAAAACAAUAUUUAUUUUGUAACAAAAAUUACUCUACAACACUCAAUAUAAAACGGAGAGAGUAUUUGUUAUCAAGUAGUUUAGCCUAUGGUGAUGAUCUCGUGUAUGCUUCUCUGCUAUAUAGGGGCAAUGGCGUUUGAUGCAGAGUACAGACGCUGGCAGGAAGAUAAGAACAGAAAGAUGAAGGAGCUUAGUUCUGCUUUGGACUCUCAUGCGAGUGAACCUGAGCUUAGGACAAUCGUAGAAACAGUGUUAGCUCACUACGAGGAGCUUUUCAGGAUAAAAAGCAACGCAGCUAAGAACGAUGUCUUCCAUUUACUAUCAGGGAUGUGGAAAACACCAGCUGAGAGAUGUUUCCUGUGGCUUGGCGGUUUCCGUUCAUCAGACCUUCUCAAGGUAAUAGACUAAGUAGUUAAAGGAAGAAACAGUUUAUAAACAAACUCUCAAACUUUUUAUUACACAGCUUAUAGCGAGUCAGGUGGAACCAUUGACGGAACAGCAAUCACAAGACCUAAACAACUUGCAAGAAUCUUCUCAACAAGCGGAAGAUGCUUUGUCUCAAGGGAUGGACAGCUUACAGCAAUCACUCUCCGAGACUUUAUCAAGCGGGACUCUCGGUUCAAGCUCGUCAGGGAACGUGGCUAACUACAUGGGUCAGAUGGCAAUGGCCAUGGGGAAGUUAGGUACACUUGAAGGAUUCAUCCGCCAGGUAAACGUUACAGAUUUGUGUUGUUGUUUGUUACAUGUUACUUGUAGUAAGUUCUAAUAAAGAGCCAUUUGUUUUGUGUUGUGUGGCAGGCUGAUAACUUGAGGCUACAAACGUAUCAACAAAUGUUGAGAAAGUUGACAACCAGACAAUCAGCUAGGGCUCUCCUUGCGAUACAUGAGUAUUCGUUGCGGUUACGUGCUCUUAGCUCUCUAUGGUUAGCUAGACCAAGAGAGUGAACCAAUCACAUGCCAACUGUUUAGUCUUUUUUACCUUCAAAGAAGGGCUACAAAAUUUGAGAUUGCCUAAGAUUCUUAGCAUAUUAUAUGAUUUGAUGACUUUUGAGUAUCUAGCUCUUAUACUAUAGUGUAUGAUUAGAUUGUAUUUGUGUUAUAUUGUGUUUUGAGAUUAUAAAGUUUAUUUUUGAAGUACUUCAAACAUUGAUGAGAAGACAAAAGAAGAACAUAGUAGUGUUGUGUCUUUCACCUCUUAUACUUACAUGUCACGUGUUACAGACCAAAUCUAGUGAUAUAGUCAACAUGGGAUUUGAAUGAGCUGGUGGAAAACUAAUCAUGGAUUGUUAUUCGAGGAGAAACUCACUGUGCCUAGCUAUGAGGAGACAUCAGAUUCAUACUCAUGUAUGAUAUGUGGGGUGGAUGGAGCACGAACUGUCAGAAAGCUGCAGAGAAAUGCAUCGACUUCGAUGUGAUUAACAAUGGCUUCAGCGGAGGCUUAUAUAGUUUGAUCUGUUCAAUACACACUCUGAUCAGCUUCGUUGACUUUGUUUCUUUAUUUUCAUCUUCUUGAUACAAUAUAUUACUCACUCAGUGCCUGCCUGAUCGACCUAAAGCAUCAAAACCACAUAUUAAUGUACAUGUAACGUUACAAUUAGUCAAAUAAGAUUCUUUGUAUUAAAAAUAUUCCAAGGAGACACGGAAACAUAAGUAAGUGGGAAACAACAUUCGAAACAGCAGCUUAUAGAAUUAGUCUUGCAACCAAACAUAGACAACUAAUGGCUCUCACCAAAACACAAAACUUAGAUUAAUCUGAGAUAUGCCCCCGACCAUAAACUAGAACCGGCGAAACUGAAAUAUAAUUCGUAUAUAUAUAAAUAUAUCAAAGAAAGUCGCAGACAACACACACGUUUGCAAACAAAACAAAAGAUCAAACUCCAACGUGCGUUCCAUUAGUGUCUAAAGUCUAAACAUUGUAUAAAGAUUUGAUCAUUAGUCUAAAUACUCAUUCCAACCCAAGAAAAAGUUUUCGUUUUAUUUUUUUCUUUUAUUGUAAAAUGGCAACACCACCGUUAACACCAAGGAUGCUAACACCAACAACACUAUCACCUCUCGGCAGCCCACGCGCCAAAAAAUCAACUGCCACCGUAAUGCCUGAGAUCACACUCGAGCAGCCCUCAAGCAAGACCAACAAAUCCCCUGGCUCCAAAUCGACAAAACUCUUCCGCCGCGUCCGCUCCGCCUUCCGCUCCCUCCCCAUCAUGUCCCCGAUGUGCAAACUCCCCAUGGGAGGCGCGCGUCUCCACGAGAACCACGUCCACGGAGGGACGCGCGUCACGGGGACGCUCUUCGGGUACCGCAAAACGCGCGUGAACCUGGCGGUCCAGGAGAACCCGAGGUCACUCCCGAUCCUCCUCCUGGAGCUGGCUAUCCCCACGGGGAAGCUGCUCCAGGAUCUUGGCGUUGGACUCGUGAGGAUCGCGCUAGAGUGCGAGAAGAAGCCGAGCGAGAAGACGAAGAUUGUUGACGAGCCGAUAUGGGCGUUGUACUGUAACGGGAAGAAGUCCGGGUACGGGGUGAAGAGGGAGCCCACGGAGGAGGAUUUGGUUGUGAUGCAGAUGCUUCAUGCUGUUUCGAUGGGAGCUGGUGUGUUGCCGGUGACUAGUGGAGGAGGAGGGGGAGGAGAAGGUGAUUUGACUUAUAUGAGAGCGCAUUUUGAGAGAGUUAUAGGGUCGAGAGACUCGGAGACUUAUUACAUGAUGAACCCUGAUGGUAACAGUGGUCCUGAGCUCAGUAUCUUCUUCGUUCGGGUUUAAUAACGCGGCCGUUUUAGUGAGUUCUCAUUAAUCAUUUUUAUAUGCUCUCUUUUCUUCUUUUUUUUGCUUUGUUUUUUAACUUUGGUAAUCACUUGAAAUGGUUAAUUGGUGAUGUAAAGACAUGAAUGCAUACUACAUUUUCUAUGGCUGUAAGCCUGUAAGGGAAAGGCAAAUGAGAGUAGAUAUGAUCACGUAAUUUAAUGUAUAUCUACAUCGAAAUGUCAUUGGUGUUUUUAGCUUAUGAUUACUACUCCGCACCUAGUCGUGAAAUGUGUUAAGCUGGAAACAAUUAUAGAUUAUGAAACAAACGUGUAGACUUCCAAAGGAUAGAAACGUAAAAUACAUUUAUGUUUUUUGUUUGGUCAUAAGGGUGAAAUAGUACUUUCACUACUCCUUUAGGUUGGUUUUGCAUUUGACUGAAAGUGGGGUACACUUUUACAUUUGACUUGAAUAUUUGGGUUGGUUUUAGCAAAUGUCCCAUAUAUGUGUGUAUGUGUGUGUUGUGGAUAGUUUGAAGACAGAAUGAUCCAUAACUAUCUAGUAUUUAAACUUUAGGGAUCAAGAUGAAUGCUUCUGAUCUUACCCUAGACAAUACAAUUUUUUUUUACAGAAAACAUACACAUGAAGUAUUUAUACAUAUCUUUUGAUACAUUCAGUUACACCCAGACCAUAACAUGAUAACACUUAAAUCACAAUAAUUUUUUUUUUAAAACCCAUAAUAACAAGCACAAUAGUUUUUAUUAUAAUAAAAAUCGACAAACUAGUGUUCACGUUGCUUCAUUGUUUUCUUCUUCUGUAUAUACCAAACAAACCAACUGCUUACACUUUUGUUGUUUUUUAAUACCGACUUCAAAUGAAAGGGCCCCCUCAACACACUAAUUUUGAAACGUGAAGACGUGCAUGGCCUUGUUCAGCAGUACCUGAAGGUAAGACCAGUUCCACCUAACUUGUCAUCCACUAACGCUGACAAUCUCUCAGCUUGUGGAGGGGACAGGUAGUUAAUCCAAUCACUCACUUCUCCUUUCCUAAACAAGUGCCUAUUCUCAAAGUUCUUGAUCGAUUUGCCCGCCUUGUUCACCUCCAACUUCUUUAAACUCUCGAAGCUACACAGCGCCACGAUUGCCUUCGUAACACCCUUUCCUUCCUCUUCUUCCGUGAAAGGAACGCCCAAGAAACUUGCAAGCUUCUUCAAGUUAGACUCUAUGUCUUGUUUGAGAUCUUCGUAGCGUAAGAACAAGACUUUGUCAGGUCUCUUCAAGCUCUCUUUCCAGUAUCCCAACAUGUGUUCCCAAAACGGACCAAACCCUAUCAGUCCUCGGCAGUACAUAUCAAACCCUUCGUCCAACGAGACUGGACUCACCGACUCCGACUUUAUGCUGUUGGUGUAAUGCCACGAGGAGAUGAAUGUGUCGAACGGGUUCCGACAUAAGUACACGACCUUCACGCCAGGUUUCUCGAUGGAAUCCUUCAGAGAACCGAAAGGGACGUGUGUUGCGAAUGUUCUUGGACUGGCUAGACCGGAAAGGUCAGGAACGUCUCCGUUCGCGUAAAGCUUGUACUCAAAGAAAGGUACUAGGUCAUGAGGGUUGGAUGUAAGGAGAGGGUGGUCAGUGUUUGAGGAAACCGGAUCAAACCGGUGUCGGUUAAGGAGUGUAUAAGUUAAAGCUUUUAACCAUGUUGUACCGGAUUUUGGUAUGGUAGCAAUAACGACGUCGUUUUGGAGCGGUUUGAAAUGUUUUUGGAUGGACAUGAUAGCUUGAAUCUCCUUGGAUUGGCACCAAAAGCCUUGGAAUAGGUAAAGGUGACGAGUUCUCCAACCUCUCUCCUUUGGAAGAGACUCCAACAUCUCUUGGAACUCGUAGCUUAGCCCUUCUUCUUCUCUUUCUCCUUCUUGGCGUUUCGGGGCUAGGCUUUUGCCUUCUUCUUUGAGGAGCUCGAGCUUGUGGCAAACGUUGAAACUUGGAAUCGCCAUUAUUGGUAUAGUCUUGAUGCUUGAGGUCGCCAUUGUCUUUGUCAUAUAUAGAAAAUAAAUGUUUUUUUUUAAUAUGGUUUGAAUCUUGUUUGCUAUAUUUUUGUUGAGUAAGUUGGCUGUUUAUAUAAUGACGCAAAUGCAUGACGAUGCGUUGUGAAGAGAAGAGAGCAGGAGCAUGUGUUGUUAUCGAGCACGUGGGAAAUAAACGGCGUAUGUGAAUUUUAGGUUAGGCCCACUCUACUUUUACACUUUCUAAUAGGGGAGUGUUGUGUUCUCCUUGGAGUUAGUGUAGGUUUGGUUUGCUGCUUUCUCAUUUAUUAUUCUCGUUUGUUUCUGGUCCCAUUAUUGUCGGCAGACACAACUUUGGACUUUUUUAAUUUACUGAAAAACGUCCAAACAAUGCAACAAUUAUCAUGUUUACUUGAUUCUCUCUUUACUCUAUUUAUGAUUGUUACCUGCCAAUAUCAUGUUUCAACGAUUAAACCAUGUGGGUUUAAAGGGCAAAUAUUGGUAAUAUUCCAAUGGCAUAGAACUCAAUGUAAAUACCAUAUAACAAGUGUACACAGUACACAAAGCAGUAAUACUUUUUAUGAAUACACAACAAAAACUUAAAAGAUGAAUCAGUUUAUGAAUAAAUAGUCAUUUUAAAACCACAAGAUAUGUGUUAAUAAUAGCGAGUUCCGGACCCGCACUUAUCAACGUAUAACAUCACGCUCAAGAUGUCGACCGAGUUUUUCCAAAUUUGGACAGAGUAAAUAAAUACCUCUAACGGAUGGACUCCAAUUAUAACUUUUUUUUUUGCCAUCUUUUAUUAAAGUGCUGGGCCGAAGCCCAAAACACAGAAAAACACUAAAAGCCCACAAGAUGGACAGAACAAAACAGAAACAAAUGGGCCUAAAGCCCAAUCGACCCACAAACAUAAACGCGCGUCAACCAAACAUACGUGACCGUUCACGCGUUGAGAUUCACCGUCAACGCGACACACGCGUCCGGACACCUCAUGAAACAUGAACGCCACGUGCUGAAGAAAGCCCAAACGCAGGGACACGCGUCACCCAUCCACCACUUCUUUUCUCGCCGCCUGAACGGUACCGCUUCAAUUCAUCGCCGGAGACACGGCCAGAGACCUCGUAUCGCCGGAAAACACACCAGACGACUACAAGCCUUCAACGCCAAAGAUCACCACCAGCAAAGAAAAUAUCGGCGAUCAUCAAAUCAUUCAAGCGUCAACUCCAGAGCCAAAUCGGAGAAACUCUAUUCUCCACUAUUUUUCGAUGAAACCCACCUCUAACGACUGUAUUAAAGGUAUCGGGUUUCAUCAGCUUCAUCGCUCCGACACACACCGGAUCACGUCCAGAUCAUGCGUAUAAAACGCAUACCCCUUCAACACCAUCGCCUCUUCCAGCGAUUGCCUUCCUCAGUUUCACUUCCUUUUUUCACCACCCGUUAUGUCGCACCCAACAGAGAAAAGGGGCGAACCACCAAAGCCGGCGGCGCGAGGUUGAAUAAACCUCCAUUCCCCGGAGUCAAAGACCGACGAUGACGAGCUAUGAAAGCCUCAUCAUCCCGGAGUCUCUGGACCUCUACAAACGCGAUCCCUCACACUCUCAAAACUAUCUCAAACCUCAUGGACUCCAAUUAUAGCUAUUGUACAAAAAAAAAAAUCUACAUUUUUGUAUCUUGUCUACAAGUGAAAAUUAUAUGCUUUUCAAGUUUUUGUACAUAACGAUGAAUAUAAGACUGAAUUGAUUUGAUUUUGUAUUUUCCUUUCAACUCUAGAUUUUUAUGUUAAUGGGUUAUCGACCUACGAAUGUUCUUUUCAAUAAAAGGGAAAGUUUCUUAUAUUCAAUUGUUUUGGUAUAUAGAUUAACUAGGAUUAUUUAUCAUAUUAACUAUACUAUUUAAAAUUUUGUUUGACAACAUACUAUUUUAAUUAGGAUAAGAAUCAAACUUUUAAAGGUUACGCAUGCACAUGCACAAGCAGGGGCGAAGCCACCUUGUACACUAUGGGUGCACAUGCACCCGCAAUUAUAUCUAUGUUUUCGAUUUUGUAAGGUAAAACAAUAAAAAUUUGGUAGAGCAGAUGGUAAAAUUAAGAUUGUGCACCCCCUCUUAACUCAGGUUCGAAUCUUUUAUAUGUCUUCUUUUCUUUUAUGAUAAUUAGUGCACCCACAAGAAAAAAUUCCUACCUUCGCCCCUGUGCACAAGAAAGAAGACAAAAUGAAUAACGUGUUUAAUGGUUCUGAUUUCACUUGCAAAAAAAGUUUGUUUGGAUUCGAACACUGAUCUGUCUUUGCGUCAUCUGUUUCUUAAUCUUAAUCUUUGUAAGUGUAUUUUUUGUUCUUUGGAGCUUAAAAAGUCUUCAUCUUUGGGACGAAUCAUGUUCAGUUCAAGCACACUCACAGUCCGAUAUUAAUGAAAUAACCAUUCCCAUCCCACGUGGUAUCACGUUCAUUUCCACACCUCAUGUAUGUUAUGGACCAACUUUUUUAGUUGGGUAUCGCUGUCAAGCAAAAGAACAAAAACAUAUACGCCUGUAGCUGAGUACCCACACCUUGUAUUGGGACAAUACUUAUAUACAGUCGUUUUCAAGAUAUACAAAAUAAUCAUUCUAUUUUUUUACCAAAAAUGUAAAUAUUAUUUAAAAAUGAAAUCCACAGAAUCUGAUAAAAAUGUAAGAUUUCUAAGCUUGGUUACACUGCAAAAAUAAAAAAUAAACAACAUGAAAACAAAGACAAUUGAUAUUUUAACUGUUAAACUUGAUAAUGAACAUAAUAAGAAGUAACUAGGCAUAGAGAUUUGAUAUGGGUCGGAUAUGAGUUCGGUUCAGAUCAGGUAUUUUGAGUUUCCGGUAGUUCAGAUAUGAGCCUAGAGGAUCCAUAUAGGAACUGGCAAAUUUUCGAAUCAGAUCAGUUCGAGUAAUUUCAGAUUUAGGUCGGUUCGGAUAAUAAAACUAAGAACUGUCUAAUACCCAAAAAAAUUUGGGUUCUUGUUUUGUUGCAGUCUAGGUUUGAUUAUUUUGGAUCAUUGAGAUAAUUCUGGUAAAUAUUGGGUAUUUCAAAUAAAAUAUCAAGUAAUUAAGAUGAUUCAAAUAAAAAUUUCGGAUAAUUUGAAUUAUUUUAAAAAAUUUGAAUAAAAAAUAUUUGGACACAUUUUGUGUAAUUUAGAAUUUUUGGUAAUUUGAUUUUUUUCAAAUAUUUUCGGAUACUUAUGUUGAGAAUGGUAAGGUGGUUUGGUCUGGUUCGGUGGUUCGAGUACGCAACCAAGAGAUAAGGAUGAAGCUAGUCUGGAUAAGUCCCGAUGAUUAUGUGAUAGAGUUAAACUGUUAGAGUAUCUUGAGAGAAUAUCUCUUUGUAACAAGUAUAUAUGUACGACUCUCAAUCAUGGAAUAUACACACGGUUAAACACAAAUCAUUCUCUCUUAGUUUUACAUGGUAUCAGAGCCUAUCUGAAGAUCUAUUUGGGCUCGUCUGAGAGAGAAAGAAACGUAAAACAAAAUGUCAAAAACAGAUGUAUCAGUGAUCGCCAGUGGCAGCGUGGAGUCGCGUAUGACUUCACCGUAUUUUCUUGCAUCAUCAGACAAUCCGGGAGUGUCGAUCUCGCCGGUGUCGCUGAAUGGUGAAAACUACGCCGAGUGGGCGUCGGAGUUGGAGAACGCGCUUCGUGCCAAGCGCAAGUUUGGAUUCAUCAAUGGUACCUUGUUGUUGCCAGAUGAAAAGGAGAACCCAACGGAGGCAGAGAUGUGGAGAACGGUCAACUCAAUGAUCGUGGGGUGGAUUAGAGCGUCGAUAUUCCCUGCGAUCCGUUCGACGGUCACGUUCACAGCUGAUGCUUCGAAGAUGUGGGGAGAUUUGAAGAGGAGAUUCUCUGUUGGAAACGCGGUUCGGGUCCAUCAGCUCAAAGCUGAACUCGCGGCGUGUAAGCAGGAAGGUGCGAGCGUUAUGGAGUACUUUGGGCGCUUGUCCCUGAAGUGGGAGGAGCUUCUCAACUACAAACCUCUUCCCACCUGCACGUGUGGAGCAUCAGACAAGAUAACGUCUGAUUACGAGGAAGAGAAAGUGCACAUGUUCUUGAUGGGGCUUGAUGAAGCGAGAUUCGGAAACGUAUGCACGAACAUCAUAGGGAUGGAGCCGUUGCCAGACCUAAACUCUGUGUACCAGAGAGUAGUGAGAGAGGAGAGACGCCUCCAGACUUCUCGAGUCGAGACGAGACAGGAGGCAGCAGGGUUUCUGGUUAAAUCGGAGCCUUCACAGUCGGAGAACCAACCUAACAUUGGAGCUGUUGCGGCAGUUGCAAGAAGCAGAGGAGGAAUGGCGUGCUCUCACUGUGGGAGGACAGGCCAUGACAAGAAAGAUUGCUGGCAGAUCAUCGGUUUUCCAGACUGGUGGACCGAGAGAAACCAAGCGGGAGAACGCGGAGGUCGUGGCAGAGGCAGGGGGCGUGGCCGAGCUCAGGCUAGGUCCAACGCAAUGCAGGCUGCAGGCACCGCAGGACAAGGAGUUCCAAGCUUGACGAACGAACAGUGGGCUUCGCUGGCUGCGCUCCUUGACCAACAGAAGCUGACUCCAAUUCCAGAUAAGUUGAAUGGUAAGAUUCAAACUGGAGAAGUAAUUCUCGACACUGGUUUGGAUUCAUCAAUGGUACCUUGUUGUUGCCAGAUGAAAAGGAGAACCCAACGGAGGCAGAGAUGUGGAGAACGGUCAACUCAAUGAUCGUGGGGUGGAUUAGAGCGUCGAUAUCCCCUGCGAUCCGUUCGACGGUCACGUUCACAGCUGAUGCUUCGAAGAUGUGGGGAGAUUUGAAGAGGAGAUUCUCUGUUGGAAACGCGGUUCGGGUCCAUCAGCUCAAAGCUGAACUCGCGGCGUGUAAGCAGGAAGGUGCGAGCGUUAUGGAGUACUUUGGGCGCUUGUCCCUGAAGUGGGAGGAGCUUCUCAACUACAAACCUCUUCCCACCUGCACGUGUGGAGCAUCAGACAAGAUAACGUCUGAUUACGAGGAAGAAACGGGACGGUAUCUAUGUUUAUCGGGAUGUGACAAUGGCGCGAGGACUCAGAGUUAAGGCUGCAGAAGACAAGACUCUUUGGCAUCGCAGAUUGGGACAUCCUUCAUUUGGUGUUUUGGGAUUUUUGCCUUUUGUUUCUGGUGUUCUAGAUAAUACUGAUAAGUUUGGUGGUUGUGGAAUUUGUUUUAAGUCAAAACAGACUCGCGGGGUGUUUUCCGAGAGUUUUAAUAAAGCAUCUGUUCCGUUUGAACUAAUACAUGUCGAUUUAUGGGGUCCGUAUCGAACAAAAUCAUCUUGUGGUGCUGUCUACUUUCUCACCAUUGUAGAUGAUUUCUCUCGAGCCGUAUGGAUACACCUACUCCUCGAGAAAUCCGAGGUAAAGACGAUUCUGCCUAACUUCUGUCGCCUAGCACAUAGACAGUUCGACAGGCUAGUCAAGACAGUCCGAAGCGACAACGGCACAGAAUUCAUGUGCCUCUCGAGAUACUUUGCGGAGAAUGGGAUUCUGCAUCAAACCUCGUGUGUAGCAACCCCACAACAGAACGGGAGAGUGGAGAGGAAACACCGUCACAUCUUGAACGUCUCCAGGUCUAUUAUGUUUCAGGCCAACCUCCCGAUCAAGUUUUGGGGUGAGAGUGUGCUUACUGCGGCCCAUGUUAUCAACAGAACCCCCUCGAGCUUGUUGCAAGGGAAAACCCCAUACGAGUGUCUGUUCGGAAAAGCUCCAUCCUAUGCCGACAUCAAGACGUUCGGAUGCCUUUGUUUUGCGCAUAACAUGCAGCGAGACAAGGACAAGUUCAAAGCUCGAGGCAGAAGAUGCGUGUUUGUGGGAUACCCCUUCGGCAAAAGAGGCUGGAAAUUGUACGACCUAGACAAGCACGAGUUCUUCACGUCACGAGAUGUUGUAUUUGACGAAGCAGUCUUCCCGUAUCACACUGAUGCGGCUCCUGCAGAGGUCGAACUGGUCAGAGGAACUGAAACUCUGGAACCGGUGCUCGAGUCGAGGGGGAGUGAUGAUCUCGAUCACGACGAGACGAUGGAGAUAUCUCCAGCUACUGCAGGUGCAGAGCGAGGUAACACAGUAGCCGUAGAGCCGGCGCACGUGACUAUAGAAGAGGAGACGACUGGUAAAGAAACAGAGGCAGUCGUGGUAACAGAAACUGAGACCACAUCAGUUAGUGAAGCUGCGGCUUCAGCGUUAGGCAGAGGGCAUCGCGUGCCUAAGCCAUCAGUCAAACUACGCGACUAUGUCACCUACAAUGCGCAUUGUCACCCUGAUAAACAUCCCAACCGUUCGUCAUCAGCUCCGUCAGAGUCUCCUGAGACGCGUCCAGGUAUGGUUUCCUCAUACCCACUCUCUGCUUAUGUUACUGAUGCCAUCUUCUCUGAGAAACAUCAGGCGUUCCUGGCGGCAAUCACAGAAGCAUCACCACCGCGUAGUUACAAAGAGGCCGUGCGUGAUCCCUUCUGGAACGAUUCUAUGGGAACAGAAGUGGCAGCAUUGGAAGAGCAGAGAACGUGGGAUGUCGCCGACUUGCCGAAAGGAAAGAAAGCGUUGGGCUGCAGAUGGUUAUACAAAUACAAAUUCAACCCCGACGGCACAAUUGAGAGAGGCAAGUCGAGACUGGUCGUAUGCGGCAACAAACAGAUAGAAGGAGAAGAUUACGAGGAAACCUUUGCGCCGGUGGCCAAGCUCACGACUGUGAGAACUCUGCUGGAGGUGGCAGUUGCAAGGAAUUGGGAAGUGCACCAGAUGGACGUGCACAAUGCAUUUCUACACGGUGAUCUGGAAGAAGAAGUGUACAUGAAGAUGCCUCCUGGAUUUGAAGCUAGUGAUCCCAAUAAAGUGUGCAGGCUAAGGAAAUCGCUGUAUGGACUGAAGCAGGCUCCUCGGUGUUGGUUUGCCAAACUGACAACUGCACUCAAGCAAGCCGGGUUCAAGCAAAGUUACUCAGACUACUCCCUGUUUACAUACAUUAGGCAAGGCAAAAGUCUGCGUGUCUUGAUAUACGUUGACGACCUUGUCAUUGUGGGAAGUGACCUUGACAUGGUGACCAAGUUCAAGGCUCACCUGAGCAAAUGCUUCAAGAUGAAAGACCUUGGUAAGCUGAAGUACUUCUUGGGCAUUGAGAUAGCUAGAGGACCGCAAGGCAUGUUCCUCUCGCAGAGAAAAUAUGCAAUUGAUAUAGUAUCUGAGGCGGGGCUGCUAGGAUGCAAGCCAGUGUCAACGCCUAUGGAGCAGAACCAUAAGCUCCUCUCCGACAAUGGACCCUUCUUCAAGGAUCCAGCAAGGUUCAGGCGCUAUGUAGGCCGUCUCGUGUACCUGACGAUAACUCGUCCUGAGUUAAGUUACGCAGUCCACGUGCUCUCUCAAGUUAUGCAGAAGCCAAGAGAAGCACAUUGGGAUGCGGUUGUGCGAGUGCUGAAAUAUCUGAAGGGGACUCCAGGUCAGGGGAUCAUGCUGAAGGCAAUCAGUGAUCUGCACAUUCGAGCAUUCUGCGAUGCAGAUUGGGCGUCAUGUCCAGUAAGCCGCCGCUCAUUGUCCUCUUACAUUGUCUUACUAGGCGACUCACCUGUGUCAUGGAAAACGAAGAAACAGAACACGGUGUCGCACUCAUCGGCAGAGGCUGAGUACAGGGCAAUGGCUGCUACACUUCGUGAAUUAAAAUGGUUGAAGCGGUUACUGUCGGAUUUGGGAGUUGUACACAAGUCACCUAUGGACCUGUUCUGUGAUAGUAAAGCGGCGUUGCAUAUAGCCGCAAACCCAGUAUUUCACGAGAGAACGAAGCACAUAGAGACUGACUGCCACAGCGUCAGAGAUGCAGUUCAAGAUCGACUCAUUGUUACGAGACAUGUUCGCACCACAGAGCAACUGGCAGACAUAAUGACCAAAGCGUUGGGGAGUGUACAGUUCCAUUACCUACUCAGCAAGUUGGGCGUUUGCAAUUUACAUGCUCCAACUUGAGGGGGAGUGUUGAGAAUGGUAAGGUGGUUUGGUCUGGUUCGGUGGUUCGAGUACGCAACCAAGAGAUAAGGAUGAAGCUAGUCUGGAUAAGUCCCGAUGAUUAUGUGAUAGAGUUAAACUGUUAGAGUAUCUUGAGAGAAUAUCUCUUUGUAACAAGUAUAUAUGUACGACUCUCAAUCAUGGAAUAUACACACGGUUAAACACAAAUCAUUCUCUCUUAGUUUUACAACUUAUAAUAAUAGAUUUUAAAAUUAUAUAUAUUUAGUUAUAUAUGUCAUAUUUCUGGUUCUUGUUUCGGUUCAAAUUCGAUCAAUUUGGAUACAGAAAUAUAGGAAUUGUUUGGAUUUUUGAGGAUUUUUGUAUAGUUUCGGUUUUGAUUAUUUCGGUUGGGUACGGUUCGGGUUUUUGGUUCUGGUGUUUUGCCCGAGCCUAGAAGUAACGACACAAUCCUAUAAAAAUAUCAUCUUAGACAAGUAUGACGUAGUAGUGGUAAGAGCUGAAUUAUAUAUCGACAUGCCGUAAGACGCACAAGCUCGGUACAUGAUGCAUUAGGGAAGUGGAGCCUACUGCCUACGUUGCUUUCUUCAUCCUAUUCGUUUUGUAAACUCUUAAGUCGACAAAUAUAGACAAGCAGUCGACUGACUUGCGGCUUACUGUAAUGGAGAAAGAUACACUAUCUUUUGAUUGCGACUCUUAACCAAAGUCCGCGACAUUACUCUUCCUCUAUAUCUUGUCUACACAGAUGCGUGAAGCGAUUUUUUCCCUCGUGUUUAUCGAGUAAGGAUUUAGAUGAUGGAUGGGUCAAAAAGUAAACUAUUACGUCUUGCUUUUUUUUUAUCAUUUUUUCUUUUGGGAUCAAAUACGUCUUGCUUUUUGAAUACUUUUUUUUUACAAGCAACAUGUUAUAGCCAACAAUCCAUAGAAGCAGACCUAAGGGCAAAGACUGUUUAAUUUUGAAAACCAAAGGAGAAGCCUCUGAGACAGCUAGAAGGUUCAAAACCUUAACACCUACAAGAUUCAAAACACUUACAAGGUUCAAAACUGUAAGGGCAAAGAGUGUUUAAGUUCCGAGAUGAUAAGACCUUGUUCAUAUAUCUAUAGUCAAAUUAAUUAAACAGAGAAAUUAAAUAUUUAUAUCUGAAUAUUAACAAACAUGCAUAAUAUUAUAGGUAUAUAGGCUUCAGUUCAUCUUUCCACAAAACAUAUAACCGAAUCCUAGGCUAAUCCCUUUAGGUGCUACUUGUUGUAGGAACAGAAGACGCCUCCUCAGGUUGAGCCUCACUAGCUAUAGUUUCCGGCAGUGAGGUCUCUUGCUGAGCCACCGGUGGAGCUGCCGUGAGUGAAGGGGCAGAAGCUUGAACAGUUUCUGUAGGUUUGAACUUGUUGAUGUAGUAGCUAAGAGACGGUCCUCUGUAAUCCACCGCUUUUGGUCGAGCAGGGGCGUCUUUUCCGACUUGGAGGAGUAUAGAGGAAGCGGAAGCGAGUGCGAUGAGUGCAAGACCUCCUACGAUUGCUGCUGUGUUCUCAGCCCCAUCGGACGAAGAGCCUGCAGUGCCUGAGCUUAUCGCGCUCUCUGCUAUAUACACUGCAGGCUGCAAAAAAGUAAAAUGAAAAGCAAGAAACUAGUUUAAAAUAAGAACUAGUUAAAGAUAAUAAAAACUAGUUAAAAAAAUAAUAAAAACUAGUUAAAGAUAAUCUCUUCCUCUCUGGCCUAUUUAAACUUAAUUAAUUAUUAUCAUGUCUCUACUACAGUCUAAUGCCUAUCACAAAGAUUGAAGCUUUCCCUCCAAAUGUUUUUCUCUGUUUUGAUCCUUUCUUAGACAUACUAAAACUGACUCAAGGAAAAUAUUAAAAAUGACUCAAGGAAAAUAUUUAAAAAAAAAAAAACUAAAAAAAAAGGAUGGUAUGAGUGGAUAGUAGAAAACCUCAAUAGAGUAGACAUUAGUCUGACCAGCAGUAUCUUUCUCAACAUAGCCAGUCCAACCACGCUUCCUUGGUGGAAACGUUCCCACCACUUUAGUCUUUUCUCCAGCUAACCAUUCCAUACUCACUGUCCCAACCUGUGUGUUUCAGCCAUCAAACAAUAUCAUUUUUUUUUCUUCAAAUUUUAAGAUUUUCUUAGUUUGUAAUCAAUUUAAUACCAAUUCUAAGUGUUAGGUGUUUCACUAAAGUUGUCCAAUUUUUUUUAUGAAAUCUUAAUACAUAAUCAUGGAGAUUUUUCAAGUUUUUACUCAUCCAUACUCUGUAACAAAAAGAAAACAGAGCUGCACUACUUUGCGACCAUCUUCUAAAAAAAACAUUGUGAUUCCGUAAGAAAAGAGUACCUCUUUGUCGGGAGCACAUUCCUCGGCAUUACAAUCAGGAUCAUCGGAAGAAGCUCUAACGACGGAGACGCAAAGUUUCCUUCCGCAGGACUUGGCGCUGAGGAAUCUGCCAAGAGGCUUGGGAGAUGGUAAAACGCAGCCGUUUGGGGAUAGCAAGACAUUAUAAGUGCAAGACAUGGUUAGAUCAGAUACGAGGAGAUUCUGCUGGGUUUUGGUUUAUCUCUCCGAGAGAUGUGAGGAGGACAAGACUGAAGAGACGAUCAUGUGUCUUGUCUUUGUGUUGGUGGGCUUUUCAAUCAGUCUACUAUAAGUGCCCACACCAAAAACUGAGGCUCAACAACAGCCCAUGUUCAAAAUGGCUAUAUUGAUAUGUGACAGAGGUGUUUAAUCCGGUAAAACCCGGUGUUUAAUCCGGUAAAACCAAACCAAUUAUAACUAAAACAAACCGAAAUAGAGAAAGUGUUUUAGAUUUGAUAAUAACGAAUAUACCGAAUGAAUGUAAUUUUAAAAAAAAACUGCGGUAUAUAAAUAUGGUUUAGUAUAUAACCGACCGAAAACUUACAGUAUAUAAACCGAACCAAACCAAAGUAGAUUUGGUUUUAGUAUGAUAGCUAUUUUUUGUAAACCAAAACCAAAAUCCGGAUUGAACACCCUAACCGUGAAACAUAGUUUAUGAAAUAAAACACUGUAAAAACUUUUAUAUACUUCACCAAGAUUAUCUUAAUCACACCACACUCAUAACAUCCUUCCAUUGUAUCAACCAAAACCUCAAUAAAACUCACAAACACUGCUCACAUGAAACAAAACAAAUGGUUAAAGAGCUCCUAAUUUGUUACAACAAUCAACUAUCUAUACAAAUGGAUGCAUGCAAAUAAAACCAUUAGCCAUGCAACACCAGCUCAUCCUCCUCCUUCUCCCCUUGCCAAACCCAAACAAUAUCAGCCAGAGCAGGCCUAAGAUCCUCCUCCACCAGCUUCUGAUACUCCACAGUAUCCCCACUACAUUUCUUAACUUCAACCAAGUGAAACGUCUCGGCCACUUCAAAUAUCUCCGCAUCAAUCAACAACCUCCCUUUCCUCCCCUCCUUCCCUCCUUCAAGUUUAAACAGCCCCGCCUCUUGCUUCCUUAUCUUCAUCUUCAAACCUUCAGCCACCUCCUCCAGCUUACAAAUAAUCUCCAAAGCAGGCUUUCUUGACGUGAACUUAGACUCUUGCUUCUUGUGCACGUCUCCGAAUAGUCCUCCCAAAUCAAACCCUGAUGACAAUGAUAUAAUAUCAAAAGCGUUCAAGCUUGUUAGGUUGGGAGGAGGAGGAGGCUCAUGGCUUUCACUUUGACCUGAACCACCAGCCUCCAUGGGAUUAACCUCUCUAACUUGUUGCUUCUUGUGCUUUAAACCUUUCCUGAACCAAGAACUCUCCUUGAUUCUUGACAUGGUGAUCCUCGUCUCAUGGUUAGGAUCCAGCAUCUUACACAACAGCCUCUUAGCUUCAACGGGAAACCCUCUAGGGCACUUGAACUCUCCUUUACCAAUCUUCACGUACAUAUCCAUUAGAUUUGCGUCGUAAAAAGGAAGAUAACCAGCCAAAAGAACAAACAAGACAACCCCACAAGCCCAAACAUCAGCUUUAGCACCAUCAUACGCCUCACGGUUAACAAUCUCAGGACAAACAUAAGCAUGCGUACCACAAGAUGUAUGAAGCAAACCAUCUUCCCGCUUAGACUCCUCAAGUGCACUUAAACCAAAGUCAGAAACCUUGAGGUUAUCGUGCUCGUCAAGCAAGAGAUUCUCCGGCUUAAUGUCACGGUGAUACACUCCACGGCUGUGACAAAAGUCAACGGCAUUGACGAGCUGGUGAAAGUACUUCCAAGCAACUUUCUCGCUAACUUUCCCCUUUGUAAUCUUAUCGAAAAGCUCCCCACCUUUGCAGUACUCUAGGAUGAGGUAGAUCUUUGUUUUUGUCGCCAUGACUUCGAGUAGUUCGACGAUGUUUGGGUGUUUGGCGAGGCUCAUCACGGAGAUCUCUCUCUUGAUCUGCUCGCUGUGUCCAGGUUUCUUGAUUUUUUCCUUGUCUAUCAUCUUGAUAGCUACGCUCUCGUUGGUGUGGAUGCUUCUUCCGUAAUAUACCUUGGCAAAGUGACCUUGACCUAGUAAUCUUCCAACCUCGUAUUUAUCGGUUAAUAUACUUGGUUUGUUCUCCAUCCUAAUCGACACAAAAGUUCAAGAGUUAACAAGAAAGUGAGAAGCAAAACACAGAGAAUCUUGUUCUUACCUCUUAUGAUAUGAUAAAGAUGAGACUUAUCUUUCAAGAAAACAAAAGAAGACGUGGGGAUCUCUGCUUUUGACCUCUGGUUAUCUCUGUCUUGGUUAGUUUAUAAUUGUGUUUUCGUGUUUCCUACGUGAGAAGGGAAACGAAACAUUCAAGUUCAAAAAAAGAAUGUAUAUACAUAUUCUCCUGUGGACUCGUCCACCUAACGCAUAUGUUUUUUUUUUUCGGAAGACAAAGUCUAAGUUUUGUUCGACUCGUAAGAAAGAAGCGCACAUGAGAAAAGAGUAAACGUUACAUUGUUUUAUAAGGACUUGUGUUAUAACAUCAUCUGCCUUCUCCUGGUAUUGUACGGACAAAAUACUAGGAAAUGUAUAUUAAGUGCUCGAUAAAUACAAUUUAAAAGGGCUUGUAGUGUUCACGCCUUAGAGGGAUGUUGUUGAUGGUCGUGUUACUUGUCUUCUUCAUGUUCUUGCUACAAUGGUUCACAGUAUUGUUCUUUCUAAAACGGUUCACAAUAUCCUAUGAUCAGUGACCAGUCUAUAAUGUUUUUGUAUUCUGUUUCUAUGGUUAGUGUAUGUUUUGAAUGUUUUUAUUUGUAAAAUUUGCAGGCAAGGGGAUUGAAGAAGCAUUUGAAGAGGCUCAAUACACGUUUUGAUAAACUUUUUGGUCCCUUCGUACGUUUUCUUUGUCUCAAAAACUUGUUCAUUUUUCUUGGUCUCUCUGUUCUUCUCUCUCUCUCUCUCUGACUCAUAAUCCUCAAAGAUUGUUCUUCUCUCCGAGUUCCUCACAAUCUUUUCUUGUUGAAAUCACAGGUUUUGCCAUCUCCAACGACAGGCACGGUUCCUUCAGAAUCUCUGAACAACGGUUUGCUCAUCGACCAGAAUGAAAUCAAACCUGAAGAUGCGAAGGAUGCAGCAUGAUGCUUACUUCACCGCCAAGCAACAGUUAUUCAAUUAACGGCUUUUUAGAAUUUCAUUUUCUAAGAUAAAGUUAUAAUGCCUUUUUUUAUUAAGUUUUUUCUGUUUAGAAGGGUUAGGAGGUUUAUAACCGACCCUUAUUGUGUUUUUGAUAAUCAUUUUUUUGAAAGAUAUUAAUCAAGAGUUUUCUCUUAAGCCUUGUAUUGAUUCGAUUUAAUUCAUAUGUCUUGAGAACUUUGUGUUGAUUUUGAUUCAAUACAUCAGCUGAAGAAGUAAUUAUCUCUAGAGAUUUCGAUAAAUCCGUAGAUUUGAGCUGAGUUGAAACAUUCAAGUACAGAAAAAACAUAUACAUAUUUUGUCCUGUGGACUCGUCCACCUAACGCACAUUGUUUUAUAAGGACUUGAUGACACAUUCUCUGCCUCCUCCUGUUAUUGAACGGACAAAACAUUAAGAAAAGGAUAUAAAGUGCUUAAGAAACAGAAGUUGAAAGGGCUUGUAGUGUUCACACCUUGGAGGGAUUGUUCAUAUUGGUCAUGUUUCUUGUAUUCUUUCAUGUUCCUGCUACAACGGUUCACAUUGUUGUUCUAGUUAUUGUACAUCCUGCAAAACCACACUUUAGUUGCUCGUCCUACUAUCUUCAUAUACAUCUCCAUUACAUUAGAAUCAUGAAAUUGAGAAGCAAAGUCCCGAAUGAAGCGGAUUCGAUCGAUUAGUUUUAUCAAAUAAAUCUAUAAUUAUUUAAAUGAAUUAUUAUUUUAAAUAUUUAUUUUAUAGUAUUACUAAAAAUUAAAAUAUAUUGAUAUAAACAUGAUUUUGAGAGUUUAUGUAAUAUUUUUAAAUUUAAAUUUUAUAAAAUUUUAUCUAAAAUAACGUCGUUUUGAUAAAUUAACGAAUGACUAACACCUUUGAUGAUCAACUUAUAUAAACACAAUUUUAAAAAUUUAUGUACUGUUUUUAAAUUUAGCUUAGUUCAGUGUGGAAUAUGCACUGUUAUAAAAUCCGAGAAGAGAAAAAUAUGACACGUAAAGUUUAUAUAGUGUUUUAAAAAUUUUAUUUAAUUUAGUAUAGAAAAUGUAAUACUAUACAUACAAUAUUCCGCGUAAAUUUCACAGGGCAUUUAGUAGUGCUCACUGCUCAGCUCAUCUUCUCGAGUUAAUUUAGUCUUGUUUUCUGGGCCGAAGAAGCGAAAUAAGAUCAGACCCUUGGUUAGUUUCAGAUUUGUUAAUGGGCCUGUAAUAAUUAAAUAAGCCCAAUAAUUAUAAGAGUGGACAAAUCUAGGGGUUACAUUUUUCUUUUGAUAUAUAAUCGCUGAGAGAGCCGGGAACUGCCGCCACUGAGAGGAAGAAGAAGUCGUCGUCGUCGUCCGCUCCGAAGCAACUGCAAACAUGGUUCGUCCAAAUCUAUUGCUUUUCUCUUAGCUUAUGUUUCUCUGUUUCUCUUGUGUAUUCAGUGAUUGCUCAGCUCUGCAUAGACAUGUACAUUCAAACUAUGAGCGUUUUUUUAGUUUCCUAGGAUCAGUGGCCACUCUAGUUUACUCGUAAUCUAGCGAAUGUUAUGUUUUAGGACCGAACACUGACUGCAAUGUUCUGUUGUCUUUGAAAAUUGAGCUUCUUGGGAAUGUCCUUAUGACAAGACUCUAUCAAAUGUGAUAGUUUUGUAUUAAUUUAUUUGGUUGUUAAAAAAUAAUAAUAAUGAUAAAAAGUAUUUGAUUGGUUCCUUGACUUGUGUAUGUUUUGAAUAGUUGUAUUGUAAAUUUUGCAGGCAAGGGGAUUGAAGAAGCAUUUGAAGAGGCUCAAUGCUCCCAAGCAUUGGGAUCUUGACAAACUUGGUGGUGCCUUCGUACGUUUUCCUAAUCUCAAAACAUGUGUUUCAAAUACCAUUCAUUAUAAAUACACUGUAACAUGUUGUCUUAAACUGUUUCUCGCAGGCUCCCAAGCCCUCUUCUGGACCUCACAAGUCUAGGGAGUGCCUCCCUCUCGUCCUGAUCAUCAGGAACAAGUUGAAGUACGCUUUGACAUACCGUGAGGUCAUCUCCAUCCUCAUGCAAAGGCAUAUCCAAGUCGAUGGAAAAGUCAGGACUGACAAGACUUACCCUGCUGGCUUCAUGGGUACGGCUCUCUCUCUCUUCUGGUUUAUUAAACCACAUAUAUGAUGAUCAAUAGCCUAAGCUGCUGCAUUUUGAUGUAAAUAGAUGUUGUUUCCAUCCCCAAGACUAAUGAGAACUUCCGUCUUCUGUAUGACACCAAGGGACGUUUCCGUCUCCACUCCAUCAGGGACGAGGAAGCAAAGGUAUUAUACUGCAUUGUCUUCUUUAAUCUUUUGCCUGUAUUUUAGUGGUAUUAAUUUUAUUUUUAAAAAAGAAACGCAAAACUGUUGAAUUAUAUUAUAUAAAGAAUUUAAUUAAAAACUAUUAUUUAUAGAAUAGUAUUAAGUAUUAAGUCACUUUUUUAAAUCUUGCCUAUAUGUGAGUAGUAUUGAUUUUAUUAAAAAAGAAUGCAAAACUCUUGAAUUAUAUUAUAUAAAGAAUUAAAUUAAAAACUUGUAUUUAUAGAAUAAUAUUAAGUACUAAAGCCACCUUUUUAAAUUUUGCCUAUAUGUGAGUAGUAUUAAUUUUAUUUUUUUUAAAAAAAUGCAAAACUGUUGAAUUAUAUUAUAUAAAGAAUUUAUUAAAAACUUGUACUUCUUGAAUAAAAUUAAGCAUUAUGGUUAAUAGCCACCUUUUUAAAUCUUGCCUAUAUGUGAGUAGUAUUAAUUUUUUUCUUAUUUAAAAGAAUGCAAACCUGUUGAAUUAUAAUAUAUAAAAAAUUUAAUUAAAAAUUUGUAUUUAUAAAAUAAUAUUACGUAUUAAGUCCACCUAAUAAGCUUUUUUGACCAGUAGCCACAUAAAAACACAUGUUACAUUUUCCCCUUGUUGAUUGAGAAUUGUGUUGAUUUGUUUCCAUGUCUAGUUCAAGCUUUGCAAGGUUAGGACAAUCCAGUUCGGACAAAAGGGAAUCCCUUACCUCAACACAUACGAUGGCCGCACCAUCCGUUACCCUGACCCGCUCAUCAAACCAAACGACACCAUCAAGCUCGACCUCGAGGAGAACAAGAUUGUUGAGUUCAUCAAGUUUGACGUCGGUAACGUUGUGAUGGUGACUGGUGGCAGGAACAGAGGGCGUGUUGGUGUGAUUAAGAACCGUGAGAAGCAUAAGGGAAGCUUUGAGACGAUUCACAUUCAAGACUCUACGGGGCAUGAGUUUGCCACGAGGUUGGGCAAUGUGUUCACUCUGGGGAAAGGAACAAAGCCGUGGGUGUCUCUUCCAAAGGGUAAAGGUAUUAAGCUGACUAUUAUUGAGGAAGCUAGGAAGAGGCUUUCUGCUCAACAAGCUGCUUAAAAGUUGAAUCACCCAAAGACCGGUUGUUACCUUCUUGCUUCAGUUUUGAGCCUUUUUCUGUUACAUGUUUCUUGCUUGCAAAACCCCAUAAGAAAAAAAAACAGCUGAGCAUUUUAGAGCGUUUUGUAAUAUUUGUAUGGACUUUUAAAGUAAUUUACUCUUCAAAAUCAUUUACUUGUGAUAUAUUACAAGCAAAAUGAUGCUGCAAUGUUAAUGAAUCUUGUAUUAUGUGUUUAAUCUAGGGAAAACAGCCAAAAUAUUUUAAAUAUUUUAAAUUUAAGCCAAGGUUUUAACUAUAAACCUGACACUUUAAUUAUCAAAUACUUUUUUUUUGUUAAUUAAGUCAUUUUAAAUCCAUUAAAAAUUAAUGGUUAAAUUUGUUAAUGAAUAUUUAAAAUUGAUUUUUGACGGGUUUAAAAUUAACUGAAAAUUUGGUAAUUAAAAUGACCGGUUCGUAAUUUUUUUUUUCUCGUUUAAAUUUGAAAGUUGGGAUUAUUUUGAAUUUUUUUCCUUUAGUCUAAUAUGUACAUUCAAACAAUGAAAGUGAGAUUUUGAUUUGUACUAGUUUGUCCAGGCUAAUAAGGACUUCUACCGUGGACUCAACAAAGUCAAGCUCCAAACAAAGAAUGACAAAUCUUUUCAAACCAUCUCAUAAGUUAAGUAUGAACCACUCCUUUGCUUUACAUUCUUGUGUUUGUCCAUUUAUGAAUUAUAUACGUUUUAUUUGUUUGUAAGCUGUAACGUUCAGUGAUUGUGGAGCUACAAAACAAAGUAUGUUAGCCGCCUUAUAAAAGUCAAACAUCUGAGUGUUUUAACUAAACACGCUUCACACUAAGUCAUCACAUGUAAUAAACCCUUUAUAAUUGCUUGAUCUUUCCCUCUCUCACUUAGUCAAAUAUCAUUCCCUUAGUUUCCUGGAAACUUCCUCCUCUGCAGUAAAGAAAAGAAGAAGAAGAGUAUCACAUACAGUAACCAUUGAUGGCCUCUUUCAACCAGCAAAGAUCUGUUCCUAAGUUCAAGUCAGCAACACCGUCUCCACUUCCUCUCUCUUCCUACUUCUCUAUGCCUCCUGGUCUUACUCAAGCCGACCUUCUUGACUCUCCUCUUCUCUUCACUUCCUCUAACGUAUGUUCCCUUCUCUCUUAUCGCUUGAAACUAUUUUCUCCCAUUUGACUUCAAGAACCCAUUUGUCUUUUUCUUGGGAUUGUAACAACUUAAUGUAAUAACUAAUAAGUGAAGUUUCCUGUUCUUUUAGUUAAGAAAAGCAACUCCUGUCUGGUUCAUUACUCUUGUCUUCUGUCUGGUUCACAGGUUUUGCCAUCUCCAACGACAGGCACGUUUCCUUUGGAAUCUCUGAACUGGAAGAACAACGGUUUGCUUACCAACCGGAAUGAAAUCAAAGCUGAAGAUGGGAAGGAGGAGCACUUUGAUUUUGCCUUCACUACCAUCCAGACAUCUCCUCCUUUGUUCCUAUCUCAUUUUCAGACAGAAGAUCAGCGUUCAACCCAAGUGGAUGUACCCAAAUUUGAGUCAUCAGGUAACAAAACCUCUGAAGAUGGAUACAACUGGAGAAAAUACGGACAGAAGCAAGUCAAAGGAAGCGAAAACCCUAGGAGUUACUUCAGAUGCACGUAUCCAAACUGCCUCACAAAGAAGAAAGUAGAGACUUCUCUUGUGAAGGGUCAUGUCACUGAGAUUGUCUAUAAAGGAAGCCACAAUCAUCCCAAACCUCAGUUCACUAAGAGGUCAGCUUCCACUGCAGCAACAAAUGACGUCAGUUCUCAUCAGAGUGGUGGUGAAGAUAACGUAGAUGCCAAAAGAGGGUAAGUAAAAUCAUACUCACUCCGUUUCAUAUUAGUUGUCGUUGUAGAAUUAAAUUUUCGAUACAAAAUAAGUGUUGAUUUAGAAUUUCAAUAGAAAAUUUAUUAACAUUAUUCCAGUCUAUUUUUUUAAUUGGUUAAAAUGUGGCUAAUGAUGUUUUUAUUUAGAAAAUAUACAAAAUUAAAUAUUUCUUAAUUGUGUACACAAAUCUAAAAUGACGUUUAAAAUGGAAAGGAAGGAGUCUGUCAAAAGUGAGAAAACAAUGAGAUGUGAUUUGGAUUGUUUGUAUUAAUGCAGGAAAAGAGAAGAGGCUGUGAAGGAGCCAAGAGUGGUAGUUCAGACAACAAGUGAUAUAGACAUUCUUGACGAUGGUUAUAGAUGGAGAAAGUAUGGUCAGAAAGUCGUUAAAGGCAAUCCAAAUCCAAGGUUUUGUUUCUUUUUUUGUUCUCAACUUCAGUUACAAGGAGGCGCUUAUUUACCUAAAACGUGUGAUGCACGCAGGAGCUAUUACAAGUGCACCUUCACAGGAUGUUGCGUAAGGAAGCAAGUGGAGAGAGCAUUCCACGACGCAAAGUCAGUGAUCACUACUUACGAAGGAAAGCAUAACCACCAAAUCCCAAACCCAAAGAAGACGUCACACCUCAACAUGAUCUCAGACUGUGUCAGCUUUUAGUUUUUUUCAGAACGUUAUGUAACAAAUGAUGUAAUAAACAUAGAAAAGGCACAUGCUAUUAGCUGACAUUUUGAAGUAAAGGCAAAUCCAUUCACUUUCUUUAUAUAUUUCGUCCCUCUGAUGGUGGCUGUGGCCAUCCACGGUGCGUUUCGUGCACCUGAAGAUUUGUUUCUUGAGAAACAAGAAACCAUUGGAUCAGGUCUUUUCAACUUCUUUAACCAAAAAACUGCCUCAAAGGCAGCUGUUAUCAUCUCUGCAUAUCCAACCUGCACAUCCAAAUCCAACAACUCUGUUUUCAUACAUUGUAAACGCUAAAGGCAUAUCUUUGAAGCCGUUGACUGAGUUCCAAUCACAGUCUCAAUCCUGUGAAGCCCCUAUUAAGCUUAUCCACCAGUGAAACAAUAUAGUCCUAUAAUAAAAAUUAUUAAAAGACCCGUUGAGCUAACCCCAAUUUUAGAAGGCCCAUGAGCCUGAUUCCAAUCUACUUAUACAAAGACCCAUGUUUCUUAAGGCCCGUGAAGGAACAAAGUAAAAUCACGUCUAAAUCAACCUCAAAUGCUAUGUGUGUGUAAAUACAUCAUAGGAAAGACAAAAAAAAAACGUAUAAAAUAGAAUAAGUUUGCUACAACGAUCCAAACUAAUUUAAAUAUUUAAAAUUUUGAUAUCACAGUAUCUAUAAAAUCCAAUGGGUCGAGAUUCAAGAAAAUCAUUUAAAAUAAUUAUGUAAGAGCCCUUUCCUCGACGUAAUCUCUGGCCAUUUACAAUUUAGUUUUUCGUUGAAGACAAAGACGAUGGAAAAGACAAAACGACCCGAGGUAUAAACAAUACAAGUCAUCUCUUACGUAAGCAUAAAGUUAAAUUAAGGAAAAAUACAAUCUCCACAUUGUCAUUUCAGAAAAAUACAAAUUUUGAAAGAUUGGGUCUCGUGAGAAACAUAUAUAGAUAUUUGUUUAUACAUAUAUGUCUAUUUUAUGACCUAACUCCAAACUCACUAGGUUAAAACAUUAGUAAUUGAUUGUGACUAUACUGGGUGACCACAUUGUAUUGUAUUUGGAACGAUCUUGUUGUUGAUCAUAUAAGACAUCAUGCAAUGUCAUUUCAAUACUCAUCAUCUAAUUAAGUCAUUUGUUUGACCACAAGAUAAUGUACGUAUAUCUACUCCAAUUUUUUUGAUAAGGCGUAACAAAUUGUCAUCUCGUUUAACACAGUGCCUUAUUUUCAAUGAAUUUUGUUAGUGAGUGAGAUUGAGUGUUUAUUAACUCUAGUCAAAUAGAGAGAGUUCUACAUGAUUUUAACAAAUUUUUACCAGUAAUUGGACGUGUAUCAAUGUUCGACCUGUAUGCUUGGUAUAGAGAAAUAUAUUUAUGGGAAAAUGGAUUUUGGAAUUUACCUUUCUAAAUUUCCGGUUUUUGUACCAUCUUCUUCGGAAACGUACAAAAUACAUUUUCAUGAAAUAUCUCAAAUGAUAUACAUUCUGACAAUGUAUCAUUACAUUAAAAGCGAUAUAACUGAGAGAUAUUUGUUUUUUUUUUUGAGAAAAAAAUUGAAGGCAAUAAUUUUGUACCUGUUAACCUGUAUUCUUUAUUUUUGUGGUUCAAAAACAAAAAAAUCUUUAUUUUUGAAAAGGGUCUCGCUACACCAUUAUUAUGUAUUUACGUCUUUAUUUGUCUUUUUCCAAUAACAUUAAAGUAAGCUAGGGUUCGAAUGCUUGUAUCGUGUACAGUUUCUAAGAAGUAGCUACAAAAAAUCUACAGUUAAAUAGGAGAUACCCCAAAUCAAAGGUUGUGAUAGUGAGAGAGCAUCAAGUUUUUUGUUGAAUUAUUGUAUCAUAAAUUAUAGAAUCCAAUCCCAAAAGAAGAAAACGGAGAGAAAUGUGAAAAUACUAGAUAAGAAAUACAGUCGUGUAGCUGGGACUGGAUAGAUAUCACUGUCGUGAAGUGUGUAAUUGAGACGGCAGAAAGGAGACAGCAGAGAGAUUGCACGUGAAGCACGUGAAUAGAGCCUGGUUUACCUUAUGUGAAGUAGGGGAUGGCCCAUUGGGCCUUUUUCAGAUGGUUACGUUUCUUCAUUUAUCUAUCUAAUUAUUUAUACGUGCAAUAAAUAUAUAAAACAAAAUUCACGCUUAAUGUGGCUUGUCCUUUCUUAAUCAAUAGGCUUUCCUUUUAUGAUUUGAUUCAUAGCUUUUUUGGUCAAACAACUUGGUUCAUAGUAGGGGUGGGCCAAAAAAAACAAACCGAACCGAGUAAAAUUACCGAAACCGAUUCAAACCGAACCAAAAUCUAUUUUAAACCAUUCGGUUGAAGAUUUUUCCAACUGAACCGAACCGAAAAACCGAUGUGUUUUAUAAUUAUUUAAAUUAAAAAUAUUAGUAAUACGAAUAUACUAAAAUUUUAAUACCAAACCAACCUAUUUUCCAUUUUUCAUUCAUUAACAUAUAUUCUCCUAACCUAAUAUGUAAUCAUCAAAAUAUUUGAUUUAAUAAUAUAGAAAAUCUGUAUUUUUAUAUUCUUAUAUAUGUAAAUAUGGAUGGUAAAUCUAAACCUAAAAUCUAAAGCACAUUUUAUUAAAAAUAAAAGUUUUUCUCCAUAGUGUCACAUGAAAGAUAAUUUAUUGCAGGCUUUUUAGUAAUGAUAUAAGAGACAUUACUAGUGAUGUUUUUUUAGUUAACUUUUUUUAAAUUUUUAUACUUUUGUGACUUUUUAAAAAGUUUUUGUUUCAGUUUUAUAUAGAAUUUAGUUCACAUAGUUAUGUUUAAGUAAUUUAUGAUUUAAAACAUAAUUUUUCUUACACAAAAUUAAACUAAAAAUCUAAUUAAAUUGUCCAAAUAACAAACUGAACCGAACCAAAUACAACUGAACCGAAUAUAAACCGAACCGAACAUAAACCAAACUAAACCAAACCAAACUUAUGGUUUAUUUCAGUUGGAAAAAUACUAAAACCAAACUAACUAAACCGAACCGAACCGAGAAAAUAACCGAAGUGUCCAUCCCUAGUUCAUAGUAUUGUUGGUGAUAAAUAUCAUAACAAAUUUCUUGCAAAAAGAAAGUUUAAACAAACUUAUUGCGUACUAUAGCUACAUUUACAUAUUUGUAGGAUGUAAACUAGAGACAAAAAGUACACAUUAAAAUAUCAAAAAUUUACAAGUGAUGCUUGCUAUCAAGCCUAAGAUAUAUAGGAUUUUUAUAAGCUAAUGUUUUGGCACCCUAAAUUAAUAUUUUGGAUAUCCAUAUGAAUUUUCGUAUGCAGGAAAAAAAAAUACAAUUAUUACAUCAUUGGAGUUAUGCUACAUAUGGUUUGUUUGUUUGUUUUGUUCUAAAGAGCAUCUCCAACCUUUAUAUUUACUUUAUAAUAGAAUUUGAAGUACCCCGCUCUAUUUUCUAUUUCAAAUAAAAUGAAUUUACAUAUAUAUAUAAUAUUUCUUAUCAUAUUACAUUUUAUUUCCAAGAAAAUAAAAGAAGAAGACAAAAAAGCAAGUACGUUGUCUUCUUGCAUGGCACAAGUACAACCAUCCAAACCUCCUAUAGAUUUAGAGAUACACACAUUACAUAGUGGAAUCUAUUUCUUUCUUAUCUCGUGGUCGAAUCGAAUUUUGUUUUUCACUGUUUUAUCAAUUCUCUCACUGAAUGGAAUCUAAAAUUCGUGUGUGGAGUGAAAAAAUGGAUAGUGGAAACAGCAAAUACCAUUCAUAAUUCCAAAAGUAGGACCAUGGUUUGGAUCUAUUAUUAGUUUUCGUUUUUAGCCUUGAUACAAUGUUCGGUCUUAUAGUAUAUAUUAAAACACGAUCGCAGCCUAGUAACGACGCACAAUCUUCUGCUGUUUUUUUCCUAUACAUUUGCAAUAUAUUGAUGUUUUUAUCUGGUAUAUUUAAUAGUAUAAAUCGACACUUAAAGAUGUCUUUUAUAAUUAUCUUUGGGGACAUUUUUUAAAAUAUGUAGCCUGAUAUCCACUUGGUCUUGUUGACAACCUUAAUAUUGACAUUUUGGAUUUAUGUUUUAAACCGUUUGUGUUUUUAUUACUUGUGUAUCCUUUGAGGCUUUGAUGUCCAAAUUGCAUAUUAGUUAAUGUUAUUGUCAAUGUUUAUAUGUUAGUAGUCUAAUGGUUGAAUCGUCUUUAAUCUUUAAGUACCUGGUGUGGAAUUAAUAUUAACUGUUUGUUAAAUCAUAUAACCAUUUUAUUUUUCAAAUGACUGAAAUAAUAAUUUAAAUUAAUGCUGUAUUCUAUGAGUACUAUUUUUAAUUUAAUGAAGUAAUAAAUAGAAAUCAUCACUAAAUGAUAACAUCACCAAUGAAGUACAUAUAUUUAUUUAUAUGCAAAUUUUAUCUUACACCAACCACCAUAAACAAGAUAAUAAAUAAUCAAAGCAAAAGACAAAAGGCUCCUUAUCUGAGUGAUAUCUCCUGUCUCUUGAGAAAAUCUACAAGUCAACUUACGGACCACAUCAUUGUCUCCUUGUUUUAGAAACUUCUUCUGUUCUUAAGCCAAUUUGAGAACUCUUCAAGAGUGUUCAUGUCUGAUCUAUAAUGCUUUUGUGUGAACUCAAGAAACAUAGACCAUGUAAAAUCAGGAUACUCUCUUUCACCUGACAUCAUUCUUACUAGUUCUUCUGGUGGCUUCACUAUUUUGUCUCCUUUCGGGCAUAGGAAGAAUGCAAACGUCUUCCUAGCCUUCUCGCUGUUCACCACCGCUCGAUGUAAACAACUCUUGUAUAUACCAUUCGUUAAAGCCUAAUUAUAAGACACAAAAAAAUGUUAAAAGUUUCUUGUCAUUUAAUUUACUAAUACAUGCACUGGUCAUCAUAAUAAUUAUAAGUACCAUGAAGGUGUCGCCUAUAUUGACCACGACUGAUUGAGGGUUAGGAGGAAUGGAUUGCCAUUUGUUGUCCACGAAAACUUGAAGACCAUCGACUUGGUCUUGAUGAAGUAUUGUUAGAGAUGUUGGGUCGCAGUGAGGUCCUGUCCCUAAUGCAAGCUCCGGUUGCUUGCACUGCGGGUAGUAAUUCAACCGUAAUAUCGACUCGCUGUCUUCAAAAAAGUCUCUAAAAUGUCCCCUCUCGAUCCCAAGACUCAUUCCAAGAAGCUCCAUGAUCUUUAGUGAGAGAAUGUUCAUGGCCUCAGCGUAUUCUUGAUAAACCUUUCUGCAUGGAUAAAACAAAUCAAUUAUGUUGGUAACAAUAGUUAGAACCGGUUCUGGACAUGGUGAGGUGAAACAUUAUUUUUGGAUUUUCAAAUAUUUAUUAGUUAAUAAUACACAAAUAGACCUGAACCUCCAAAUUAUUAUUAUUUUUUAAUAUUAUUAAAAUUUUUACUAAAUUAUUUUUGGCCCCAAAGUUUUAAUAGUGAUUUGUCUUUUUGGAUAUUCGAAAGAAAGUUUCAAAAAUAGUUGCUAAUAUGAUUACCCGAAAUCUUCAUAUCCAUCUCCCAUUUUUUCAGAAACAAAGUCUUUGAUGUUUUGGGCAUGGCACUUCUCCUCGGGAGAGAACUUAAACGACAGCGUUUCCUUCCACGGGAGCUUAGAGGAGUAUCUCCCAACGAAGCUACUAGCGUAACCGGAGCUCUCGCCCCACGUCCUCUUGGCCUUCUGUUUCUCAGAAGCGGGUGCCUUAAAGAAAGAGUCCAUGGAUAGAUGGGCACGAGACAAGAGCGUGUCAUCGACGCCAUGGUUAGUGACUAGGAAGAAACCAUGUUUCUUUGAAGCCUCAGAGACGAGUCUAGUAGCCUCCGAGACUAAGAACGGGUCACCAGAGAGGAAACCGUCGAGGUCUAUGAGAGGGACUUGGAGAGGUUGAACAUCCGAGGAAGGUUUCUCGUGGUCGGGCCAUACGAACUGUUGGGGUAUGUGGUUAGACUGCUGGUUCAGGAAAUUUGCAUCGAAGAUUGAAGGAUCCUCUUUGGUUUUGUUUUCACUGAAUCUUUGAGGGAGAGCUGUGAUGCAUCCCAUUGCCAUUUAUGUAUAGAUAUAGUAAUGGAAAUGAAAUAAAGGUUCUUUAGUAGAUAUAUAAACGAAUAAACGUUAAGGGACUUAUUUAUUUAUGGUCUUAUAAGUGGAGAAGAAAAGAUUGAUAUGUUGCUCAAAAAAAAAGAAAGAAAUUAUUGAUAUUUAUAGGUGCGAGGGGGAUACUGUGACGUCAGUGUUUUUGUGUGUUAUUAAAUGCUUUGUCUUUAUUUGUGGAUAAAUCAAUUACCGAUUCCACGGUUUUUUUUUUCUUUUUCUUUUUUGAAAAUUAAACUUAUUAAUUAAACUGAAAAAAUAAUUUUUUUUAUAAACCUGCUGAAUCAAACCGAAUUUCUUACUAAACAAAUCAAAAUUUGGUUUGGUUCGAUCCAAAAUCCCAGGCCUAGACUCUACUAAUUGUGAUUUUGGUUUGGUUCGAUUCAAAAUACAAGAAUUGUCCGUUACAAACUUCAUCAAAGAACCGACCCUUUCAUCAUCUUUUUUCUUUUUAGUUACCUCCCGGCCGUUUCAUCAUUUUAGUGAAACGGUCACAGUUUAUUGGGGAAAGCUGGUGGGAUCUGUGAGACCCAUGACAACUUUAAUAACAAUGCCAAAUGCUAUUAGCUGUAUAGGCAAGUAAUUUUAAAGGUAAUUUGGCUUUUUCUUAGUUGUUAAAGAUGUUUUUUUAAGAUGGUAUUUCAAACAGUUUAAACUACAUAUUCUUUUUUUUUUUUGGAACUUUUACAUAUUCUUUUACUUUUAAACUAAAAAAACUGCAGAUUCUUGUUGAUAAAGAAACCGAGCGUUUCAUCAUCUUAAAGCAGCAAUAUAAAAAAAAAAUUGAUUAUUGGCUUAUGCCUAAAGAAAAUGGAAAAAAAACGUUGACAAACAAAAUAAAAGAAGAAAAGAAAUACGUUACGUAACACUAUAGGUCGACAACAAUAUAAAAAUGAAACACAUAAAUAUAAAUAAAUUUAGCUUCAUAAAAAUACAAAAUAUAAAUUUAGCUGCAACUGACUAAAAAAUUAUAUCUUUCAAUAAAACAAAUUCUGGCAAAGCCACACGAAAUUUAUUUGACACAUAGUAAAUUAAUUUUUAUUAAUAGAUGUACUUAACUUUUCAGAAAAAGUCUAUUUAAACUAAUAUGUUCAGUAAAAAAAUCUUUGUACAGUUCUUUUCGUUUUGUAGAGAGUGGAGUUGUUUGACAUGAACACACAAAUUUGAAGCGGUGAAGAUUGUCUUAUUAUGAAGAGUGUGGCAGUACAACAUUUUAAGUGAUGUCUAUGAGUGACACAGCUUCAAGGUGCAUGGAGAUGCAUUUGUAUUCUCUAGUGUUUAUUGGUUUUGGUAGUUUUUGGAGAAGGAAUAUAUGUAUCAUCUAAAUUGUCUUCUACUUAAUAUAUGAUUUUGGAUGUAUAGAAACGGACAUUACCAUCUUAGCGUAACCGUUUUCUUUAGUCUACACGAUUCCAUCCUCGAGCAUAUCGGUUUGGUCUUUUGUGAUAGGUCGUGUUCUCUGUGUGCCAAAUGCCAUUUGCCUAUUGCAUGCCAAAGACCAAAAACAUGCAAUUUCGGUUUGUAACUUGAAAACAAAAACCUUCUGUAACUGAAAUAGAACUUUACUUUUUAAAACACAUUGUUAUUUUUUUAAUUUUAAUACAUUUGUUUUAGUUUUAUCCUUCACAUAAUUUAUUGAUUAUGCUUUUAAACAUAGAAGAUUCCAGCAUUUCAUUUUGAAAGGACAUGCAAGCUAAUUCGCCUACAUUUCUCCUAACAAAACGAUAAUAAAAAGAUUUUAUAUAUUACUUUUGGAGGAAGUAUAAUUGGAUAAUGUAUGUGUAAGUCACUUUGGGUAUCUAAAUAUGAUGGAAUGUCUUGACUUCUUCCUUCAAUUAACACUACAACUAGUACGUCAUGUACAAGUCCUUUUUUGAUCCACUUUGUCACUUUACUAGAAAGCAUCUUCUUUGUUGAUGCUUAGAGAUGAACUACACAAGAUAGUAUGUAAUGUCGGAUUUGCUAUAUGGAUAGCGCUUUUAAAGGAAAGUGACAUUAUUGAGUGGAUUUUAUAACCCUAAAUAUAGAAGCUGGUCCACAAUCUGUCUUUCCUGUUGACGUCUAAUCCAUCAGUGAUGUAAGAUUUUGGUUGGAAAGAAAUGUGUAAGCGACAUCGAUAGACAUUAGCUUUUAAACUAGUGAGUUCCAUUGUCUCUAGUGAAUAAUGAUAAGAAAACAUGAAUCACGCACUACCUUUUUGCAUAUGCAUAGCACCAUAUUGUCAUAUGAACUAAUACCACGAAUCAUACAUUGUAAUUUGAACAAGUGAUCAGUCGAUCUGUAACUACAUGUUUAGUUGCAUUAUCGACAACAUUAAUGGUAUGAUAUUUUGACUGCAAUGAUAUAACAAAUAUGUAAACAGUUAUUACAAAUAUAAACAUUUUCUAUAUUUACCUAGCUGUACCAAUCGAAAAAACUAUUUCCAUUUUAUGCGUCACAAUUUACAAUAUAUACACAUGCUAGGUUGAUUCUAUGGGAUUAGAAAUUAGUAUGUAGUAUUUCUGUGCAUUUUAUGCGUCACAAUUUUCUAUAUUUUAGUUGUUUGUUUGUUAUAACUUAGAAACUUCUAACUCGAAGGCGUAUCUAUUUGAUAUCUUAUAAAAAUUUGAUUCAGGAUUUCGUUUAUAUUUACCUAUGAGUCUAUGAUAAUGUUUAGACCCAAACGAUAUGGGCCCAUAAAUCGAAUAUGAUUGAUCUGUAUAUUAAAACGAAAGCUAUGCUACAGCCAAAAGGUUGAAGUCUAUAUAUAAAAGAGUGAACAAAUCAGUUUUAAGAAAUUUGAGAUAUAAUCGUAUAUUAUGUAUUCGGUAAUAUGGGUUAUACAUUAUGAUCUAUGUAUUAGAUUCUAAUAAUGUCGAUACCCGAAUCUCGUUUGCAUUCAGGAGAAUUCAAACAUAUGCGAAUAUUAGUAUUUUUUCAAUUUUAAAGUAUUUGUUUGUUAAUGUAUAUUUCCAUCUUAAUAGUUUUUUUACCUAAUACAUUUUAUAAUUCAUUUUUUUAUCGAUGUCAUUCAAUAUUCAUAUAUACUAUGUGACUUUUAUGCGUUUAUAUAUGGAUACAAAUAUUUACUAAAUACAUAACUUAGCAUAAUUUAUUAAUAUUUUAUUUUCAAUUUUAAAAGUUUUAAAUAGUUUUGUAAUAUAAUUUUAUAUAUAUUAAAAAUAAUAGGAUAUUAUUUUAAAUAUAUAUGUAACUUUUCUCAUAAAAAUUUAUCGGUUCACUUUUUUGAAUAUUAAAUUACAUAUAUUCCUCAUAAUUAUACUGUAAUUGUUUCGUAAUUCUAAAUAGAUUAAAAUUAAAUUAAUCAUUUUCUUGCUUUUAGCUUGGUUUAGUUUGUUGGACUUAUAAUAUAUUUUUGUUAGAUUAUAUAUAGUUUGAUAUAUAUAUAUAUUAAUUUAGAAAAAUAUUGUCGGUUUAAAAUUGCAUAACUAUAUAAUAAUAUUAUAUGGCUGACUUAGUUAUGCCUUUUAUUUUGAGUAUAAGAAUCAUGAUGAUCACUUACUCAUUAUUUAAGUAUAUUGAGUUGUAUAUAUUCGUUUAAAAUGAAUCACAACUAUUGUUUUGUUCUAAUCAGAUUAAACUGAUUAAUUUUUAUUGUAUUUAUUUUAGUUUAAUUUUUAUAUUUGAAAGUAUAAUAUUUAUUUUUUAAAUAAAAUAUUUAUACUUUUUUGAAACUAUGUUUUAUGUAUAGAAACCUAAAUAUUUUAAAAAUCAUAGAUUUCUUCUUUUAUUUAUCUUGUGUUAUGAAAAUAUGAAAAAAAUUAAAAGUUGUUAUGAAUAUAUACUUAUAACUUAUAAUAUCUAUAUAUAAUUACUAAAUAUAGAUCACCUAGAUGAAUGCAUAUAUCUAGAUAUUAUAAGUAAAUAAAAUAGAAAUAUUAUUUAUAUACAUGCAUGAACACGGGAGACUCAACUAAAAGUAAAAGUAAUUUGUAUAUAUAUAUAUAUAUAUAUAUAUAUUACUUCUUAAUUUUUUGUAACUUAAAAAACUGAUCAAAAUUUAUUUGUCUAAAACAUUUACUUUAUAUUUUAAUUUGAUCACACAUGUUUAUUAUAUAUUACUUUUAAAAAAUAUAUAAUCUGUUCAUGCUAUUUAAAAUACUUUUAUUUGGUUAAAAUUAUUUUAAUAGUGAUAAUAUUGUUUUAUCUUUUGAAAUAAGAAUCUAAAAUCUUUUGUGAAAUUAUAUAUAUAUAUCUCUGUAUUUUAAAGCUUAUAGAUAUUUUCCUUUCCUAUUUAUGCUGUUUUAUAAAAAUAUUAAGAAAAUUAAAAUCUGUUAUGUAUGUAAGAUCUAUGUAUUUUAUAUAUGUUUACAUUUUAUUAUUUAUUUUAUUGUUAAAAACUAAACCAUAAAUUAUAAUUAAAAUAUUUAGGAAAAAAAUAAAAUAAAAAUAGUUUAUGAUAAUUAUUAGUUCAUCAAAAUUAAUUUUGCAAUUAACUAUUAUGAGACUAACACGUAAAAAUUGACUUUUCAAAUAAUAUUAUAUAGAUAACCUAAAUAUUCUUUAUAUAUCGCGUAAUCUAAUAAAUAAUGUUUAUGUAUUUAUGAUUGAAUUUUUCUAAACAAAGUCAGCCUUUCUUUUUUCUUUAACCAAAAAAAAAACUUUUCUUUCAUCCGUACAGCAGUACCAUGCGUUACGGUUAAUGAUACCCAAACAUAAGUUUAAAUGCAUGGGAGUAAAUGAGAGACUUACUCUUCAAUAUAAUUUGUAUGCUUACAGAACAAUAGAUAUCAAAAAUUUGGGUUAUUGUAAAUAAUACUUUUCUGUUUUAUAAAUUUGCCAUUAUGACAUUUUUUUCUUAUUAUAUAAAGAGGAUUAUUUUGAUAAUCUCAAUAUAAUAUAUAAUUGCUUUAGUUUUAAUAAUAAUUGUAAAAUAAAUUGAUACUACAAAUAAUUUAUCUAUCUCAAUUAAUAUUGGUUAAAUAGAUAUAACAAAUAAAAAGUAAAUGAAUUUAAAAAAAAGAGCAUGGUUGACUAUUAAAUGAAUUUAAAUAUUGGUCUAAUCUAUGUAGAAAAUGUUAAAGUUACACUCUUUAUGAGCAUGGUUGACUCAAUAAUUUUCUAGACUUUAGGGCAAUACAAAACUAAUACCCUUUAAACUUUGUUUUAAUGUUUAAUAAUCUUUUAAAAUAUUAUACAUAAUUUUUGAAAUAAUAUUGCGAUAAGAUUUAAAAUAUAUUCAUAUAAAAUAUUUUGGGCCUUUUAUUAUAUUUUUUAAAUAAAAGUACAGAUAAUUUCAAAUUUCAAAGUUUUAACUAUGUUGGAUUAGAUUCGAAAAUAUCACACCGUUUGUUCCUUAUUUAAACCGUUUUUUGUUCGUGAAACAGAAAAGAAUAUUAAUAAAAUAUUCAGAAUGGUUUAAGAAACUUAGUUUCUCCUAAUUAUUAAAUCAUGCUAACAUACUUUAUUUUCCCCAUGAUUAAAAACUACUUAUUUUUACAUGCUUCUUUCUCCUAAUUUUUUUUUUUCUGAAACACACUUCUUUCUCCUAAUUACAAACUACUUUUGCGUUCUUAACCACAAAGUACUGGAGCCUAAAUAAACUGAAAACCAUUAAAUAGCCAUUUAUCAGCAAAUCAAGUGUCUUGCAUGCAGCUUAACUUGUUCACUUUUUUCUUGCAUACGUGUUAAUAUAACAUUAGAUUCUCAUCACUUGUUUCCUUAACGUACUUUUUUCUGACAAAGGGCUUAAUCCUUAACGUAUAUUUUCACGUACUUUUAAACUAGACGGACAAUAUUUUGACAACUAGACUGUAGACGUUGAGAAUAACUGACUACAUUUUGACUUUUGAUUAAAGGCGAAAAGAAAAAGAAAUCGCUAACUAAAGAUUAAUAAUUAUUGUUUUCUUUAAAAACAAAAGAUUAAGAAUUAUUGCAAAAUAUAAUAUUUUAAAAGAAAAUGUUGAGUUUUAAUAAAUGACAGUGAUUAUUUUAUACAUGAAUAUAAGCAAAUAAAAAGUCGUGGAAACUAUUUAUAAGAUUCUUUGAAAAAUGAUUUAAGAGAUUGUCAAAAAUGGUAAAAAAAUAAUAUUAUCAUGUUCUAAAAUACGACAAAAUAUAUUAUUAUGAUGUUUUGUCAACUUUUAUUAUGAUAUUUGAACAUUAUUUUUAAAAUAAUAUGUUAUAAUUCACUGUGUAAAAAUUGUUAGUUAAAAUCAAGCAUUCAAUUUUUAAUCGAUGAUUAUUUAAUGAUGAUAAAUCUAAAUUUUGGAGUAAAAUAUUUUUCUUUUACAGAGAAACUUUUAAUAAUUAAUUAAUUACUAAUUUAGUUUACAAGAAAAUUUUAAAUAUAACUGAUGAAUAGUAUGAUUGAUAUUAUAUAUUUUUAAUAUUUUAAUUUUAUUCAUUAUAAUAACGACAAAAUUGUCGUUAAAUUGCUAUAUAACAUUACAUACUAAAUUUUUACAGGUAUUAUACUGAAAAACUAGUUUUCAAUAUUCGAACCGCGACAAAAAAUAUCUUUGACACGGUUUAUUGUCUUUAACGAUCAAAACAUUUAAGAAUGUACAACGCUUUUAACACGCAUAAUUUUCAUGCUAUACAACAAAAAGAUAUUGUAUAUUGACAAAAAAAAAUUUCAUAAAUUAAAUAAGUAGGUAAAAAUGUAAUUUUAUUCUUUAACGAUCAAAACAUUUAAGAAUGUACAACGCUUUUAACACGCAUAAUUUUUAUGCUAUACAACAAAAAGAUAUUGUAUAUUGAUAAAAAAAAAUUCAUAAAUUAAAUAAGUAGGUAAAAAUGUAAUUUCAUAAAUUAUAUAUCUAAAUGUUAUUCCACAAUUCAUUAAUCAAAUUAAAUGACGUUUUAUAUUCUACAUUAAACAAUAGUGACAUUUUUAUGGAGUAUUUUUUUGUUAUAGUGUGAAAUCGUUAAAACCUGAUCAAACAAUUAAACUGAGAGAGGUAUUUGUAUUUUCAACUCAUUCUUGUGGUUCCGUACGUGAAAAGACAAUAACAAACAGUUUUGCUUUACCAUGAGUUAUUAAGAAUCAACAGGUGCAUAUGUUCCUUUAAGUAAUUUUGUUGUUUGGAGAACAAAAUCUAUCUCCUAAUCUGCAUAAUAUUUUUAAUCAGGAAACCCGAAGAAUAUAGUUGUAUAUCAAAUCUUAGUUUAAGCUACAUUAUGUAAAUGUGAAGAUCUUUCAUCUCGGGAUACAACUUUAUUAUAGAAAUCAGAACUCUGAUUCUUUUACUAUCGCGCAAAUAUUCUUUACAGUCGUGGUUUCAAAAUUCCCCAUUUGCAUUUUGAAAUCCUUAAUCUUCCAAUUUCAUCCAACCAAACAACAUUUUAUCGUUUUCAUAGUUUAAAUAAUUAGUAUGACAGAAAAUUUUGAUUAUAUCACAUUAUUUUCUUAUAGAUUAACUUAACUGUAUAAUAACAUUUUUAUUUUACAUACAAUAUUCAGUAUUUUGUCCCUUUCUAACCCAAAUCCAAACGAGAUUUUUAAAAUCUUAUUGAAAAUCAAUCCUAAAUGAGAAACAAAAGAUCUUCAGAAAAAAAAAACAAUUGCAUAUAUUUUGUAGAACUAAAAAGAUAUAUAUUGGUAAAUAGCAUUAACUUUUGCUUACUUUAGUCUAGAUUUUUACAUAAAUUAGCACACGGUAUUUUGUUGUUGUAUCUCUUUUUUCUAAAUUAGUAAAACAAAACAAUAUCAUUAUUAUUUCUUUCUAAAAUAAAUUACAUAUGCACCACUACAACAAUGCCAGAUGUUAUAUUAGCGUGUCUACUUUAGGCCGCCUUUAAAUUGAGUUUUCUGUAGCCUGAGUAGUUUAUACAGACUUGAAAACACACAACAAAAAUAUACAAAGACUAGCAGAAUGACUUUUGCCCAAUCUCUCAACAACCAAAGCUCUGUCUUGAGAAUCAAUAUUAUGGUUGUUGAUGAUGAUCCUGUCUCCCGUGAAAUUGUGUCACGCAUGCUUGAAAGAUCCAAAUACAGAGGUAAGGUUAUCAAAUACAAUAUGUUACUAAGUUCUUUGUAACUUCAUUGAUAUUUGAAACCAAUUAGCCGAACAGAAAGAUAGUAAAAUUUUAGCCCUUUCAAAAGUUACAUUUUGUUGAAUUUCAAAAUUAAAUUUCUUAAUCAUUAGGAUGUGAAAUCCAGUUACCUUCACACAUCUAAAUUUUCAAUAUAGAGAUAUUUCUAUUUUGAUGAUUUUUAAACUAAUAGUUUUGGUUGAUACAAAAAUACAACCAAUGUACUAUGUAAGUUUUCAAAAGUAUAUUGAACAAAAAUGUAAAAAAAAAAUUGAUAUGAUAUUUUUACCCAAAAAAUGAUAUUUACAUCGUGUUUUGCGUCACAACAUGAUUUUUUUUUGUUGGCUUUCAAAGUUUAAAACUAAUGGAUGUUCUUCAAGUCUACUUUUCUUAUAAAUAGUCAAUCAGUUAGCCUUUCAUAGCCUUUCAAAUAAAUUAGUGUAUAACUAACAUCUAUUUUGCACUUUGUUCUCAUUUUAAAAAGGUUAAAACAAUUAAAAGUAAUAAUCUUUGUACUUUAAUAUUUUCCCAUUACAUUUGAAUCUUUACUUUGGUCAAAUGGCUUUAGAUCCAUCUAUGGAGAUCACAGUUAUAGCUGUAAGAGACGCAAGGGAAGCAUUGUCUACUCUUAAAAUCCAAAGAAACAACAUCGAUCUUAUAGUCACAGACUAUUACAUGCCUGGCAUGAAUGGUCUACAACUCAAACAACAAAUCACUCGACAAUUUGGCAACUUUCCGGUCAUAGGUCAGUUUGUUUUUUUUUUCUUUUACAACUUACAUACAACUGAAAAAUUAUAAUAUUUUCUUAAAAUAAUAAUAAUAUUUUUCUACAAAAUUAUAAAAUUUUCCUAAAAGUUGUUGUAUUUCUUUCUAAAAAUUUUGGUAAGAAAUUGUAAUAUUUUUUUAAGAAACUAUAAUAUUUUGAAGAAAAAUUAAAUUGUUUUGCUAUAAUUCUAAGUUUUAACUAUUUUUCUUACAUUUUAUAAAAUAUGAAAGUUAUGUCAUCGGACACCAACAAAGAACAAGAGAGUUUAGCUUGUGGAUCGGUGUGUUUCCUUCCAAAACCCAUCAAACCGACUGACCUACCAAAGAUCUACCAAGUUGCUUUUACUUAUAAGAGGAAGGGUAAGUCCAUAUCAAGGACCGAGCACAACCACAUGGAUACAAAUGUUAGCAUCCCUCAGCAAAUCCAGUUGCUUCCUGAACAAGCUAAUGUCUCAAAGACCAAGAAGAACAAGGAGUUCUCAUCUAAAUCAGAUUCACGAUCUGUGAACAGUUUCAAUGGAAGUUGUGAUAGUACAGAUGGUUCACGAAAAAAUCGAAAAAGAAAAUCAAACGGUGAUUUUGGUGAUGAUGAUGAGUCUUUGCCGCAGCCUUCCAAGAAGAGUAAGCUUUCGUGGUCGGACUACCUUCAUGACCUUUUCUUACAAGCUAUCCACCAUAUUGGUCUUGACAGUAAGUGUUUUGUUUUUUUUUUUAAUUAUAACGUAUUUAUACAAUACGCAAUAUACUGUUUAUUUUCUUACAUUUUCUUACAAACUUGUUUCUUUGCUGAACUUGAAUCUUCCAAAGAGGCUGUGCCAAAGAAAAUUUUAGAGUUCAUGGACGUAUCAUACUUGACAAGAGAGAACGUUGCCAGCCAUUUACAGGUUUGAUCAUCGAUCUCUUUUUUAAUGUUUUUUGAUGUUUUAAACGGGAUUAUUAUUUUUAUUUUUAACAACAAUUUAUGUAAGUCAACAUUAAACUAACGAAGUUUUAAGGAAUACUAGAUUUUUACCCGCACAACCGUGCGGGUAUAUAUUUUCACAUUGAUAUAUAUAGAUAUUUGUUUUACAUAAUUACUAUAUAUUUUUUUAUGUUACUUACAUAUUUAAAUGUUUGUAUAAUUAUGUCAAAUAUAAUAAUUUUAUAGUUUUCAUGUUGUAAAUUAAAAUCAUCACAUAUAUAUGUUGCUUAUUAUAUAUUUGUCCUAUUGAAUUUGUGUUUGAUUACGAAACUAAAUUUUUUAAUGCAUGAAACAACAUAUAUGAAAAUAAUUUUGUAUUUAAUUUAUUAUAAUCAUGAUCUGUAAUUCAAAUCGCUAGAUUUUUUUAGUAAUUUUUAAUGCUUAUUAAUUUUAUAUAAUAAAUUACUGUAUAUUAAAAAAUUUAAGAUAAGAUAAAUUUUUAUACAUGUAUUAUAUAGUUUACUAAUAUUAACCCGUUCAACCAACAUAUUAUAUUUUCAGCAUAAAUAUUUUAUAUUUAUGAAAAUAAAAUAUGUUAACAUAUAAAUUUAAAAUAAUUUUAUCAUAUAUUGUUCAAUAUAACGUUUUUAUUUUAAAAUGAUAGAUAUUAUUAUAAAAUUGAUAAAAUAGGAUAUAAUUUUAUUCUAUUAGUAAAAUUUUAUUACUAAUUACAAAAUUAGUUGAAAAUAUUUAUAUUCAAUUUAUGACAAUUAAGAUCUUAUUAUAAUCUUUUUCAAGAGAUUUGUUAGAAUUUUAAUAUUUUUUAAAAAAAUAAAAGAUAUAAAAGAUAUUAUGAUGAAAGUAGUUAAAAAUAUUGUAUAUAUUAGCAUUAGUGAUAUACAUUUAAUAGAGAAUUUAAAUGAUGGUCCAAAUAAAAAUAUCACUCAUAAAAAAAUCAUGAUUUUUAUUUUUAUUAGAAAACAAAUUUGAAAAAAUUAAAAUAGAAAUAAAUAUUUAUUUCUAAAAAAAUCUUUUAAAAUUAUUAGUAAAUGUAUUUUUGAAAUUAAUUAGUUUCAUUUUAUUUAAAUUUUUGUUUAUAAACCAAAAGUAUAUUCAAUUUUAAUUUCUAAUUAUAUUAUAUGAUAAUUUAAAUUAAAACUAACUAAUUUUCAACAGUAAAUUUAAAAAGAUUCUAAGAAGAUUUUAAAAAGAUUUUGUUCGAACAUUUUAAAUAUAUUCAUUUGUAUUUCAAAUAAAAAAAUAAAGAUAUUAAAAAUAUAAUAAUGAACUUAUGUAAAAUAUGAUAUUUUUUAGAAAUGGUCCAAACUAAAAAAAUCACACAUGAAAAGAAGUCAUGACUUCUGUUUUAAUAUAUAAGAUAGUAGUAUUUUCGUUAAAGUAGUAUUUUAAAUACUCUGUUAAACAGUGUUAAAGAAAUCUUAAAGUUAACUACCAAUGGAUUUAAAUUGGUCUAUUUUUCAUUGACCUAGUUAUAACUUUUUCUUCUAUUCGUUUAAGUUGUGUGUUUUUUUUUAAUUGCUCUCCAUUUUUAAAAACUAUAGAUCACUAGAUUGUGUAUCACUCACCUUUAGUUAACUAAAAACUGUUUACCAUACAGAAAUAUCGAAAUUUUUUGAGGAAAGUCGCGGAAAAUUCAGGCAUGUUGCAUGGAAGAGGCAUGGAGCCGUACCAUAGUAACUACACAACCUCUUCUUCUUGGUACGACACAGGUCUUAACAACAAAUCUAGCUAUUCCAAACCUAGACACGGUCUUGGACAGUCUAGGCUCUUAUCCAACACAUGUGAACCUGUCCGCUUCAACCAGAUGCCUUACAACCACAUGAACCGGUUAUCUACCUAUGAGCCGCACCGUACUGGAUCAAACUUGACCAUGCCCAUCAAAAGCAACCUCAGUUUUUCAACGCAGCCAUUGCAAAACGAAGGAAGUAGAAGCUUUCUUGAACCAACCGUGACGGCGAACAAAACUGGCCAAACAUCUCAAGUUCUCGGGUUUGGACAACAUGGAAUGUUGGCUAUAAAUGGAAAUAAUUUCAACGACAACACGAUGAGCAGCUAUGCAAGUUCAACUUCUAAUCAACCAAGAAUUAACAGCCAUGGAAGUUCGACUCCUAAUCAACCAGGAUUGAGGAGCUAUGGAUGUUCGAUAUCUAAUCAACCAGGAAUGAGUAGCUAUGCAAGUGUAUCUCCUAAUCAACUAGGAAUGAGCAGCUAUGGAAGCUUAACUCCUUAUCAACGAGGAAUGAGCAGCCUUGGAAGCUUUACUCCUACUCAACCAGGAAUGAGUAGCCAUAGAAGCUUGACGCCUACUCAACAAGGAAUGAGUAGCUAUGGGAGUUUAUCUCCUAGUCAACCAGGAGUGAGUACUCAACCAGGAAUGAGCAGCAAGGGAAGCUUGACUCCUACUCAACGAGGAAUGAGUAGCUAUGGGAGUUUAACUUCUUAUCAACCAGCAUUGAGCACCCAUGGAAGUUUAUUUCCUAAUCAACCAGGAAUAAGCAGCCACACAAGCUUACCUCCUACUCAACCAGGAAUGAGUAGCUUUGGAAGUUUAACAACUAAUCAUUCAGGAAUGAGUAGCUACGAAAGUUUAACUCCUACUCAACCGGGGCCUAGCAAUAUCUCAUACGGAUUGCUCUUAAACAAUGAAAACACUGCAUAUAAGCCUCAACCACAUGCCUCUACAACUAUACAACUGGAUAAUCUCAGCAUGUAUGAUGACCUCGGCAACAUUAACGAGAUUCCUUGCGAUUUAAGUAACUUUGACUUCGAUCAUGACAAGGUAUAUGUCUUCACAUCCCAAAAUGUUUCAAUUAUGUAUAUAUACAUGAACUAUAUGUUGUGAGAUUUUCUUGUCUGAUAUGUGAUACGAGCAGCAACAAGAAGAAGCAGUAUCUGCCAACAAAUUUGAGAUCCCUGCAAAUCUUGAGACUGAACUGAAUCAGACUUCCUCUCUUGAAGAAGAUGGUGACUGGACCUUUCUGAACAUAAGUCAGGUACAUACAUAUUAUUAGGUGACCUUUAGCAAUUACAAGAUUGUAUUUGAAUGAACUUCCUAUCAUAAGAUUAUACAUUAUCAUAUGUUUGAGAAUCUAGUGUGUGAAAUUUUCUAACUAGAUUUGUUACUAUUAGAACUUUAGUAGAUCUCUGCUACUCUUCUUAUAAACAAAUAUAGGCAUUGUAUCUAGACAUUUGUUCAAUAUAUCUAUAUAUUUAGAAGAAGAUAGUGGCUGAAUCUUUCUGAACCUAAAUCCGGUACAUACAUAUUAUUAGGGGAUUUAGCAAUCACAAGAUUGUAUUUGAAUCAACUUCCUAUCAAAGAUUAUAUACAUCAUCAUAUGUUUGAGAAUAUAAUAUUGUUGGAAAUUUUCUAACUAAAUUUGUUACUAUUAGAACUUUAGUAGAAGAUUUCUGCUACUCUUAUAAGCAAAUAUAUAUAUAUGCACUGUAUCUAGACAUUUGUUCAAUAUAUUAUAUCUAUACAUUUAGAAGGAGUACUUUCGAUAUAUAUAAAGUCUUAUUGAAUAAUAUAUUUGACUUUGUUGCGAAGGGUCAUUUUAAUGAAAAAACAUCAAACACUUUUGCUGCUCCGGAGACGAAUGAUCCAACUUUCAACAAAAACCCUAAUCAUGCUCAGGUACCUCUUAUUUGUAUUAUUUUAUAAUAUUUCCAUGAUAUAUCAACGAUAUUAUUAUUUUUAACUCUGAAACGUCGCAUAUAUUUGGUAGGAACAAGAUGUUCCAGAUUUUGAUUGGUCGUUGUUGGAUUUAGAGGUAAAAGUUUAAACUAUUUUUUCUAUAUAAGUUUAUAUUGCAGUUUAUUGGUCAUUGAAUAUUUUUUGAUUAAAUUUGUUUCUAUAUAUCUAGAACUUGGCUAAUGAGAACGACUUCAUGGACUCAAUGUUCACCAAUGACAACUCAAUGUUCACCAAUGACAUGAAUUGAAAAGGGUUCGAUCGAUCCAAGAUGUUCUCAACGGCAAUGUUCUCAACGGCAAUGCAAAGUAGUUUUUAAAGCAAAUAUAUAUAAAGAAUAAGAGGUUUAGAUGUAUGGUUUAUGGUUGUGUAACAUAUUUCUAAGUGUUGGAUAUUAUGUCUCUUUUUCUCAGCAAGUGUUAGAUAAUGUGAACUUUUCAAUAUAUAUAGUAAUCUAUAUGGUUAGAAAUGUCAUGUGUUUGUGUUAUAGUAUGUAUAUAUAUAUAUAUAUACACACGUACAAUCAUGUGUUCUAAGUUGGAUACUACAAUAUCAUAUAGUAUCAAGUAUAAUACGUAUGCAUCAAUGGUAAAAAUCGACGAUAUUGUGAAUAAAGUAAAAUACUGUUUCUUUUUUAACAUAAGCUACGAUCAAAAACCAUUUCAGGGGGCCUAAACCAAUAAUUUUACUACUAAUGCUAUCACUUAUUUUUGUGAAAAUAAAAACAAACUCUGCAGCAACAGAUGGCAAGUUCCAGUAUCCAAACCAACUGUAGUGUUAAGCUGUUAUUAACCAAGCACUGGAAUAAGAGUCACUUUCUGGUGACCACAUGAGUUUCAUUGUCAGAUUCAGAACAACAGCUUACGGACAAAGAUACUUAUUACUGAGUACUGACCCAGCAACCAUUUCAAAACAGGCCCGGGCCCAAUAAUGCAUGCUUUUCAUGGGAUAUAUCGGGAUUAUUUUUUUUUUGGAUUCAAUUUAUUUUUUUAAAUAAUGAUUUAUUAAAUGAUUCCCAAAAGGGUAUCUGAGUAUAUUAGGAUAUUUUGUAAAAAAGUAACUACGAUUUACUGCAAUACUCUUCCUUUCACAUGACAAACUUCUAAAUAUUUCUUUAAAAUUGAGUUGAAAAUUUUAUAAAAAGAAAGAUAUACAAAGAGAAAAAAUAGAUUAAUGUCAAAUUUGCUGGUUCUUUUGUUGAUCGAAGCUAGCUUGAUAGAACCACUUGCCUUUGGCAAACGCAGCAAACCUGCACAAGUGAGAGAUAAAAGAAAAAGGGAUAACUGCAUCAGAGCUGAUAGUAAAUCUUGAUGCAAGUAAUCCAAGAAAAGGACAGAAAAGUCGAUACUAGCCUUACUGCUUUUGAGCCAGGGACGAAUGCAAUCUUCAUGGUACUUGUGAGUACAGGGUAAAAUUAUCAUUUUCUCUCCAUGAACAUAAUCUGACUGGCAUAUCAGACACCUGUUUCCCCAAUCACAUUGUAAUUACUUCUUUACAACAUUUGUGUAAUCAAAUUGUUUUUUCUUUUUCGUUUUAGAACUUGCAUAUGAUUUCAAAAAAUGGAAAAGCAUAGUCUUGGUUUGUAGUGAGUGAACACAUUAUCCUUUUCAGUUUUUAAAUCAGAAAAUAUGUAUAUUUUUAAAGGAUAAUAUAUAAAAGAAUAAUCUUCAAAAAAAAAAAUAUAUAUAUAUAUAUAAAAGAAUAAGAGAGAAAGUAAGAAUACUUUUUAUCUUCUAUAGAAGGUUGAAACUUGAUGGUAGGUAAUUGAGAAAUUUGUCUCUCUGUUAAUCCUAUACCACUUGAAAUUCUUUCAGGCACUACACUCCGUUGGAUUAUUUCCUGUGACGUAGGAAGGAUGAACAUUUCCGAUUUCAGACAAAAAGGUUAGUAGAGGAAAUGCUAGCUAUUGAAAAAUUAAUAGAAUCUUUUUUAUAUACUCUUACAUCGCGUGAAUGUUGGCUAGGUCGAUCCCUUGAGCGUUCUGCAAAAGUAUAUUAGAGGUUAAUUAACCGGUGAUAGACUGAACCGAGUUUUGGUUUACUCGGUUGGCUAUACUAACUAAAUAGCAUCUAGUUGUUAUAUAGAUUAUGAGUUUAUACGAAUACUUAUAAUCCGGUUUGUGUAAAUGUAUCUAAACCGGUUUAUAGCUUUAGUAUAUAUAUAGGAACGAACUGGCAUUUUGUAUAAUUGAGCUGAUAAAUAACAACAUUCAUUUUCUCUAACGACUUUUCACUCUCGUCAUCAUCUUCCUCAUGAUCAAGCUCCAAAUCAUCUAUAAAUACGAUUAUACGAUGCUUCCAAAAACAUAUCAAUACCUGCAGAAGAUGAUAAACCUGAGGUUGAAGGAGGAGGGGUGUUAGAGGGCAAAGGCCUGCGUAUUGGUCUCGGCCUAUUUGUUGGUACAAAAAAACUCAUCAACCACGAUAUUAUCAACGACAUAAAACAUCUCCAGCAGAAUUGUCUUCGGAUGGUAGGUUGAUGUUGAAACUGAUGAUGUUCCCCUGGAAUGGAAUUAAAGGUUACAGACAUGGUAGCUUGGCCCUGAGGCUGAUAAUGAUUCAUCGUAGGAUAAAUGUUGUCAGACCAAUGCUCCGGUGAUACGAGCGGUGGAGUAUCAUCGUUUCUAUCAUGUCGUCUGCGAUUUCCCUCGAUUCUCCUGGUGAUUUCAUCAGCUUCACCGAACAUGUAAUUGUAUCCACUCAUCUUAAAAUAUCUAUUCAAAAGUUAUUUAAUAUUUUGAGAACUAGGGAUGCGUUGAUAUAGUUGUGUGGUAUGACAUUUUUAUAUGUAUCGUACUAUUUCAUUGAAUUGCUGGUUAUCGUGAUUGAUCAGUCUUAAAUUAAAGCAUGUAGGGAUCUUUAAGGCUGUAACCGGUACUAAAAAUGGAAUAAAAGGAAUGAAAUAUGAAAAAAUAGAGUGUAUUUUAUUCUAUAUUUGUGAUCAAAAUUGAAUAAUUAUUGAUAAAGAUAAUAAAAAUUAUGAUCAAAAUCUGACAGUAAAUCUUUAGAUAUCAAGUAAAUACUAAUAUAUAGAUAUGGAUUAGAUAUUUAGAUAUUCAUUUAAGUACAUUAAUCUAUCUUAUUAACACAUCUAUCGAUCUUAUUAAAACAGAAAAAUUGCAUUGGAUCUUACAUUUAGUCAUGUAAUAUUACAUAAAAUGACAUUAGUAAUUAAUGAAAAUAUUAUACAUUAGAAACUCUAUAAUCAAUAUUCUAUAAACUAAUAAAUACCAUAAAUUAAUAAAUUUUUCUAGUCUCAAAUUAGACCGGCUCAAAAUAUAACACAAAUAAAUAAAAUAAUAAAAUAAUAACUUUUUAGAAAAUCCAAUGUAAUGGUCCCAUUAAAAUUAUAAAUUAAUAAUUUAUAUGUAUAAAUAUUUUAUAUAAGUACAAACCAACCAUUAUAUUUUUUUUUAUAUUCACAAUCAAAUUAUCUUUAUAUUUUCUUAACAUUUAGUAUAUUUUGAUGAGAUUUAGUAAAUUAUAUCUAAAACAACAUUUAUAUUCUAUGAAACAUAGUUUAUACACACCAAAUAAUAUAAUUAAACUAAUAUAAAUUAUAAAUUUCUAUAAGUUAAUUAAUGUAUAUAUACUAAAAUCUAAUAUUUUCUUACUUUAAGAAAAUAUAUAUCUUAAAAUAUAAAAAUCCAAAAAAUGAAUUUUUUUUUGUAAAUUAAUAACUCUAUAAAUUAAUAAAAUAUCAAAAUCCCAAAAUUAUUAAUUUAUAGAUUUUUUACUGUAACUUAUAAAACUAAAUCUAAACUUAUAAAACAAAAUCAAAAAUAAGUAUAAAUUUUUGGGGUUUAGAUACUACAAAAUAAUUUCAUUUAAUAUGAAAUCAAUUAAAUUAAUAGAUUUUAUUUAUAUUUUCAUAAAUAUAAAAUUACAUUCGUUUAAACUCAAAUAAGUUUUAUAAUUCAAAAUUUAUCAAAAAUAUAUAUCACAAAAUUUAUCAAAUAAAUUGCAGAAAUUUAGUUUAAAAUUCAUAAUGAAAAGAUUAAAAUGUUUGAAAGUAAAAGUUAAUGUUAGAAAACUUCAUGUAAUUUCUAAAUAAGUGGACUUACCAUUAUAAAAUCGAUAUUUUCUAGAGAAACAUAGACAACAAAGGUUCCAAACCUAUUUGACCAUCAUCAUAUGUUAGUUUAGGAUGCAACAAUGCAUUGAAACAAUAUUGUUAUAAUUUUUAAUUUUUUCAAAAUCUAUGUAUAAACCCAUACGAAAUAUCAAGUUUUACGUUAAACGCUCUAUAUACUGAAGCCUAAAUUUUUAGUGUCGUGUUAAAAUUUCUAACCAUAUUCUACAUUUGUAUUAAUGUAUGUUAAACUCUCUUUCAUAGUAUAUGGGAAUCGUUAUAAUUUUUUCUCAAUUAAUUUAGUAAAAAAUCAUAACACUCCCUAAAUAAGUGGAAUAACCACUAUAGAAUCAGUAUUUUCUUGAAAAACAGAGACAACAAAGACUCCAAACCUCUUUAAACAUUAUCAUAUGUUAGUGCAUAAUGCAAUUAUGCAUUAAAACAAUAAUGUCAAUUUUUUUGAAAUUUUCUCAAAAUCUAUGUGUUAACCCCCUAUGAAAAUAUUAAAUUUUUGGUAAAUUCUUUAUAUAAUGAAGCUUAUAAUUUUUAGCAAUUUUAAAAUUUGUAACCACAUUCUAAAUUUGUAUUCAUGUUAUUUAAGUGGUACACGUGCAUCUUUCUAAUUUUAUAUCAAUUAAUUUUGUAAAACUUCAUGUAAUCCCUAAAUAAAUGGACUUACCAUUAUAUAAUUGCUAUUUUCUAGAGAAACAUAGAUAACAAAAGUUUCAAGCCUCUUUGACCAUCAUCAUAUGUUAGUUUAUGAUGCAACUAUGCAUUGAAACAAUAUUGUUGUGUUUUUGAAUUUUUUCAAAAUCUAUGUAUUAACCCAUACGAAAUAUUGAGUUUUACGUUAAACGCUCUAUAUACUGAAGCCUAAAAUUUUUAGUGUUAUUUUCAAAUUUCUAACCACAUUCUACCUUUGUAUUAAUGUAUGUUAAACUCUCUUUCAUGGUAUAUGAGAAUCGUUAUAAUUUUUUUUAUCAAUUAACUUAGUAAAACUGCAUAGGUGGAAUAACAACUAUAGAAUCGUUAUUUUCUUGAAAAAUAGAGAUAACAAAGGCUCUAAACCUCUUUGAGCAUCAUCAUAUGUUAGUGCAUGAUGCAACUAUGUAUUGAAAAAGUAAUGUCAAUUUUUUUGAAAUUUUCUCAAAAUCUAUGUGUUAACCCAUACGAAAAUAUUGAGUUUUUGGUAAAUGUUUUAUAUACUGAAGCCUAUAAUAUUUAGUGUUAUUUUAAAAUUUGUAACCAUAUUCUAAAUUUGUAUUAAUGUUAUUUAAACUAUUUUUCAUGGUACAUGGGCAUCUUUCUAAAUUUAUAUCAAUUAAUUUUGUAAAACUUCAUGUAAUCCCUAAAUAAGUGGACUUACCAUUAAAACAUUGCAAUUUUCUAGAAAAACAUAGACAACAAAAGUUUCAAGCCUCUUUUAUCAUCAUCAUAUGUUAGUUAAGGAUGCAACUAUGCAUUAAAACAAUAUUGUUAUGCUUUUAAUUUUUUCAAAAUCUAUGUAUAAACCCAUACGGAAUAUUGAGUUUUACGUUAAACGCUCUAUAUAGUGAAGCCUUAACUUUUAAGUGUUGUUUUAAAAUUUCUAACCACAUUCUACCUUUGUAUUAAUGUAUGUAAAACUCUCUUUCAUGGUAUAUAAGAAUCAUUAUAAUUUUUUUAUCAACUAAUUUAGUAAAAUUUCAUAACACUCCCUAAAUAGGUGGAAUAACCACUCUAGAAUCGCUAUUUUCUUGAAAAACGGAAACAACAAAGGCUCCAAACCUCUUUAAACAUCAUCAUAUGUUAGUGCAUGAUGCAACUAUUCAUUAAAACAAUAAUGUCAAUUUUUUUGAAAUUUUCUCAAAAUCUAUGUGUAACCCCUACGAAAAUAUUGAGUUUUUGGAAAAUUCUUUAUAUACUGAAGCCUAUAAUCUUUAAUGUUGUUUUAAAAUUUCUAACCACAUUCUACCUCUGUAUUAAUGUAUGUUAAACUCUCUUUCAUUGUAUAUAAUUUUUUUAUCAAUUAAUUUAUUAAAACUUCAUAACACUCCCUAAAUAGGUGGAAUAACCACUAUAAAAUCGCUAUCUUCUUGAAAAACGGAAAUAACAAAGACUUCAAACCUCUUUGAACAUCAUCAUAUGUUAGUGCAUAAUGCAACUAUGCAUUGAAAAUGUAAUGUCAAUUUUUUUGAAAUUUUCUCAAAAUCUAUGUGUUAACCCAUACGAAAAUAUUGAGUUUUUCGUAAUGUUUUACAUACUGAAGCCUAUAUAAUCUUUAGCGUUAUUUUUUAAAAUUUGUAACCACAUUCUAAAUUUGUAAUAAUGUUAUUUAAACUCUCUUUAUGGUACAUGGGCAUUUUCUAAUUUUAUAUCAAUUAAUUUUGUAAAACUUCUUGUAAUCCCUAAAUAAGUGGACUUACCAUUAAAAAAUCACUAUUUUCUAGAGAAACAUAGACAACAAAUAUUUCAAGCCUAUUUAACCAUCAUCAUAUGUUAGUUUAGGAUGCAACUAUGUAUUAAAAUAAUAUUGUUAUGUUUUUAAUUUUUUUCAAAAUCUACGUAUAAACCCAUACGCAAUAUUGAGUUUUAUGUUUAAACGCUCUAUAUACUGAAGCCUAAACUUUUUAGUGUUGUUUUAAAAUUUCUUGCCACAUUCUACCUUUGUAUUAAUGUAUGUUAAACUCUCUUUCAUGGUAUAUGGGAAUCGUUAUAAUUUUUUUUAUCAACUAAUUUAGUAAGAUGCAACUAUGCAUUAAAACAGUAUUGUUAAAUGUUUUGAAAUUUUCUCAAAAUCUAUGUGUUAACAACCCUUACGAAAAUAUUUAGAUUUUGGUAAAUGUUUUAUAUACUGAAGCCUAUAAUCUUUAGCGUUAUUUUAAAACAGUAUUGUUAAAUGUUUUGAAAUUUUCUCAAAAUCUAUAUGUUAACAACCCUUACGAAAAUAUUUAGACUUUGGUAAAUGUUUUCUAUACUGAAGCCUAUAAUCUUUAGCGUUAUUUUAAAAUUUGUAACCACAUUCUAAAUUUGUACUAAUGUUAUUUAAACUCUCUUUCAUGGUACAUGAGCAUCUUUCUAAUUUUAUACCAAUUAAUAUUUUCAAAACUUCAUGUCAUCCCUAAAUUAGUGGACUUACCAUUAUAAGAUCGCUAUUUUCUAGAGAAACAUAGACAACAAAGGUUUCAAGCCUCUUUGACCAUCGUCAUAUGUUAUUUUAGGAUGCAGCUAUGCAUUAAAACAAUAUUGUUAUAUUUUUGAUUUUUUUCAAAAUCUAUGUAUAAACCCAUACAAAAUAUUGAGUUUUACGUUAAACGUUCUAUAUACUGGAGCCUAAACUUUUUAGUGUUGUUUUCAAAUUUUUAUCCACAUUCUACAUUUGAAUAAAUGUAAGUUAAACUCUCUUUUAUGGAAUAUGGAAAUCGUUAUAAUUUGUUAAUCAAUUAAUUUAGUAAAAUUUUAUAAUACCCCCUAAAUAGGUGGAAUAACCACUGUAGAAUCGCUAUUUUCUUAAAAAACGGAGAUAACAAUGACUCCAAACCUCUUUAAACAUCAUCAUAUGUUAGUGCAUGAUGCAACUAUGCAUUAAAAAAUAAUGUCAAUUUUUUUGAAAUUUUCGCAAAAUUUAUGUGUUAAUCCUCUACGAAAAUAUUGAGUUUUUGGUAAAUUCUUUAUAUACUGAUUUAUAUACGUAUGCCAUAUCAUUUUACCCUUGAGGGCAAUGCUUUUCUUAUUCUUGUUGGUUUCUAGUGCUUCUUUCAAUUUUGGUUGGCAACUUAUGUAAACCCUCGGUCAUAACAAUUUCAACUCUAUUCCAUUUUAUAUUCUAAAACUCAUUUGUAGUAAAAUAUAUUUUAAUUCUAUUUUAUUUUUAACUCUAAAAGAAAAUUAAAAAUGGAUUUAUUCCAUUUUGGAGUAAUCUUAUUUUUUCAUCAUUCCAUUUUUAACUUUAAAUUAGGAAUAGUAUAAAACUUAAUUAACUAUUUUAAAGUUACUUUAUUUUGAAAUAAAAGAUAUAGUAACACAUUAAAAAUGUUCUUAGAGUAAUAAUACGUACUUAUAUUAACAAAAUUAUAUUUAAGUAAUCUAUGACCAUUUCAUCAGUCAAUCCCCAAUUCCUUUUGGAGCAAAUAAAUUAGUAGCCCAAUUCUCCUUAGAGCAGCAUUAUUGCAGUAUGUAAAACGGUUUUUUAGGCAAAAAGGUGUGUGUGGGCUACACCAAUAUUUUAAAAACGGUGACAGAAGAGGUGAGUUGAGAAUCGUUUCAGAUGGAUUUUGUGCACUGUUUACGGGUUCCACCGAUACGUGGCGGUCAGUGAUUUGUGCGAUUUAAAUUUUUUUUUAAAUCAGAUAAAAAAAUAAUUAGAAACCCAAAAAAGGGUUCACCAGAUAAUCAUGCUCGGACGGAUGCGUUUGUUAAACUUAAAUAUCUUACAGUCAAUUUAAUACGCGUCUAAGUUUCAUUACUAAUGAUUUAAUUAUCUUUCACGAAAAACACGAGUAUAUUUAUCAGUUUAUGGAUAGUCUAACUCGUACGUCAUACAUAUGAUUUUACAUGACUUACGCCAUGAUUGAACUCACAAAUUGUAAUAAUCUGCUUUACUUUCUCACGUGCACUUAUAAAAACCGUUUAGAUGAUCACUGGAUCAAGCUUCCACAUAACUAUACAUACAGUGUAAACUGAACUAUCAUUCCAAGCUAUAGAUGAAACUAGAAGGCAUCUUCGUAGUUCGUAUAUCUACUUGUAAUAAAUAAUAGACUCCAAAACAAAUGUUUAGUUCACACGUUUUCUUUUUAAGCUAGUGAUCCGUGUGUACACAUCUCUUGGACAUAUAACUAAUUUUCGUUUUCAGUCUCUAUCCAAAGUAUUUUUAGGAAACAAAAAAAAGAAUGUUGUCCCAAAAAAAAAAAAAAAUCUUUGUUAGCAAAAAAAAAAAAAAAGAAUCUUCUACUUCAGAAAAAAAAAAUCCUACUUACACGUACUGACGCCCGUAACUCUUUUUUAUUAUUUAAUUAAUAAACAAUUUUAUUGAUUCUUAUUCCUCAGAGAAUAUAUAUAUAUUUGUAUUUAAAACCAAAACCUUCAAAAAAAUAGAACUUUUUGUUAUUUUUGUCUUCUUCCUCGAUUCCAUGCAUGAGUUCCCGAAAAGAAACCAGUAAAGAAUAUGUACAUGUUAAGUUCAAAAAAAAAAGAAUAUGUACAUGCAUGCAUUUUCCUUCUUUAUUUCCUCUCUUUUUGCCCUUUUGGAUCCUUUUUUAUUGCGUUCAUAUGUUUUUAAUUCUUCUGUAGAGCUUUGCACUAAUCUUUGUUCAGAUUCACACGUACGCAUUGCAUUGUCUGCUAUAAGCAAAUCAAAAUUCAAAAGGUUUUUUUUUGACGCGUUUCAACUGUUUUAACAAGUACACUAAUAUAAGUGCAUGAUUUAUGUGUCUCGAAUAUUACGAUAGCUAGAAAACUAAAUAAAUUUCCAAAGCAUAUGCAAAACUUCAGCUUUACGUUUUUGUUUUUGUGUUUUUGUUUUUGUCUGUAUAAUGUUCACACAGACAAAAAUCCUUCUAUAAAUACCUUCAGAAUUGCGCUCACUACAAAACCCUAACUAAUAUCUUUCUUCCACUUUCCUUCUUCUUCUUUGUUUCUAAAAACACUAUAAUUUAAGUGAAAUCUGAAAAGAUGGCGAAUCAGAGGAAUUAUGGGAAGAGGCCUUCUCGAGCCGGUGAAUCAGAAAAGAAGGAAACUGAAGAUGAGGAGAACAUAUUUCCUUUCUUCUCGGACCGUUCCCAAUACGACACACGUGCCAUGGUCUCAGCCUUGACUCAAGUCAUUGGAAACCAAAGCAGUACUCAUGAUGAUAAUCAACAUCACUCUGAUGAGUAUAAUCAACAAGAUUCUACCCAACCUAUUUCUCCUAAACAAGACCAAGGUAUAAAUAAAAAGGAUUAGGUAUAUGCACAUAAAGCUAGAUUUGCUAGCAUAUAUUGCAAGUAACAGAUAGUUUAUGAUGAUAUGUUAUAUUUUCCACUUUUUGAUUGUAUGAAGGAGACUUGAGGAAGAGACAUUAUAGAGGGGUAAGGCAACGACCAUGGGGAAAAUGGGCUGCCGAAAUCAGGGAUCCACAAAAGGGAGCACGCGUGUGGCUUGGGACAUUUGAGACAGCUGAAGCUGCGGCCAUAGCUUAUGAUGAAGCAGCUCUUAAGUUCAAAGGAAGCAAAGCCAAACUUAACUUCCCUGAGAGAGCUCAACUAGCAAGUAACAGUAAUAGUACUAUUACUGGUCUACCAAACUAUUUCUCUUCUAACAAUCAAGUUUACUACUCCAAUCCACAACCCACACCAUAUGAUAACCAGUACUACUAUAACCAAUAUCUUCAGCAAGGGGGAUAUAGUAACGAUGCAUUAAGUUAUGAUAUGGCCGGUGGGGAAACCGGAGGCUUAAUGUAUAAUCAUCAGACAUUAUCUACUACAACUUCUUCAUCUUCUGGUGGAUCUUCAAGGCCACAAGAAGAUUACACCAGAUAUUUGCAUUUUGGAGAUUCUUCUCCUUAUUCGGGUUUUUGAGAUCCUCAUAUAAAUAAUUAAGGGCUUUUGGGUGAUCGACUUGUUAUGAGGAGAUCAUAUGUUCCUUGAAUGUUUUGUAUCUUUUUUUUCACUAUGCUUUGCGUGUGUUGUUUGUGAUCAUUUUGUUUAUUUCUUCUUUCAAGAAUUUUCAGGUUCUUUGUUACCAACCCUUGGACUUGGGUUUACUUUCAUAGCUAUAUACAAAAAUGUUACCCUUAAAUGUUAUGUAGCCUCAAAUAAGCACACACUUGCAUACAUAUUAUUCAGUGGUUUGAUUCUCAGUAGAUGAUGGUAGCGGAUAUAUCAUUCGGAGUGUCUAACGUAGAUGAUCAAAACAAAUAUAAAAUCACGUUUAUUAUCCAAUAACACCGUCCACCGCAGUUAGAAUGUAUUUCCAAUAUAAGUCAAGGUCCCAAACGUCUUGAUUUUUCUGUCAUAGCCAGUAUAAUGAGACUUUGACAAGCCAAUUUUUUUUUUUAAGGAACUGGUACGUACAAGUAACAACAAUGAAAAUUUGACCAAGACAGACUCCCCAAAUGUUUGUUGUAAGUCAUUGAUUUUGUCAAUCCAAAGUGGUUGACUCCCUUUGACCCAUGUUUUCUUAUCCCUCUUAAUAAUUUUAAUUUCUCUCGUCUUUUAUUUUAUUAAUUUUUUUACACAUUUUUUUUAUCAAAUUUUUUUCAUUAAUAAACUUUAUUAUGGUAUACAGUACAAUGUCACAAUGAUAUAGGCAACUUAUAAUGUAGAUUCAUAAAUGUAUUACACAUAUAAUCAAAAGCAGGUCGUUACCAUUUCGAGUUAGAUUCAAUGUACAUGUGUUUCAGAUGAAACAAUAUGAUUUCGUUUUGUAAUUUAGGGCCUCGUCUUUCAUAUAUCAAUUGAAAUGAUGGUUAUGAUCAUGGAUUUCGUUAUUUUAAAAAACCUUCCGACCAACGCGUUGUCUCCUCUUUCUUUUGUCUCUUUCACAAUUUGGAACCUUUCUGUUGACUUAUUCGUGUUUCUUAUUGGUAUAUGAAUCUCAGCCGCCAACAAAAAUUUGUACUUUCGACACACUCGCGGAACUUCAAAGGCAUUAUAUUCUCUUAAGUAUUUUAAAAUUGACACGCGGGAUGUGGCGCUGAGUUACACCUUCGUCUACGCUAAACCCAUACUACACAAAACCGUUUUUCUUCUGUUCCAAUCGUAAAAUCGUUCUUAGAAUUGUAGAACCGGUCUUAGGUAUAACCAAAUGAAAUAUUUGUUUUAGGUUCUUAAUAUUUUUUGACUUAAUAUAUAUAAAUAAAACUUCAAAUUGUUUUAAAAAGAUUUUAAUAAAAUUAUUAUUAAUUUUCAGAAAGACUUCACAAUUUCAGUACCGGUUUUGUUUUAGAUAUCCCUAUAAAAUAGUAUAUAGAAAAAUCGUAGUUAAAAAAAAAACUAUUGAUCACUCUCUAGUAGAUGACUAUUUGCCUAAUAAAAUAGAUUAUCCCUAGCCUGAUUAUUUGUCAGGAUUUUUGUUGAUUAAUUCUUUGCUUAAAUUUUCUUAGCAAUCUUUAAAAACAUAUUUCAUUUUGGCAUGUAAUACAAAGGCAUGGCAAGUGAUCGAUCAAACAUGUCAUAGUAUUGCUAAUAAUUAUACUCAAACUCUUUGAUGUGAAGUUCAGAUAUCGACCGUUCCUUACAAAAUAAUUCAAAGUAUUACAACAUAAAUACAAUUAUUAUCGAUCAUCCCGACAGACAGAAUAUGAAAGUGGAUCGACACCUGAAAGUGGGGGAUGGUCGCACCCGCACGCACGCGGGCCUGGCGCCUCCCUUUCAACCUUUGCGGCCUUCUAAGCUCUCACAAAUCUCAACCACUUUAUUUUCAAACUUAUUGGCCUAAAGACUACGUAUGCAAACUGUGCAUGCGUACUACUUAUCAUACAAAAUAAAAUAAAAAUACGUAUGUUACAUGCAGUAUCAUUAUCAAUGUACAAAUCGCUACCUAACUGCUCACACUCAUUGUAUACAGCGCAACCAAAUUCAGUUCCCCCAAAUAGUCCGUCUUAUUUCACAACCGCAUUUAAACUUUUUUUCGUAAUACACGUUUUAAAAGUGUAAAGAAGGUAUAAAAUCAUUAAUUUGAUUCGUAGUCACGGUGAGAGCUGUUGAUAUUCGUCGGUGAAAGCAUGAACCUUGUAUUGAAAGAGAAACACGUAGAAUCAUAACUUUUUGGUUUGUCUGUGAAACAGGUAUUAUGGGGAACAAAGAAUAUGUCUGUAAAAAAAGAAGAAGCAAAGUGAAUCUUUUUUUUUUUUAAGCAAAGUGAAUCUUGAGCCAGUAGAGUAAUGAAAGCACUUUUCUUUUUCAUAGAAGAAAAGCCGAAUAUUCAGUAAUAAAAGCCAUUAUAUGAUUCUUUUGAAGUUUCACUUUCCAAAAUUAGAGCGACAAGAAAACUGCACUUUAAGCCCCAGGGGAUAAAACAAAACAAAACAAAACAAUGCAAGAUUAGAUAUCGUACAGAAAUGGCAAAAUAUAAGUGAAAAAGCGUUUAUACAACAAAAAAAAAUCCGACCUGCCGGAAUCGAACCAGCGACCUAGAGAUUAUCUGUCACAGACUACAGUCUCCCGCUCUACCAACUGAGCUAAGGUCGGUUGUUGAAAAGUCUCAAUACAAAUAAUAAAUAUACACAACAUUACUGCUUCUCUUGCUGAGAACGACCGAUCCAAGAACAUAGCUAACCAAAUUACGAACCACCUAAAAUCAAUUUCUCCCGUCUCUUACGUUACAAAUAAAACUAACGGUCAGACAUUCUUUUUUUCUUUCUAUAACUUACUCACUGUAUGAGUUAUGAUCAAACCACAAUACACACGUACAAUUUACCUACCGGUUUGACUCAAACCAAAUACACACGGCCGGUUUAAAUUGGACUAAUUCACACGUGCCGUGAAGAAUAACAGUAAAUUUAAGAAUAUUUUGAAAAUCUAUACUAAUAAAAGGGACCUUUUGAGGCCCCAUAGAGCGUCCACAUCAGCAAAAAAAAUUUAUCCCGAAAGAUGACACGUGGCAUAAAAUAUAGUUUUACAUUUUAAUAUUAAUUAUUUUCGAAAAUUGUAAAAAAUAUGUAAACAUACAACAUUAAAAAAUGGAAAAACUACAUUAAACAUAUGUAAGAUUACUAUUUUUCACUUAAAAUUAAAAGACGGUUUAUCUCCAUAAUGUAACAUUACCGUUUUAUAAAAAAAAAAACAAAAAACAUUAUAUAUAUUUCGAAAAUAAUUAAUAUAAGUAAAACAUACAACAUAAAAAUGGAAAUACUACAUUAAACAUAAAUAUGUUUGACUAUUUGUCCAAGUUCUUCUAUUAAAUAUUGCCGUUUUACAUUAAAAAUAGAAAAAAUACGUAAAGAUUUAAACAUCUAUCUUAAAAUAUAAAAUAUAGAUAUUAACUAAAUAUAAAGUAUAAAAAAGAGAAAUACUCAAUAUAUAAAAAAUAAAUAAUAAGUAAAUAUUAUAAAUAUAUAAAUAUAUGAAUUAUAUAUACAAUAAUAAGUAAAUGCACAAUUUUUUAAAAAUGGAAAGAGUAUAUUAAAUAUUAAACAUCUAUCUUAAAAUGUAAAAUAUAGAUAUUAAGUAAAUAGAAAAUAUAAGAAAAAGAAAUACACAACUUAAAAACAAUGGAAAAACUAUAUUAAGAUUUAAACAUCUAUCUUAAAAUGUAAAAUAUAGAUAUUACGCAAAUAGAAAGUAUAAGAAAAGGAAAUACACAAUUUAAAAAAAUAGAAAAAGUACAUUAGUAUUUAAACAUCUAUCUUAAAAUGUAAAUAAAUCUUAAAAUAUAAAAUUAUUAGUAAAUAAAAAGUAUAAGAAAUAAAAAUACACAAUAUACAGAAAAAUAAAUAAUAAGUAAAUAUAUAAUAUAAUCUCGAAAGAUGACACAUGGCAUUAAAAUAUAGUUUUACAUUUUAAUAUUACUUAUUUUCGAAAAUUAUAAAAAAAUAUGUAAACAUACAGCAUAAAAAAAUGUAAAAAAUACAUUAAACAUAUGUAAGAUUACUAUUUUUCACUUAAAAAAGACGGCUUAUCUCCAUAAUGUAACAUUACCGUUUUAUAAAAAAACCAAAAAACAUUAUAUAUAAUUUUGAAAAUAAUAAAUAUAUGUAAAACAUACAACAUAAAAAUGGAAAUACUACAUUAAACAUAUGUAAGAUUACCGUUUUACAUUUUUAUUUUAAGAAAAUAAUAUGUAAACAUACAACAUAAAAAAUGAAAAAAACUACAUUAAACAUAUGUAAGAUUACUAUUUUUCACUAAAAAAAAGACGGCUUAUCUCCAUAAUGUAACAUUACUAUUUUGUAAAAAAAAAAUUAUAUAUAAUUUCGAAAAUAAUAAAUAAUAUGUAAACAUACAACAUAAAAAAUGGAAAUACUACAUUAAACAUAUGUAAAAUUACCAUUUUACAUUUAAAAAUAACAAUAAUAUGUAAACAUACAACAUAAAAAAAUGGAAAACUACUUUAAACAUGUGUAAGAUUACCAUUGUUCACUAAAAAAACGGGUUAUCUUCAUAAUGUAACAUUAGAAUUUUAUUAAAAAAAGAAAAAAAAUAUAAAUAUAACUAUUUGACUAUUUGUGCAAGUUCUUCUAUUAAACAUUGCCGUUUUACAUUAAAAAUAGAAAAAUACGUAAAGAUUUAAACAUCUAUCUUAAAAUAUAAAAUAUACAUUAACUAAAUAUAAAGUAUAAGAAAGAGAAAUACUCAAUAUAUAGAAAAAUAAAUAAUAAGUAAAUAUUAUAAAUAUAUAAAUAUACGAAUUAUAUAUACAAUAAUAAGUAAAUGCACAAUUAUUAAAAAAUGAAAAGAGUAUAUUAAAUAUUAAACAUCUAUCUUAAAAUGUAAAAUAUAGAUAUUAAGUAAAUAGAAAGUAUUAGAAAAGGAAAUACACAAUUUAAAAAAAUGGAAAAAAUACAUUAGUAUUUAAACAUCUAUCUUAAAAUGUAAAUCAAUCUUAAAAUAUAUAAUUAUUAGUAAAUAGAAAGUAUAAGAAAUAGAAAUACACAAUAUAAAGAAAAAUAAAUAAUAAGUAAAUAUAUAAUAUAAGUGAAUACCAAAUUUAAAAAUGGGAAAUUACAUUAAGAUUUAAAAAUAUAUAUUAAAAUUUAAAAUAUAGAUAUUACGUAAAUAGAAAGUAUAACAAAUGGAAAUAUACAAUUUAAAAAAUGGAAAACAUACAUUAAGAUUUAAACAUCUAUCUAAAAAUGUAAAAUAUAGAUAUUAAGUAAAUUAAAAGUACAAGAAAUGGAAAUACAUAUACAUGAAAAUAAAUAAUAAGUAAAUAAUGUAAAUAUAUAAUAUAUGAAUUAUAUAUGUAAUAAUAAGUAAAUACACUAUUUUUUUUAAAAAUGGAAAAAGUUCAUCAAGCACUAAACAUCUAUCUUAAAAUGUAAAAUAUAUAAUAUAAGUAAAUACACAAUUUAAAAAAUGGAAAAAGUGCAUUAAUAUUUAAAUAUCUAUUUAAAAAUAUAAAAUUUAGAUAUUACGUAAAUAAAAAUAUAAGAAAUGGAAAUAAACAUUUAAAAAAUGGAAAAAGUACAUUAAGAUUUAAGCAUCUAUCUUAAAAUGUACUUCUAUCUUUAAAUGGUAGUAAAAGGCCCCAUAGAGCGUCCACAUCAGCAAAAAAAAUUUAUCCCGAAAGAUGACACGUGGCAUAAAAUAUAGUUUUACAUUUUAAUAUUAAUUAUUUUCGAAAAUUGUAAAAAAUAUGUAAACAUACAACAUUAAAAAAUGGAAAAACUACAUUAAACAUAUGUAAGAUUACUAUUUUUCACUUAAAAUUAAAAGACGGUUUAUCUCCAUAAUGUAACAUUACCGUUUAUAAAAAAAAAACAAAAACAUUAUAUAUAUUUCGAAAAUAAUUAAUAUAAGUAAAACAUACAACAUAAAAAUGGAAAUACUACAUUAAACAUAAAUAUGUUUGACUAUUUGUCCAAGUUCUUCUAUUAAAUAUUGCCGUUUUACAUUAAAAAUAGAAAAAAUACGUAAAGAUUUAAACAUCUAUCUUAAAAUAUAAAAUAUAGAUAUUAACUAAAUAUAAAGUAUAAAAAAGAGAAAUACUCAAUAUAUAAAAAAUAAAUAAUAAGUAAAUAUUAUAAAUAUAUAAAUAUAUGAAUUAUAUAUACAAUAAUAAGUAAAUGCACAAUUUUUUAAAAAUGGAAAGAGUAUAUUAAAUAUUAAACAUCUAUCUUAAAAUGUAAAAUAUAGAUAUUAAGUAAAUAGAAAAUAUAAGAAAAAGAAAUACACAACUUAAAAACAAUGGAAAAACUAUAUUAAGAUUUAAACAUCUAUCUUAAAAUGUAAAAUAUAGAUAUUACGCAAAUAGAAAGUAUAAGAAAAGGAAAUACACAAUUUAAAAAAAUAGAAAAAGUACAUUAGUAUUUAAACAUCUAUCUUAAAAUGUAAAUAAAUCUUAAAAUAUAAAAUUAUUAGUAAAUAAAAAGUAUAAGAAAUAAAAAUACACAAUAUACAGAAAAAUAAAUAAUAAGUAAAUAUAUAAUAUAAUCUCGAAAGAUGACACAUGGCAUUAAAAUAUAGUUUUACAUUUUAAUAUUACUUAUUUUCGAAAAUUAUAAAAAAAUAUGUAAACAUACAGCAUAAAAAAAUGUAAAAAAUACAUUAAACAUAUGUAAGAUUACUAUUUUUCACUUAAAAAGACGGCUUAUCUCCAUAAUGUAACAUUACCGUUUUAUAAAAAAACCAAAAAACAUUAUAUAUAAUUUUGAAAAUAAUAAAUAUAUGUAAAACAUACAACAUAAAAAUGGAAAUACUACAUUAAACAUAUGUAAGAUUACCGUUUUACAUUUUUAUUUUAAGAAAAUAAUAUGUAAACAUACAACAUAAAAAAUGAAAAAACUACAUUAAACAUAUGUAAGAUUACUAUUUUUCACUAAAAAAAAGACGGCUUAUCUCCAUAAUGUAACAUUACUAUUUUGUAAAAAAAAAUUAUAUAUAAUUUCGAAAAUAAUAAAUAAUAUGUAAACAUACAACAUAAAAAAUGGAAAUACUACAUUAAACAUAUGUAAAAUUACCAUUUUACAUUUAAAAAUAACAAUAAUAUGUAAACAUACAACAUAAAAAAAUGGAAAAACUACUUUAAACAUGUGUAAGAUUACCAUUGUUCACUAAAAAAACGGGUUAUCUUCAUAAUGUAACAUUAGAAUUUUAUUAAAAAAAGAAAAAAAAUAUAAAUAUAACUAUUUGACUAUUUGUGCAAGUUCUUCUAUUAAACAUUGCCGUUUUACAUUAAAAAUAGAAAAAUACGUAAAGAUUUAAACAUCUAUCUUAAAAUAUAAAAUAUAUACAUUAACUAAAUAUAAAGUAUAAGAAAGAGAAAUACUCAAUAUAUAGAAAAAUAAAUAAUAAGUAAAUAUUAUAAAUAUAUAAAUAUACGAAUUAUAUAUACAAUAAUAAGUAAAUGCACAAUUAUUAAAAAAUGAAAAGAGUAUAUUAAAUAUUAAACAUCUAUCUUAAAAUGUAAAAUAUAGAUAUUAAGUAAAUAGAAAGUAUUAGAAAAGGAAAUACACAAUUUAAAAAAUGGAAAAAAUACAUUAGUAUUUAAACAUCUAUCUUAAAAUGUAAAUCAAUCUUAAAAUAUAUAAUUAUUAGUAAAUAGAAAGUAUAAGAAAUAGAAAUACACAAUAUAAAGAAAAAUAAAUAAUAAGUAAAUAUAUAAUAUAAGUGAAUACCAAAUUUAAAAAAUGGGAAAUUACAUUAAGAUUUAAAAAUAUAUAUUAAAAUUUAAAAUAUAGAUAUUACGUAAAUAGAAAGUAUAACAAAUGGAAAUAUACAAUUUAAAAAAUGGAAAACAUACAUUAAGAUUUAAACAUCUAUCUAAAAAUGUAAAAUAUAGAUAUUAAGUAAAUUAAAAGUACAAGAAAUGGAAAUACAUAUACAUGAAAAUAAAUAAUAAGUAAAUAAUGUAAAUAUAUAAUAUAUGAAUUAUAUAUGUAAUAAUAAGUAAAUACACUAUUUUUUUUAAAAAUGGAAAAAGUUCAUCAAGCACUAAACAUCUAUCUUAAAAUGUAAAAUAUAUAAUAUAAGUAAAUACACAAUUUAAAAAAUGGAAAAAGUGCAUUAAUAUUUAAAUAUCUAUUUAAAAAUAUAAAAUUUAGAUAUUACGUAAAUAAAAAUAUAAGAAAUGGAAAUAAACAUUUAAAAAAUGGAAAAAGUACAUUAAGAUUUAAGCAUCUAUCUUAAAAUGUACUUCUAUCUUUAAAUGGUAGUAAAUUAUAUAAAAAUAGAAAUACCACAUUAAACAAAAAAAAAAGUAUAAUUUUACAUCAAGAAAGUCCCUAUAAAACUCAUUAUUCCAUCUACAUCAACCUCACACUAUUAAGCAAAAUUUCAAAGCACUCGAGCAAAAAAAUGGUUUCACUAUCAACUCUUGCCGUCCCAGAAACUUUUAAUGACAUUGAAUGAGAUUUUUUUAUAACAACAAACUUUUUGUUAGGUGGAUUCAUUGUUGGGAAACCCGCAACUUCCAAAAGCCAAACUUAUUCAUGGGAAUUGAAUUGCUUUUCAUAGACUCAAAGGUAUUCUUACAAAUUUAAAUUAAUCUAAUCUAUAAUUUUAUUGUUAAUAUUCAUACUAACUCUUUCAUGAUCAAACCAUUUCAGUUGAUAACCAUUCAAGCGUUUAUCCCGAAACACUUCCUUCCUCUCCGAAUCAGGUAUUGGUUCAUAUUGAUUUAGUAUUGUUUUUGGUUUACUAACCGGUUUAGGAUAGUCUUAUUGUAAAUAUAAUUUAAGUUGGUUUAGCAUAUAUUAUUUUUAAAAUAACUUAAAUUAAAUAAUAAUAAUAUUAUGCUUAAAAUAUAAUUUUAGAGAGUUUUCAAAUAUAGUUUACAGAACAUUAUAGGUGAUGAAUUUAAUUUAUUAAAUUUGUUUAUUACUUAAAACUAAGUUUUUAAAAAACAUACUGAGUUAUAAAUAUCAAUGAUGGAUUGGUGAGUAUAACAUGAAGACAAAAAUAUAAAUAUCUGAUUUUCAAGAUAAGAAAUUCAGCUUUUAUUCAGAUACUCAAUAUAUAAUAUCUUAAAUUAUGUUUUAAAAAUAUACAUAAUUUAUAUAUAUAGAUUAAUCUUCCAAACUUAAACUAUUAUAUUAUAUAUGAAUAAUGUUUUUAAAUAAAAAUAAUUUCUGAUUUAAAAUAAAAAUAAAAACAACAAAUGUUUAUUUUCAAAUAAUGGAUGUAAUUUACAUUAUACUAUCAUUUAACAAGUAUUAGAUACGUUUUGAUAUAUCAUUAUUUUCUAUUCCCAGAAAACAAUAAAUUGUUAAACAUCAAUAUCAUCUAGGUUAAGUAUACGAACAACAAAAAUUCAAACAUCACAAAAAAUAUUUACAUAACCAUUAUAAUACAAUAAUUUAAUCAAAAAUACAAUUAAAAAAAAUAUUAAAAAGAAUAGUUAUAUACUUAAUAUUUGAAAAUAAAAGAUAUUUUUGCUAAAAUUGUACUUACCUGGCCAAGGAGAUCGACCAUCUUUUUACGGAUCGAUCGAAUGUUGAGCAUGUGGUCGAUCCAAAAAUACUCUGCAGUUUAAUAAAAUCUCUAAAACAUUUAUUCCAACACUCAAAAGAUAGUUUUGCUAAAUAUGAUAACUAAAUAGCCAAUAAAAUUACAAAAAAAUAUUUAAAUAGUAAAAAAUAUGUUAAUUUAACUGUUAAAAUUUAAAAAUAAAUUUUAAUUAUGACAUGCAUUUUAACAUUUAUAUAAAUAUAAAUCAUAGCCUAAAUAUAAAUAAUUUAAAAACUUAAAUUAGAAAAAAAUAAAAAUCCCGGGCGUAGCCCGGGUUAAUCCCUAGUCUAUACUAAUAAAAGGGACCUUUUGAGGCUCCAUAGAGCGUCCACAUCAGCAAAAAAAACUUCUCCCGAAAGAUGACAUGUGGCAUAAAAUAUAGUUUUACAUUUUAAUAUUACUAAUUUUCGAAAAUUAUAAAUAAUAUGUAAACAUACAGCAUAAAAAUGGAAAAACUACAUUAAAGAUAUGUAAGAUUACCAUUUUUCACAUAAAGAAAAAAGACGGUUUAUCUCCAUAAUGUAACAUUACCGUUUUCUAAAAAAGAUACUAAUAAAAUUGACCUUUAAAAGCUCCAUAGAGCGUCCACAUCAGCAAAAAAAACUUUUCCCGAAAGAUGGCACGUGGCAUAAAAUAUAGUUUUACAUUUUAAUAUUACUAAUUUUCAAAAAUUAUAAAUAAUAUGUAAACAUACAGCAUAAAAAAAUGGAAAAACUACAUUAAAAAUAUGUAAGAUUACCAUUUUUCACUUAAAAAAAAGACGGCUUAUCUUCAUAAUGUAACAUUACCGUUUUAUAAUAAAAAAAACAAAAACAUUAUAUAUAAUUUUGAAAAUAAUAAAUAUAUGUAAAAAUACAACAUAAAAAAUGGAAAUACUACAUUAAACAUAUGUAAGAUUACCAUUUUACAUUUUUAUUUAAAAAUAAUAAUAUGUAAACAUACAACAUAAAAAUGGAAAAACUACAUUAAACAUAUGUAAGAUUACCAUUUUUCACUAAAAAAAAAGACGGUUUAUCUCCAUAAUGUAACAUUACUAUUUUGUAAAAAAAAACAUUAUAUAUAAUUUAGAAAAUAAUAAAUAAUAUGUAAACAUACAACAUAAAAAAUGGAAAUACUACAUUAAGCAUAUGUAAGAUUAUCAUUUUACAUUUAAAAAUAACAAUAAUAUGUAAAUAUACAACAUAAAAAAAUGGAAAAACUACAUUAAACAUAUGUAAGAUUACCAUUUUCACUAAAAAAAUGGUUUAUCUCUAUAAUGUAACAUUACCAUUUUAUAUAAAAAAGAAAAAAAACAUAAAUAUAACUAUUUGACUAUUUGUCCAAGUUCUUCUAUUAAACAUUGCUGUUUUACAUUAAAAAUGGAAAAACACAUUAAAAUUUAAACAUCUAUCUUAAAAUAUAAAAUAUCGAUAUUAACUAAAUAUAAAGUAUAAGAAAGAGAAAUACUCAAUAUAUAGAAAAAUAAAUAAUAAGUAAAUAUUAUAAAUAUAUAAAUAUACGAAUAAUAUAUACAAUAAUAAGUAAAUGCACAAUUUUUUAAAAAUGGAAAGAGUACAUUAAAUAUUAAACAUCUAUAUUAAAAUGUAAAAUAUAGAUAUUAAGUAAAUAUAAAGUAUAAGAAAAAGAAAUACACAACUUAAAAACAAUGGAAAAAAGUAUAUUAAGAUUUAAACAUCUAUCUUAAAAUGUAAAAUAUAAAUAUUACCCAAAUAGAAAGUAUAAGAAAAGGAAAUACACAAUUUAAAAAAAUGGAAGAAGUACAUUAGUAUUUAAAUAUCUAUCUUAAAAUGUAAAUCUAUCUUAAAAUAUAAAAUUAUUAGUAAAUAGAAAGUAUAAGAAAUAGAAAUACACAAUAUAAAGAAACAUAAAUCAUAAGUAAAUAUAUAAUAUAAGUAAAUAUCCAAUUUAAAAAAUGGAAAAUUACAUUAAGAUUUAAAAAUAUAUCUUAAAAUUUAAAAUAUAGAUAUUACGUAAAUAGAAAGUAUAACAAAUGGAAAUAUACAAUUUAAAAAAAAGGAAAACGUAUAUUAAGAUUUAAACAUCUAUCUUAAAAUGUAAAAUAGAGAUAUUAAGUAAAUAAAAAGUCAUGAAAUGGAAAUAAACAUUAAGCAUUAAAUAUAUAAUAUAUGAAUUAUCAAUAAAUAAUAAGUAAAUAAUGUAAAUAUAUAAUAUAUGAAUUAUCUAUAUAAUAAUAAGUAAAUAAACAACUUUUUUUUUAAAAUGGAAAAAGUUCAUUAAGCAUUAAACAUCUAUCUUAAAAUGUAAAAUAUAUAAUAUAAGUAAAUACACAAUUUGAAAAAUGGAAAAAGUACAUUAAGAUUUAAAUAUCUAUUUUAAAAUAUAAAAUAUAGAUAUUACGUAAAAAAAAUAUAAGAAAUGGAAAUAAACAUUUUAAAAAAUAGAAAAAGUACAUUAAGAUUUAAGCAUCUAUCUUAAAAUGUACAUCUAUCUUAAAAUGGUAGUAAAUUAUAUAAAAAUAGAAAUACCACAUUAAACAAAAAAAAUAAAAAUGUAUAGUUUACAUCAAGAAAGUCCCUAUAAAACUCAUUAUUCCAUCAACAUCAACCUCACACUAUCAAGGAAAACUUCAAAUCACUCGAGCAAAAAAAUAGUUCCACCAUCAACUCAUGUCGUCCCAAAAAUCUUUAAUGACCUUGAAAGAGAUUUUUUAUAACAACGAACUUUUUAUUAGGUGGAUUCAUUAUUGGGAAACCCGCAACUUCCAAAAGCCAAACUUAUUCAUGAGAAUUGAAUUGCUUUUCAUAGACUCAAAGGUAUUCUUACAAAUUUAAAGUAAUCUAAUCUAGAAUUUUAUUGUUAAUAUUCAUUCAAGCGUUUAUCCCGAAACACUUUCUUCCUCGCCGAAUCAGGUAUUGGUUCAUGUUGGUUUAGUAUUGCUUUUGGUUUAUUAACCGGUUUAGGAUGAUCCUAUUGUAAAUAUAAUUUAAGUUGGUUUAGCAUAUAUUAUGCUUAAAAUAAAUUAAAUUAAAUAAUAGUAAUAUUAAGCUUAAAAUAUAAUUUUAGAGAGUUUUCAAAUAUAGUUUACAGAACAUUAUAGGUGAUGAAUUUAAUUUAUUCAAUUCGUUUAUUACUUAAAACUAAGUUUUUUAAAAAACAUACAGAGUUAGAAAUAUCAAUGAUGGAUUGGUGAGUAUAACGUGAAGACAAAAAUAUAAAUAUUUGAUUUUCAAGAUAAGAAAUUCAGCUUUUAUUCAGUUACUCAAUAUAUAAUAUCUUAAAUUAUUUUUUAAAAAAUAUACAUAAUUUAUAUAUAUAGAUUAAUCUUCCAAACUUAAAAUAUUAUAUUAUAUAUGAAUAAUGUUUUUAAAUUAAAAUAAUUUCUGAUUUAAAAAAAAAUAAAAACAACAAAUGGUUAUUUUCAAAUAAUGGAUGUAAUUUACAUUAUACUAUCAUUUAAAAAGUAUUAGAUACGUUUUGAUAUAUCAUUAUUUUCUAUUUCCAGAAAACAAUAAAUUGUUAAACAUCAAUAUCAUCUAGGUUAAGUAUACGAACAUCACAAAUUCAAACAUCACAAAAAAUAUUUACAUAAACAAUAUUCAAAAGAAUAGUUAUAUACUUAAUAUUUCAAAAUCAAAGAUAUUUUUGCUAAAAUUGUACUUACCUGGCCAAGGAGAUCGAUCAUCUUUUUACGGAUCAAUCGAUUGUUGAGCAUGUGGUCGAUCCAAAAAUAUUCUGCAGUUUAAUUAAAUAUUUAAAGCAUUUAUUCCAACACUCAACAUAUAGUUUUGCUAAAUAUGAUAACUAGACAGCCAACAAAAUUAUAAAAAAAAUAUUUAAAUAGUAAAAAAUAUGUUAAUUUAACGUGUUAAAAUUUAAAAACAAAUUUUAAUUAUGACAUGCAUUUUAAUAUUUAUAUAAAUAUAUAUCAUAACCUAAAUUUAAAAACAAAUUUUAAUUAUGACAUGCAUCUUAAUAUUUAUAUAAAUAUAUAUCAUAACCUAAACAAAUUUUAAUUAUGACAUGCAUCUUAACACGUUAAAUAUAUAUUUUAAUUUAACGUGUUAAAAUAUGUUUCUUAAUAUGAUAAGAAAUGAUUUAACAACUUAAAUUAGAAAAAAUAAAAAAAUCCCGGGCGUAGCCCGGGUUAAUCCCUAGUAGUUAUAUAAAUUAUGGUUUUAAAGUUUAAAUUUUUAGAUAUAGUACUAAAUUUAAAGUUUAUAAUUUCAAACUAGACGUCAAAUAUAUAAAAUAGAGCUAUAAACUUUUAAAAUUAUUUUAUUACAUCGUUAAAUAAACCUUUGAUAUUUUUUUGAAUAGAGUCCAUAAAUAUUUUGAACAAGACUCGUAAAUAAUUUGAGUCACUGUUUAUAACUUACUGUAUGAGUUAUGAUCAAACCACAAUACACGUACAAUUUACCUACCGGUUUGACUCAAACCGAAUACACACGCACACACACCCGACCGGUUUAAAUUCGACUAAUUCCGCACGUGCCGUAUAGAAUCACACGUGGAAAACCUGCUCGCGAUAUACAGAGGAAGAAGCAGAGGUGAGGGAAGAAGAUAGAGCGAAAGAGAUUAGGACCGUCACUCCCGGUUAACAAAACGACGCCGGAGCCUCCUUCACCGGCCGUCGUUUCAAACCCCAAAUCCAAAACUCUCUCUCCCCAACAUGAACGAUCCGUAAGAAUCAUUCAAAAGCUCAAAGACUCUUCCUUUAUCUCAAUCGAAUCUCAAUCAACCCAAUGAAGAAGCCCGCAUCAAUCUCGAUGGACCACGUACUCCUAGCCUUACGCGAGACCAGCGAGGAGAGAGAGAUUCGAAUCCGGAGCCUAUUCGAUUUCUUCGACAAUUCGAGCUUAGGGUUCUUGGACUACGCCCAGAUCGAAAAGGGCUUAGCUUCGCUUCAGAUUCCACCCGAGUACAAGUACGCUAGGGAUUUGUUCAGAGUCUGUGAUGCCAACAGAGACGGGCGCGUUGAUUACCACGAGUUUCGUCGUUACAUUGACGCCAAGGAGCUCGAGCUUUACAGGAUCUUCCAGGCGAUUGAUGUUGCUCACAACGGGUGUAUUUUGCCGGAGGAGCUUUGGGAGGCUCUGGUUAAGGCUGGUACGUGAUGGUGUCGUGUAAAAGUUGGAACCUUUAUUGAAUGUGUGGAUGUUGAUAGUGUACUGAUCGGUUAUCUCUACUAGUAGUUUGGUUACAGUGAGUAUGUUUUAAUUAGUAGCUUGUUUUGGAGGCUCUGGUUAAGGCUGGUACUAAUAGUGUCAUGUAAAGUUGGAACCUUUAUUGAGCUUGUGGAUGUUGAUAGUGUACUGAUGGCUAAGUAGUUUGUUUACAGUGAAUUUGUUUUAAUCAGUAUUCUAAAAAUCGGUCUAGGCAGCUCCUGUCUAGUCGCAAAUUGGGUCUAAAGGAAACAAAUUUUUGCUUAGAUGUUCAAAAAAUGGGUCCGCAUAAUCAAUAAUCUCCUAUAAAUUGUCUAAUUACUGUCUAGCUAUAUCUUGGACAUUGUGUUUUAUUGUUUUCGCUUUUGAUUGUUUGAGUAUCUUAAACCUACAUAAGCUCCAGAGUUAUGUUCUUGUAGGCAUUGAAGUAGUUUGUUUACAGUGAAUAUGUUUUAAUCAACAUUUUUUGCUUAGAUGUUCAAAAAAUCGGUCUAGGCGUCCACAUAAUCACUAAUCCCCUAUAAAUCCUCUAAUUACCGUCUAGCGAUUUUUUGGACAUUGUGUUUUAAUGUUUUCGCUUUUGAUUGUUUGAGUAUCUUAAACCUACAAUUUUUGCUUAGAUGUUCAAAAAAUCGGUCUAGGCAUCCACAUAAUCACUAAUCCCCUAUAAAUCCUCUAAUUACCGUCUAGCGAUUUUUUGGACAUUGUGUUUUAAUGUUUUCGCUUUUGAUUGUUUGAGUAUCUUAAACCUACAAUUUUUGCUUAGAUGUUCAAAAAAUCGGUCUAGGCAUCCACAUAAUCACUAAUCCCCUAUAAAUCCUCUAAUUACCGUCUAGCGAUUUCUUGGACAUUGUGUUUUAAUGUUUUCGCUUUUGAUUGUUUGAGUAUCUUAAACCUACAUAAGGUCCAGAGAUAUGUUCCUUUAGGCAUUGAAGUAGUUUGUUUACAGUGAAGAUGUUUUAAUCAGUAUUCUAAAAUCAGUCUAGACAGCUCCUGCCUAGUCGGUUAGACAGCUUCCGCCUAGUCUGCAAAUCGGUUUUAGACAUUCAAAAAAAUCUGUCUCUAUCCGUAUAUCAAUAAUCCCCUUAUGAAACAUCUAAUUAUCAUCUAGAGACUUCUUGAAUAUUGGUUUCAAUGUUUUUGCUUUUGAUUGUUGAGUAUCUCAAACCUACAUAAGCCCCCACAGUUAUAUUCUUGUAGGUAUUGAAAUAGAUGACGAGGAACUCGCUCGUUUCGUGGAGCACGUUGAUAAAGACAACAACGGAACCAUAACAUUCGAGGAGUGGAGAGAUUUUCUCUUGUUAUACCCUCAUGAAGCCACCAUUGAGAACAUAUACCACCACUGGGAAAGGGUUUGCUUGAUAGACAUUGGAGAGCAAGCUGUUAUCCCAGACGGUAUAAGCAAACAUGUCAAAAGAAGCAGGCUCCUUCUCGCCGGAGGACUAGCCGGAGCCGUAUCCAGAACCGCAACCGCCCCUCUGGACCGCCUCAAAGUAGUUCUCCAAGUUCAGAGAGCACACGCAGGUGUUCUCCCUACCAUCAAGAAGAUUUGGAGAGAAGAUAAGUUGAGAGGCUUCUUCAGAGGCAAUGGUUUGAAUGUCAUGAAGGUUGCUCCUGAAAGCGCCAUUAAGUUCUGCGCUUACGAGAUGCUGAAGCCUAUGAUUGGAGGAGAGGGAGGUGAUAUCGGUACGAGCGCGAGGCUUUUGGCUGGUGGAAUGGCUGGCGCGGUGGCUCAGACCGCUAUUUACCCUAUGGAUCUUGUGAAGACGAGGCUGCAGACUUGUGUGAGUGAAGGUGGGAAGGCGCCGAAGCUGUGGAAGCUUACAAAGGAUAUAUGGGUGAGAGAGGGGCCUAGGGCGUUCUAUAAGGGUCUGUUUCCUUCUCUUAUUGGGAUUAUACCUUAUGCUGGAAUCGAUCUAGCUGCUUAUGAGACGCUUAAAGACUUGUCUAGAACAUACAUUCUUCAAGACACCGGUUAGAGAAUCAAAAGCCCUUGGAUUCUUAUUGUUUUUUUUUGUAGAUGAUUGUUCUUUAAAUAAUUUCAAAUUUUGCAGAGCCGGGUCCUCUGAUACAACUGAGCUGUGGAAUGACAUCAGGAGCUCUCGGAGCAUCAUGUGUUUACCCUUUACAGGUUGUAAGAACAAGGUAAAAAAUGUUAACAAAAGUUUUAUGUUCUGUUCCUUGCUUAACAAGUUACAAAAGUUUUAUCUUUUUUUCUUGCUUAACAAGUUUGAUUCUUGUCCUGUCAGGAUGCAAGCGGAUAGUUCAGAGACGACAAUGAGACAAGAGUUUAUGAAAACGAUGAGAGGUGAAGGUUUGAGAGGAUUCUACAGAGGACUCUUACCUAAUCUUCUUAAAGUGGUUCCAGCUGCAAGCAUUACAUACAUUGUUUAUGAAGCUAUGAAGAAAAACAUGGCUCUUGAUUAAGCCAAAUACAAUUUUUUCUUGGGAGUAGUCAUUCUUUUUGUUUGUUGGCAAGGGAUCGUUUCUUGACUCUUGAGCUCUAGAUUAUGCGAGAUAACAGAAACAAGACCUGCUGUAAUACGUUUGCUCGUUGAUGUGGUCAUGAUCUAAGAGUCAAACUCUGUAAAGUUACAUAUUCAAAAUGGAUAUUGGAUGGAUUAAAGUUACGGUUUGGUUCAUUUCUCAAAUUAAUGUUGAUUGGUUCAGUUUCUUACGGUAAUGUUUUUGAUCAUUCAUAUUGGAACGUAUAUUUUGACUGCACGUUUGGAUUUAUAACAUUUUUGUAUGUGUUGUAUUGAUUUCAAAUAAGCGUAUAUAUACACAUUUAAAGAAAAAAAAAGCUAAAAGAUUUAUGCAUUUCAACUAGACUUUUUUAUAUAAUAAACAUGUUAAAAACUAUAUUUCUCGGACUAUAGUUGUAAAAUUAUGUAUAUUGUAUUGUACAGAUUUACACAGGACCGGCUCAAACUAUUUCACAUACGUCAAGGUUUGUUAGCUAACUCAGAAAGAUGUUAGAUAGAUGUAGAAUCGAUAGUAUCAAUCAAUGUAAGCAAUAAAAAAACUUCUGAAUGGCAACUUUUAACUUUAUAUAGAUAGUUUUAUAAGAAACAACAAUAUUGUCAAGCUAUUAAAAGCAAUCAGAAUACUUCUUGUCACACUAAUCAACACAUCACCGGAGAGUUUACCGGGAGAAGAAAAAUACAGAAAAAAAUAAGAGAAAGCACGAAAAGAAGAAAGGCGUAGCCUUCCCUUUGCCUCUGAUGACUUGCCGUUUGCAUCAUUUCUCAGUUAACCAAAACAGAGAAAGAUAACGGAACUGAGUUAACUCCGAUUAACCGUAGCUCGAAAGCUUCUUAACGGCGUCUUCUUGAUCCGUUUCUUCCUCCAUAUCUUUUUCUCUUCCUCAGGUGAGUGACAAGAAAAGAUAUAAAAUGUUUAGUGUUUCUUCCAGUCUCCUCCUACGUCUAUCCUCAACCCAUUAUAUUUAUAAUACUUAUACUUCAUUUGGUCCCAUAUCCAAA
rnacentral:lncRNA from 1 species